rnacentral:lncRNA from 1 species
GCCACCUUAUGAUGUUUACUGUUUAUUGCAGCAACAAGAUGCACAUAAACACUGUCAAAUAUGUAAGCAAGGAUCGUCACACAGGCAAGAUUGCUUCGAAAGCAUAUAGCAAAUGAACCACACAGCAAGUACUACUUAAACAAAGCAAAUCAAUGUAUCUUCAUCAUGCCUGUUGGCUAAUUGUGGCCAGAAAUUAGGUAACAGAGGGAAGGGCAAGUUGACCAAGUUAAAGAUUAACUCAUACAGGUCCACUUGUGCAAGCUACAAAGAUGGCCGAUCUCCAUGAGAAAUUGUCAAAAUGAAAGAACCUUCAGCAAAGAAGUCCAUUCCUGCUUCUCAGCAACCGGAACACAAUUCUAGAUACCUGUAGAGCAAUUGAUGUUAUUAGUCAAACCGAUUUGUACUGUCCAUUCAUGGAAAAUAUGAAGUUGCAUAAUCUGUUCUUUGUGAUCUAGAAAGCAAUUAUCAGCUUCAUCAUUGUGAAGAUUGUACUACUAAAAAAGAGGAAUCAUCUAAGCAUUAUUGGAAAAAGAUAACAAUAUAAACAAAUAAGAGUGAUAAGAAGAGUGGAAGACAGUUAAUUCCUAAAGCCACAUCUUCCGCUUCUACAGUUACCACAUCCUCAGGUUUGUUGCCACAUCUGAUCUCAGAGAAUAAUUGAUCGUGGCCAUUCAGAUUUAAACAAAUAUAUUGCAUGACUAUUGUUGGAAAAAAUGGACUUACCACUUGCAGGACUAUCCUAAAAGUUAACAGAAUAAACAUUCUUAUAAAUUUUAAACCAACUCGCUAUUAUGGGUUUAAGAUUAUUAGCAAGAUCGGUAGACGUAGCAAUACUGAAUAGAACAAUAACUUUCUUUAAGCUUCUAAAUGUGCAUACAUAGGAGAUAUCUAUUUGAUAUUUUGGUUGCUUCAAGCUAGUUUUUCAAGUAGUUGUCUCCGAUUGUUAUAUAUCUCAUCUUGUAGAAAAGAACUUAACUGCCACCCUAAACUGAUGAGAAACUUUCCCAACUUUGACUUUAACCACAGUGUCAAAUGGUGAUUUUAAUAAAAAUAUGAGAAUAUUAAAAACAACUUGGCAUCAUAUUUAUCAACAAUACAACAGAAUGGUGCCAGCACAUCACCUCAUUGGUUGAGAAAAACUGCAAUGCAUCUACAUGCUCUAGCACUACCAUUAUACAGUUCUUGCAUAUGUCAACAAGUAGACAACAACGAAAUUUAGUUCAGUUAUAAUAUAAAGAAUUUUUCAACUUGGCCACAGAAACAGAACUGGUGGCAUGAGCUAAACUAGAUAUCAGAAACCAAUAUCUUUCUCAAUCAUUAGAAUUACAUAAACACCACCACACAACCAUUGGGACAUAACAAAAAUGCUAUGUGUUGAAGAGAUCAUAUCAAGCAGCAAAAUAAUAAUUGAUAUGACACUACUUAAAAUUGUUAGCUUAACAUGAAAGGAUGUGAAAGGCAUUCCAUUAACCCAUCAUCAAAAAGUAACCUGGUUUUGUUAUACUGGCAGUGCAAAGGCAUGCUAUUACCUGCAGCAUAGACACUUUCAAAUGGAUAAUAACAAAGCCAUUUGUAGGUGUCGAAAACUUUCUUGAACCGCAAUGACUCAAUCUGGACAGUGAAGACGAUGCUCAUACCGACCCGCAGGAACACCAAAUUAUUAUCCUCAGCAAACCCAUAUAUGGUUACAUGCUCCUCUGGAUCCAGGGAAAGUAGCUUGUCCAAUUCAACAGUUCUUACUAUCCCCCAUGAUCGAACACCAUUACAGAUGGUGUUCCUCUUCCAUAACCGGGCAGUGAGGCCUGACACGGAGAAAAAACCCAGCUCACCAUCCUCAGCCCGCAUGAGUGUGAAGCCUUGAACAUCAAACAUAUUUGCUGGCAACGGUAUCACGGCCAGGCUCUCCCUCUCCAAAUCAAACUCAAGGAUAUUUGGCAAAUUACCAUAAAGUAUCCAGUAAAGGGAAUGCCCAGCCAGCACAGCCAGAUCCCCAGAAGCCCUGGUGGGAAAUUCGUUCCCGGAGGGAAUCGAUGUUAAGAUGGGAUUACCCCACGCCACGGUCUUGGACGAGUAAACGCAGGCCAGCGCUCGUCCAUGUUGCAUCUCAUCGUGGUCUGCCACUACCAAGACGAUCUGGAAGUGGACGUCCCCGGGAGCAGCGCGGAGCACCGCCCCGCGGACCAACUUGAGCCGAUCGAAUCCCGUGGGAAUGGAUACGUUGUGCUGGUGGCCGGUGACGGGGGCCCAUACCAGCAACUGGAGCCUCGUUGGGUCGAGGAUUAAUACAAGGCCAUGGCGGCACCCGAGGACCCGGAACUGGAAGUGGACAAGGUCGGACUGCAAGGAAAAACGCCCGGGCGGAACACGAUCUGGGGCCUCCAGAGUAGGCUCGAAGGACGGGCCGUCGGCACCUGCGCGGAAGCAGCCGAGGAGUGGAGGGUUGCGGCGGUGGUGGAGGCGGAAGCGGCGGGAGAAGGCUGGGUCGGAAAUGAGGCUGCGCCAGCGCCUGCAGACGGCGGAGGCGCGCGGGAGGGAGGACGGGAGCGGCGGCAGGCGGAGGAGGAUCUCGGAGAGCAGGUUGUCGUCCUCCAGCGCCGCCGCCGCCGGCUCGCCCUCCUCACAGCUUAUGCGGCAGCCCAUGGCGUGAAAUGCGGGUGACCUAAAGUGACACUGGACCCGCUGCCAGUGCGAGAGGGAUGGAAAUUGAUUAAGCCCACGAACACACCAUGUCUCCGCUGUGGACAUCAACGAGGCCCACAAGCCCAUAAAAAGCACACACGCAUUUGACCUCUGUAAUGGACCUGAUCUAGAUCCGAGGAGUUUGGUAGGGGAGGAGAAGGGAAGAGGAGGCCGGUGGAGAAGAGCAGCUUCUCUAGUUAAGUGUUGAUACAAUAAUUCUCGAUGAUCCACUCACACGCACCGGGUCCUAGUAAUACCCGCGGCACGUAGGCCUCACGCACGCGACGCACCCUGACUAUGCGGACCCACUGGUCAUCCCUCUUCAGAGCGCCUUGACCCCAUCAACCCUGGAUUGGCCGUGACGCCGUUGCCCUUGCUGUCCAGUGGGGCCGCUGUGAUAGGUGGGGCAGCUGUGGCAGCCGUGACAUCCCCCCCCACCCCGCUUGUGUACCGACUUGACCCCAAGGCAGUGUAGAGGGAAACCGUUGCUGCAGCACCACCGGGUCUUCCCAUGUUGACAGCGACGCAUGGAGAUGACUCCAUUGCACACGGAUGCGAGGGCGAGUAUCGCAAGCCACCCGCACCAGCUUGCGGUCGAGCACCAGCUCCGGAACAUGCUCCGCCUGCAAAAUUGAGUUAUCUGGAGGUAGGUCAGCACUUGCUGGUACGGUAGCUCCAAAGGCUUUCUUCAGUUGGGAGACGUGAACAACAGGAUGGAUGCGGCUGGAAGCAGGCAACUGCAGUUUUUAUGCCACUGCCCCGACGCGAGCCAGCACUCUGUAUGGUCCAUAGUAGCGAAAGGCGAGCUUCUGAUGCGGUCGUUGCGCCACGGAGGAUUGUAUGAAUGGCUGCAACUUGAGCAGCACUGCGUCCCCAACCGCAAACUCUCUGUUCGUGCGGCGCCGGUCGGCCUGGACUUUCAUGCGGUCCUGGGCACGCUUGAGUUGUUGUUGUAAGUGUUCGAUCAUGACUUCUCUCUCCUGGAGCCAUGCUGCAAGAUCAGGAACUAAGCAUUCGUCAAUCUGUGCGACACCAAACUCUCUGGAAGGUGGCCGUAGAUGACCUCAAAUGGUGUUUUGCCCAGCGGCGAGUGGAAAAAUGUAUUAUACGAGUAUUCAACAAGAGAUAGCCAUUUGGACCAUUUGCCAGGGCAGGAGUGGACUGCGCACCUUAGGUAUCCUUCCAGACACUGAUUGACGCGUUCGGUUUGCCCGUCGGUCUGGAAGUGGUAUGAAGAGCUGAGGCGCAGGUCCGUCCGGCAGAGCUUGAAUAGUUCCUGCCACACAUGCCCUGUAAAUAUACGGUCCUGGUUUGAGAUUAUGGCCAGUGGCAAGCUGUGGAGCCGAAAGAUCUCUUUCAUGAAGACCUUGGCGUGGAGAGCCAUGAAUGGGUGAGUCAGAGGCACGAAAUGUGCGUAUUUGGAGAACUUAUCCACCGCCACCAGAACAGUGUCGUACCCUCCUGACCGGGGCUACCCUUCAAUGAAAUCAAGCAAGAUAACUGACCAGGGUUCUUGUGGUAUUGGCAAUGGUUGGAGAAGUCCAGCUGGGGAGAUGCGCUCUGUUUUUGCUUGCUAGCAGACCAACAGUUGCGCACCAAGGCCUUGACAUGCAGCUUCAUCCCUUUCCAUGCGAACAGUCGCUUGACUCGGUUGUAGGUGGCAUGGAAGCCCGAAUGCCCGCCCGCGGCACUGUCAUGGAGAGCUCGUAUCAAGUGUUGUUGGGUGUCAGUAUCUUCUCCAAUCCACACUCUCCCUCGGCAGUGCAGAAUGUCAUCCUGGGAGGUGUAGUCAGGCUCGCUGUCCGGCACCAGUGCUAGCUUUGUCAUGCGUUGCUGUGCCAGUGGAUCUGUCUGAUAGCUGCGCUUAAUAGCUUCCAGCCAGGUAGGUUUACAGAUGGAGAUAACGGCCAUUUCUGCCUCUGGUUUGUGUUCGCGUCGUGACAGCACAUCAGCCGCUCGAUUUGUCACUCCCGUUUUGUACUGAAUGGUGUAUUGAAGGCCAAUCAGCUUCGUAAACGCCCUUUGCUGAAUUGGGGUGUUGAGCCAUUGGUCCAUCAGGUUCAGCAGGCUGUUUUGAUCGGUGCGGACCAUGAACUCUGAAUGCUGUAGAUAGGGCCACCAGUGGUCGAUGGCCAGAAGCAGAACCAAGCACUCUUUCUUGUAUGCCGAUAGGCCUAAAUUUCGUGGAGCCAACGCUUUGCUGAGGUACGCAACCGGAUGCCAUCCUUCCAUCGGGACUGCGCCAAUUCCCAUGGCACUCGCGUCCAUUUCGAUGACGAAUUGCUUUCGGAAGACUAGCAAUGCGAGCACUGGGGCCUACACCAGAGCUUGUUUCAGUGCAAAGAAUGCAGGUUUAGCUUGAAGGAAAUAUGCCCUAGCGGCAAUAAUAAAGUUGUUAUUUAUAUUUCCUUAUAUCAUGAUAAAUGUUUAUUAUUCAUGCUAGAAUUGUAUUAAAUGGAAACUUAGUACAUGUGUGAAUACAUAGACAAAACAGAGUGUCCCUAGUAUGCCUCUAUUUGACUAGCUCGUUAAUCAAAGAUGGUUAUGUUUCCUAACCAUGGACAUGUGUUGUCAUUUGAUAAACGAGAUCACAUCAUUAGGAGAAUGAUUUGAUGGACAAGACUCAUCCAUUAGCUUAGCAUUAUGAUUGUUAUAGUUUCAUUGCUACUGCUUUCUUCAUGACUUAUACAUGUUCCUCAGACUAUGAGAUUAUGCAACUCCCGAAAACCGAAAUAACACCUUGUGUGCUAUCAAACGUCACAACGUAACUGGGUGAUUAUGAAUAUGCUCUACAGGUGUCUCCAAAGGUGUUUGUUGGGUUGGCAUAGAUCAAGAUUAGGAUUUUUCACUCCGUGUAUCGGAGAGCACUAGUAGAAAAAGGGCCAUUUUUCCCGGUUCGUGAGGGUCAUUUGUCCCGGUUCCCGAACCGGGACUAAAGGGUCAUAACUAAAGCCCUAUACCUUUAGUCCCGGUUCGAUCGGGAACCGGGACAGAUGGGGCUCCACGUGGCCGCUGCGGCUUGCCUAGGCAGGGGGACCUUUUGUCCCGGUUGGUGUCACCAACCGGGACCAAAAGGCUUCCGCACGUCAGCAGUUUAGGGGCUGGGUUUUUUGUUUUUUCUGAAGGGGGGGGGGGGGUGUAACACCCUCGAUGCGACUAUAUCUCCCACGUGUCGAGGCACGACUUAGAGGCAUAAUCGCAUUGAAGGCAUAUGUCGCAAGUGAGGUAAUCUUCACACAACCCAUGUAAUAUAAUAAGGAAAGAGAUACAUAGUUGGCUUACACUCGCCACUUCACACAAUUACAUGAAUGAAACAUUACAUCAUACCAUUACACUCAAGGUCCGACUACGGAACCAAAAUAAAAGAAGAACCCCAAAUGCGACAAAGGCCCCCCGAUCGACCCCAACUGGGCUCCAUACUGAUCAACUAGAACGAAACAUCACAAAUGAACAAGGUCUCCAACGAGCUCCUCCUGAGCUGGGUUGCGUCAUCUGCACGAACUCAUCGGCACCUGCAAGCUGGUUUUUGAAGUAUCUGUGAGCCACGGGGACUCAGCAAUCUCGCACCCUCGCGAUCAAGACUAUUUAAGCUUAUGGGUAAGGUAAAGGUUUGAGGUGGAGCUGCAGCAAGCGACUAGCAUAUAUGGUGGCUAACAUCCGCAAAUGAGAGCGAGAAGAGAAGGCAAAGCACGGUCGGUAAAAGUAUGAUCAAGAAGUGAUCCUGGACUACCUACGUCAAGCAUAACUCCAACAACCGUGUUCACUUCCCGGACCCCACCGGAAAGAGACCAUCACGGUUACACACGCGGUUGAUUCAUUUUAAUUAAGGUCAAGUUCAGGUUUUCUACAACCGGACGUUAACAAAUUCCCAUCUGCCCAUAACCGCGGGCACGGCUUUCGAAAGAUCAAUCCCUGCAGGGUGUCCCAACUUAGCCCAUGACAAGCUCUCACGGUCAACGAAGGAAUAGACCUCCACCCGAGACAUCCCGAUCAGACUCGGUAUCCCAGUACAACAAGACAUUUCGACAGGGUAAAACUAAACCAGCAACACCGCCCGAUGCGCCGACAUCCUGAUGGGAGCUGCACAUAUCUCGUUCUCAGGGCAACACCGGAUUGUCUAAACUUCCGGUAGGCCAGCCCAGAGUUGCCCCUGGUANNNNNNNNNNNNNNNNNNNNNNNNNNNNNNNNNNNNNNNNNNNNNNNNNNNNNNNNNNNNNNNNNNNNNNNNNNNNNNNNNNNNNNNNNNNNNNNNNNNNNNNNNNNNNNNNNNNNNNNNNNNNNNNNNNNNNNNNNNNNNNNNNNNNNNNNNNNNNNNNNNNNNNNNNNNNNNNNNNNNNNNNNNNNNNNNNNNNNNNNNNNNNNNNNNNNNNNNNNNNNNNNNNNNNNNNNNNNNNNNNNNNNNNNNNNNNNNNNNNNNNNNNNNNNNNNNNNNNNNNNNNNNNNNNNNNNNNNNNNNNNNNNNNNNNNNNNNNNNNNNNNNNNNNNNNNNNNNNNNNNNNNNNNNNNNNNNNNNNNNNNNNNNNNNNNNNNNNNNNNNNNNNNNNNNNNNNNNNNNNNNNAAAUAAAGAUGACCCUCGGGAUGCGCGACUCCCAAGGGAAAAAAGGCUAGGUGGCAAAUGGUAAAACCAAUGUUGGGCAUUGCUGGCAAAGCUUUACUUAAGGCGAAUUGUCAAGGGGUUCCCAUUAUAGCCCAACCGCGUAAGGGACGCAAAAUCCGGGAACAUAACACCGAUAUGACGGAAACUAGGGCGGCAAGAGUGGAACAAAACACCAGGCAUAAGGCCGAGCCUUCCACCCUUUACCAAGUAUAUAGAUGCAUUAAUUAAAUACGAUAUAUAGUGAUAUCCCAACAAGAAAACAAUGUUCCAACAAGGAACGAUCUCCAUGUUCCAACAAGGAACAAAACUUCAAUCUUCACCUGCAACUAACAACACUAUAAGAGGGGCUGAGCAAAGCGGUAACAUAGCCAAUCAACGGUUUGCUAGGACAAUGGUGGGUUAGAGGCUGAACAUGGCAAUUGGGAGGCUGACAAGCAAGUGGUAGGCAUCGUAGCAAGGGCAUAGCAAAAGAGCGAGCAAACUAGCAUAGCAAAGAUAGUAGUGAUUUCGAGGGUAUGAUCAUCUUGCUUGAAAUCCCGCAAGGAAGAAGAACGAAUCCAUGAAGAAGACAAACAGGAGUAGACGAACGGAUCCUCACAACACGACGUUAUCGGAACCAACCCGAAGAAGCAAUCACCGGAAAAGAAGCACACAACAUAGUAAACAACCAACACGUCAACAUGGCAUGAUGCACAAACGAGUAUGAUGCAUGUACGGUUUAAUGAAGCAUGGCAUGGCAUGGCAAAGUGCACAAACAACACUACAAGUUAAGUGGAGCUCAAUAUGCAACGAGGUGCAUAUUGACGGAACACCACGUCAAUUAUUUAGUUCUCUCCCGUUUAUGUACCCAACAAUGUUAAAUGUUGUUAAACAUGGCGAGAGGGGAAACAUGAUGAAACUAUCUAACCUAGGCAAGUUUAAAUGAGGCCGGAAGCAACGAACAACAAUUCCGGAAAAACCCUCAUGUGCAAUUAUUAGGUUUGGUCCUGAUCUGUCCUAAACACAAUUUUAGAGUUGUUAAACAUGCAAGAUGAGGCCACCGCGUUAAGCUAGGCAAAAUUCUACCCCAUUUACAUAUAAAGUUUAUUAAAAUCGGAGUUACGGUUAUUUAGAUAUGAAUUAAAGCAUUUUUAACAUGACAUUUAAGCAAAAUUAACCAAACAUCAAUUUAAUCAAUUUUAAUUGUUGUUAUCAUGAUGCGGAUGACAUGAACAAGUUUUAAGCAAUUAAUGCAAAAAGUUGAUAAGAGCAUAAUGAAGCAUUUGUCAUCGUGGCGGAAACGAAAGGGGUGCCACGACAACGAAUCCGAAAGUGAUGCCACGGCAACAUAUCGGUUCCGGUAACUCGAUCGAGAUCCCGGUGCAAAAGAAAAAGUGACGGGAGCGUGACACGCGAUAGAAGGUGGGGUGAUCCCGGAUACCGGGUUCCCACAAUAUGGUGGCAAGGCAAAAGAGGGGCAACGUGCACCGAACAACUCCGACACGGAGCAAACACGAGCAUUUCAUACAUCACACAUGCAUUCGUUCACGGCGGUCGUCUCGGGGGUUAUACCUUUGAAGCGUGCGUUAUCGGAGCGCUUCGGUUCAAGCGGGGUAGAGGAAGUAGACGUUCUCGCACGCUCUAGGGUCGACGGUAGAGGUUCUCGCGACGGUAGUCGUUCACGUUCGUUCGGAGAGGUACUUGCGACGAUAGUUGUUCACGGCGGUAGUGGAACUUGACGGAUCCGAUGCCUCCGAACGUAGUGGUACAUGCUCGUUCUUCGGAGGGGUACUUGACGGGUCCGAAUCCUUUCGGGUGGUCGUGGUACUUGGCGAUUUCGGAGACGGCGGAAGACGAACUUGGCGGUCCUCGUUGACCUAGUACUUGGCGUUUCCCGGUUCGGUGACCGUUUUCGGCAUCGGACGUCGAGGUACUUGGCGGAUCCGGUCUUGGCGUGCGAACGAACACAACACAAUGUACAGGUGUAGUGGUACACACACGUAGAUGAACUUAACGGGUCGUCGUCAUCCUGGUACUUGGCGUACUUGAUCGGGGCAGCAAAACAUAAUCGAACUUGGCGAACGCAAGCAGCAACAUGGGGCUGGCAGAGGCGACGCGGGGCCCCUGCAGAGGGCUGAAUCAAGCAACGGGCGAGGCGGGUCUUGGCGCUGGCUCGUGGCUUCACGGGCCUGGCAAGGUGGUGGUCAUCGACGGCGGACGGACUUGGCGAGGACGCAGGCGGCUGGCGGCGCUCCGGCGAGGCCAAGGCAGAGGAGGGACUGCGCGAAACAGGCCCCGAAUGGGACAAAGACGACGGGUCCAAGGCGAAGGUCGCCGGAACUGACAAAGAACAUGGCCGGAGCGGUGGCGUGGCUCGCCGUUGACGAGGAAGAAGCAAGGCGCCGGACUUGUAGCAGGGGCUGCCAGAGGUUGGGGCUCAGCGACGGCGUCCAUCACCGGAGGCGCUGGUGGAAGGAGGAGGCGGGGCGCGGGGCUCGCGCUGGUGUGGGCGCUCCUGGUGGCCGCCGACGGCGGCGGUUGUCGACGGGAGAGGACCCGGGCGGUGAGCGAGGAGAGCGGCAGCAGAGCAGCUCGGGCGCGGGGUUGCAGGGCGGCGGAGCCCCGAGCUCGGCUAGGCGCGGCCAUGGAGGACGUCGGCGCCGAGGCGGGGCGAUGACAGGGGAAAUGGGGUCGGGUCCCCUGGUGAGAGCGAGAGGGGGAGGCGGCCAUGGCGCGCGGAGGAGAGGUCGACAGGAGAGGGAGAUCGAGGGGAUCGGGAGAUGGGAGAUGGGGUUCGAGCGGGAUCGAGGGAGAUGAUGGGAUCGACCCCUGGUGCGAUGCGUGCGUGAGGCGAGAGGGAGAGGGAGAUCGGUUCGAUCGACUCCCUGGCGGCGCGAGGGAAAGAGAGGGGAUCGAGGGAACGGGCUCCCUGACGGCUAGGGUUACGAGGGCACAAGGCUGGGCCUUGGUGAUGGAUGGGCCGACCGGUCUUAGGCUGGGCUGCCAAGAACAAACGGGCCGGCCUAGAGUUUGGCCAAGGGAGACCCAGGGAGGCCGGCCUGGACUGGGCUACUCUCUCCUACUCCUCUCUAAUUCUCUUUUACUUCUUUAUUUCCCGAUUUAACAAAUAAACCGAGGAAUAAGAAAUGUAGGGAGAGAUAGGAGAAGAAUUUGAGCAGGGCGCCAAUUUUCUUGGACUCAUAAAAAUGAGCUUGAUCCAAGAAAAAUACAUUUGGCACCGUUUGGAAGGUGAAUUCGAACACAUUUGAAUGUGAUUCAAAUGAGUUUGAAUUAGGAAAACAUUUUUGGAGAGUCCAAAAAUGUUCGGAAUAUUGGUGGAGCUCCGGAAAAUGACGAAAGAAUUUACGGACUAAGUUCGAGGCCAAGGGUUGUGAUAACAAAGCCAUUAGGAUUUGCAAGUGUGUUUCGGUUAAUUCCAAGAGAAUGGAAUAUUUAUUAUAGUAGCUCCACUAAUAUCGGGAGGAUAUAUUAUAAAGAGAAGUCAUCCUUCCCUCGAAUUAAAUGGAUCGAAGACCCACACAAACUAUUUAGUUGAGAUGCAAAAGAUUAUGACAUGAUGACAUGAUGCAAUGCACAUGAUGACGGACAUGAUGCAACACGCAAGCACAUGACAACGCAACAACAUCGAAUAACUGCACGACACCUGGCACAUCGGUCUCGGGGCGUUACAGGGGGGGGGGGUUGGGGGUUUUUGUAGGGUUAAUUUAGGGGUUUCAUAUAUUGUGUUAGCUAGCUAAUAGAGAGGAGUGUCCUCUCUUAUCACCGUGCUUGGUCGAUGCUACGUAUAGAGAGGACUCGACACGCUAGCUAGCUAGUAAGCAAAUGAAGGAAACCAUUAAGUACAGAAGAUCGUCAUGAACAUAUACACAGAGAGAAGUGAUCGACCUCUCCUUCUCCGAUAGAUUGGUGGGAUAAUAAGUUUUCGUAUAUCUAUCCGAUGCUACUGGCUACAUAUAUAUACAAUAUAAGAUCUCUUACUGCCGCCCUCAGGCGCCGGAGCAGUAGGCGGAGUGCCCUGAUCACUCGCCGGAGGAGGAGGAGGAGGUAGAGGAGGCGGAGUGCCCAGCUGACUAGCAGGAGCCGUGAAGUUCAGAAGCUUGAUGUGCACCUUCCGCCAUAGGCACGGAGUAUGCAUAGCUGUUACGUCUCCAACGUAUCUAUAAUUUUUGAUUGCUCCAUGCUACUUUAUCUACUGUUUUGGACUAUAUUGGGCUUUAUUUUCCACUUUUAUAUUAUUUUUGGGACUAACCUAUUAACCGGAGGCCUAGCCCAGAAUUGCUGGUUUUUUGCCUAUUUCAGUGUUUCGAAGAAACGGAAUAUCAAACGGAGUCCAAACGGAAUGAAACCUUUGGGAACGUGAUCUUCUCACCGAACAUGAUCCAAGAGACUUGGACCCUACUCCAAGAAGCUUCCGAGGAGGUCACGAGGGUGGAGGGCGCGUCCCUCCCCCCUGGGCGCGCCCCCUACCUCGUGGGCCCCUCGGAGCUCCAUCGACAUACUCCUUCCUCCUAUAUAUACCUAGGUACCCCCAAUAGACCAGAGACGGAGCCAAAAACCUAAUUUCACCGCCGCAACUUCCUGGAUCCACGAGAUCCCAUCUUGGGGCCUGUUCCGGAGCUCCGCCGGAGAGGGCAUCCACCACGGAGGGCUUCUACAUCAACACCAUAGCCCCUCCGAUGAAGUGUGAGUAGUUUACUUCAGACCUUCGGGUCCAUAGCUAGUAGCUAGAUGGCUUCUUCUCUCUUUUUGGAUCUCAAUACAAUGUUCUCCCCCUCUCUCGUGGAGAUCUAUUCGAUGUAAUCUUCUUUUUGCGGUGUGUUUGUUGAGACCGAUGAAUUGUGGGUUUAUGAUCCAACUUAUCUAUGAAUAAUAUUUGAAUCUUCUCUGAAUUCUUUUAUGUAUGAUUGAGUUAUCUUUGCAAGUCUCUUCGAAUUAUCCGUUUGGUUUGGCCAACUAGAUUGGUAGUUCUUGCAAUGGGAGAAAUGCAUGACUUUGGGUUCAAUCUUGCGGUGUCCUUACUCAGGGAACAUAGUAAUUUCAAAAAAUUUCCUAUGCACACGCAAGAUCAUGGUGAUGCAUAGCAACGAGAGGGGAGAGUGUUGUCUACGUACCAACGCAGACCGACUGCGGAAGUGAUCACACAACGUAGAGGAAGUAGUCGUACGUCUUCCCGAUCCGACCGAUCCAAGCACCGUUACUCCGGCACCUCCGAGUUCUUAGCACACGUUCAGCUCGAUAACGAUCCUUGGGCUCCGAUCCAGCAAAGCGUCGAGGAAGAGUUCCGUCAGCACGACGGCGUGAUGACGAUCUUGAUGUACUACUGACGCAGGGCUUCGCCUAAGCACUGCAACAAUAUGAUCGAGGUGGAAUUUGGUGGCAGGGGCACCGCACACGGCUAAGGAACGAUCACCAAGGAUCAACUUGUGUGUCUAUGGGGUGCCCCCUGCCUCAGUAUAUAAAGGAUGGAGGAGGGGGAGGCCGGCUAAGGCUAUUGGUGCGGCCAGGAUGGGAGUCCUACUAGGACUCCAAGUCCUAGUAGGAGUCCAUCAAGAGGGGAGGAAGGGAGAAGGAAGUGGAGGAGAAGGAGAGGUGGCCGGCCCCCUUUUCCCUAGUCCAAUUCGGACCAAAGGGGAGGGGGGGGGUGAAGGAAAUAUGCCCUAGAGGCAAUAAUAAAGUUAUUAUUUAUUUCCUUAUAUCAUGAUAAAUGUUUAUUAUUCAUGCUAGAAUUGUAUUAACCGGAAACAUAAUACAGGUGUGAAUACAUAGACCAACAGAGUGUCACUAGUAUGCCUCUACUAGACUAGCUCGUUAAUCAAAGAUGGUUAUGUUUCCUAACCAUGAACAAAGAGUUGUUAUUUGAUUAACGAGGUCACAUCAUUAGUUGAAUGAUCUGAUUGACAUGACCCAUUCCAUUAGCUUAGCACCCGAUCGUUUAGUAUGUUGCUAUUGCUUUCUUCAUGACUUAUACAUGUUCCUAUAACUAUGAGAUUAUGCAACUCCCGUUUACCGGAGGAACACUUUGGGUACUACCAAACGUCACAACGUAACUGGGUGAUUAUAAAGGAGUACUACAGGUGUCUCCAAUGGUAGAUGUUGGGUUGGCGUAUUUCGAGAUUAGGGUUUGUCACUCCGAUUGUCGGAGAGGUAUCUCUGGGCCCUCUCGGUAAUACACAUCACAUAAGCCUUGCAAGCAUAAUAACUAAGAUGUUAGUUAUGAGAUGAUGUAUUACGGAACAAGUAAAGAGACUUGCCAGUAACGAGAUUGAACUAGGUAUUGGAUACCGACGAUCGAAUCUCGGGCAAGUAACAUACCGAUGACAAAGGGAACAACGUAUGUUGUUAUGCGGUCUGACCGAUAAAGAUCUUCGUAGAAUAUGUAGGAGCCAAUAUGGGCAUCCAGGUCCCGCUAUUGGUUAUUGACCGGAGACAUGUCUCGGUCAUGUCUACAUUGUUCUCGAACCGUAGGGUCCGCACGCUUAACGUUACGAUGACAGUUAUUAUGAGUUUAUGCAUUUUGAUGUACCGAAGGUUGUUCGGAGUCCCGGAUGUGAUCACGGACAUGACGAGGAGUCUCGAAAUGGUCGAGACGUAAAGAUUGAUAUAUUGGAAGCCUAUGUUUGGACACCGGAAGUGUUCCGGGUGAAAUCGGGAUUUUACCGGAAUACCGGGAGGGUUACCGGAACCCCCCGGGAGGCAAAUGGGCCUAUUGGGCCUUAGUGGAAAAGUGAAAGGGGCUGCCCACAAGGGCUGCGCGCCUUCCCCCCUUCCCUAGUCCUAUUAGGACUAGGAGAAGGGGCCGGCCCCCCUCUUUCUCUCUUCUCUUUGGAGAGUCCUAUUAGGAAUAGGAUUGGGGGGGGGGGGGAGUCCUACUCCCGGUAGGAGUAGGACUCCUCCUGCGCCUCUCUCCCUAGCCGGCCGAACCCCUCCCCCUGCUCCUUUAUAUACGGGGGCAGGGGGCACCCCAUAGACACACAAGUUGAUCAUUGUUGAUCGUUCCUUAGCCGUGUGCGGUGCCCCUGCCAACAAAUUCCACCUCGAUCAUAUUGUUGUAGAGCUUAGGCGAAGCCCUGCGUCGGUAGUACAUCAAGAUCGUCACCACGCCGUUGUGCUGACGGAACUCUUCCUCGAUGCUUUGCUGGAUCAGAGCCCGAGGAUCGUCAUCGAGCUGAACGUGUGCUAAGAACUCGGAGGUGCCGGAGUAACGAUGCUUGGAUCGGUCGGAUCGGGAAGAAGACGUACGACUACUUCCUCUACGUUGUGUGAUCGCUUCCGCAGUCGGUCUGUGUUGGUAUGUAGACAAUACUCUCCCCCUUGUUGCUAUGCAUCACCAUGAUCUUGUGUGUGCGUAGGAAAAUUUUGAAAUUACUACGUUCCCCAACAGUGGCAUCCGAGCCUAGGUUUUAUGGUUUGAUGUUAUUUGCACGAGUAGAACACAAGUGAGUUGUGGGCGAUACAAGUCAUACUGCCUACCAGCAUGUCAUACUUUGGUUCGGCGGUAUUGUUGGACGAGACGAUCCGGACCAACAUUACGCGUACUCUUACGCGAGACCGGUUCCCUCGACGUGCUUUGCACAUAGAUGGCUUGCGGAAGACUGUCUCUCCAACUUUAGUUGAACCAAGUGUGACUACGCCCGGUCCUUGAGAAGGUUAAAACGGAGUCUAUUUGAUGAACUAUCGUUGUGGUUUUGAUGCGUAGGUGAGAUGAGUUCUUACUUAAGCCCGUAGGAGCCACGUAAAACUUGCAACAACAAAGUAGAGGACGUCUAACUUGUUUUUGCAGGGCAUGUUGUGAUGUGAUAUGGUCAAGGCAUGAUGCUGAUUUUAUUGUAUGAGAUGAUCAUGUUUUGUAACCGAGUUAUCGGCAACUGGCAGGAGCCAUAUGGUUGUCGCUUUAUUGUAUGCAAUGCAAUCGCGAUGUAAUGCUUUACUUUAUUACUAAGCGGUAGUGAUAGUCGUGGAAGCAUAAGAUUGGCGAGACGACAACGAUGCUACGAUGGAGAUCAAGGUGUCGCGCCGGUGACGAUGGUGAUCAUGACGGUGCUUCGGAGAUGGAGAUCACAAGCACAAGAUGAUGAUGGCCAUAUCAUAUCACUUAUAUUGAUUGCAUGUGAUGUUUAUCCUUUUAUGCAUCUUAUCUUGCUUUGAUUGACGGUAGCAUUAUAAGAUGAUCUCUCAAUAAAUUAUCAAGAAGUGUUCUCCCUGAGUAUGCACCGUUGCCAAAGUUCGUCGUGCCCAGACACCACGUGAUGAUCGGGUGUGAUAAGCUCUACGUCCAUCUACAACGGGUGCAAGCCAGUUUUGCACACGCAGAAUACUCAGGUUAAACUUGACGAGCCUAGCAUAUGCAGAUAUGGCCUCGGAACACAGAGACUGAAAGGUCGAGCGUGAAUCAUAUAGUAGAUAUGAUCAACAUGACGAUGUUCACCACUGAAAACUACUCCAUCUCACGUGAUGAUCGGUUAUGGUUUAGUUGAUUUGGAUCACGUGAUCACUUAGAGGAUUAGAGGGAUGUCUAUCUAAGUGGGAGUUCCUAAGUAAUUUGAUUAACUGAACUUAAACUUAUCAUGAACUUAGUACCUGAUAGUAUCUUGCUUGUUUAUGUUGAUUGUAGAUAGAUGGCUCGUGCUGUUGUUCCGUUGAAUUUUAAUGCGUUCCUUGAGAAAGCAAAGUUGAAAGAUGAUGGUAGCAAUUACACGGACUGGGUCCAUAACCUGAGGAUUAUCCUCAUUGCUGCACAGAAGAAUUACGUCCUGGAAGCACCGCUGGAUGCCAGGCCUGCUGCUGGAGCAACGCCAGAUGUUAUGAACGUCUGGCAGAGCAAAGCUGAUGACUACUCGAUAGUUCAGUGUGCCAUGCUUUACGGCUUAGAAUUGGGACUUCAACGACGUUUUGAACGUCAUGGAGCAUAUGAGAUGUUCCAGGAGUUGAAGUUAAUAUUUCAAGCAAAUGCCCGAAUUGAGAGAUAUGAAGUCUCCAAUAAGUUCUAUAGCUGCAAGAUGGAGGAGAACAGUUCUGUCAGUGAGCAUAUACUCAAAAUGUCUGGGUAUAAUAAUCACUUGAUUCAGAUGGGAGUUAAUCUUCCAGAUGAUUGCGUCAUUGACAGAAUUCUCCAAUCACUGCCACCAAGCUACAAGAGCUUCGUGAUGAACUAUAAUAUGCAAGGGAUGAACAAGACUAUUCCCGAGCUCUUCGCAAUGCUGAAAGCUACGGAGGUAGAAAUCAAGAAGGAGCAUCAAGUGUUGAUGGUUAGCAAAACCACUAGUUUCAAGAAAAAGGGCAAAGGGAAGAAGAAGGGAAACUUCAAAAAGAACAGCAAGCAAGUUGCUGCCCAGGAGAAGAAACCCAAGUCUGGACCUAAGCCUGAAACUGAGUGCUUCUACUGCAAGCAGACUGGUCACUGGAAGCGGAACUGCCCCAAGUAUUUGGCGGAUAAGAAGGAUGGCAAGGUGAACAAAGGUAUAUGUGAUAUACAUGUUAUUGAUGUGUACCUUACUAGAGCUCGCAGUAGCACCUGGGUAUUUGAUACUGGUUCUGUUGCUAAUAUUUGCAACUGGAAACAGGGACUACGGAAUAAGCGGACGCUAGCAAAGGACGAGGUGACGAUGCGCGUGGGAAACGGUUCCAAAGUCGAUGUGAUCGCGGUCGGCACGCUACCUCUACAUCUACCUUCGGGAUUAAUAUUAGACCUAAAUAAUUGUUAUUUGGUGCCAGCGUUGAGCAUGAACAUUAUAUCUGGAUCUUGUUUGAUGCGAGACGGUUAUUCAUUUAAAUCAGAGAAUAAUGGUUGUUCUAUUUAUAUGAGUAAUAUCUUUUAUGGUCAUGCACCUUUGAAGAGUGGUCUAUUCUUAUUGAAUCUCGAUAGUAGUGAUACACAUAUUCAUAAUGUAGAAGCCAAAAGAUGCAGAGUUGAUAAUGAUAGUGCAACUUAUUUGUGGCACUGCCGUUUAGGUCAUAUCGGUGUAAAGCGCAUGAAGAAACUCCAUACUGAUGGGCUUUUGGAACCACUUGAUUAUGAAUCACUUGGUACUUGCGAACCGUGCCUCAUAGGCAAGAUGACUAAAACACCGUUCUCCGGUACUAUGGAGAGAGCAACAGAUUUAUUGGAAAUCAUACAUACCGAUGUAUGUGGUCCGAUGAAUAUUGAGGCUCGUGGAGGAUAUCGUUAUUUUCUCACCUUCACAGAUGAUUUAAGCAGAUAUGGGUAUAUCUACUUAAUGAAACAUAAGUCUGAAACAUUUGAAAAGUUCAAGGAAUUUCAGAGUGAAGUAGAAAAUCAUCGUAACAAGAAAAUAAAGUUUCUACGACCUGAUCGUGGAGGAGAAUAUUUGAGUUACGAGUUUGGUAUACAUUUGAAAAACUGUGGAAUAGUUUCGCAACUCACGCCACCCGGAACACCACAGCGUAAUGGUGUGUCCGAACGUCGUAAUCGUACUUUACUAGAUAUGGUGCGAUCUAUGAUGUCUCUUACUGAUUUGCCGCUAUCAUUUUGGGGUUAUGCUUUAGAGACGGCUGCAUUCACGUUAAAUAGGGCACCAUCAAAAUCCGUUGAGACGACGCCUUAUGAACUAUGGUUUGGCAAGAAACCAAAGUUGUCGUUUCUUAAAGUUUGGGGCUGCGAUGCUUAUGUGAAAAAGCUUCAACCUGAUAAGCUCGAACCCAAAGCGGAGAAAUGUGUCUUCAUAGGAUACCCAAAGGAAACUGUUGGGUAUACCUUCUAUCACAGAUCCGAAGGCAAAACAUUCGUUGCUAAGAAUGGAUCAUUUCUAGAGAAGGAGUUUCUCUCGAAAGAAGUGAGUGGGAGGAAAGUAGAACUUGACGAGGUAACUGUACCUGCUCCCUUAUUGGAAAAUAGUACAUCACAGAAAACUGUUUCUGCGACACCUAUACCAAUUAGUGAGGAAGCUAAUGAUGAUGAUCAUGAAACUUCAGGACAAGAUACUACUGAACCACGUAGAUCAACCAGAGUGAGAUCCGCACCAGAGUGGUACGGUAAUCCAGUUCUGGAAGUCAUGCUACUAGAUCAUGAUGAACCUACGAACUAUGAAGAAGCGAUGGUGAGCCCAGAUUCCGCAAAGUGGCUUGAGGCCAUGAAAUCUGAGAUGGGAUCCAUGUAUGAGAACAAAGUAUGGACUUUGGUUGACUUGCCCGAUGAUCGGCAAGCAAUUGAGAAUAAAUGGAUCUUCAAGAAAAAGACUGACGCUGACGGUAAUAUUACUGUCUAUAAAGCUCGACUUGUCGCAAAAGGUUUUCGACAAGUUCAAGGGGUUGACUACGAUGAGACCUUCUCACCCGUAGCGAUGCUUAAAUCCGUCAGAAUUAUGUUAGCGAUUGCUGUGUUUUAUGAUUAUGAAAUAUGGCAAAUGGAUGUCAAAACUGCAUUCCUGAAUGGAUUUCUGGAAGAAGAGUUGUAUAUGAUGCAACCAGAAGGUUUUGUCGAUCCGAAGGGAGCUCACAAAGUGUGCAAACUCCAGCGAUCCAUUUAUGGACUGGUGCAAGCAUCUCGGAGUUGGAAUAAACGCUUUGAUAGUGUGAUCAAAGCAUUUGGCUUUAUACAGACUUUUGGAGAAGCCUGUAUUUACAAGAAAGUGAGUGGGAGCUCUGUAGCAUUUCUGAUAUUAUAUGUGGAUGACAUAUUGCUGAUUGGAAAUGAUAUAGAAUUUCUGGAUAGCAUAAAGGGAUACUUGAAUAAAAGUUUUUCGAUGAAAGACCUCGGGGAAGCUUCUUACAUAUUAGGCAUAAAGAUCUAUAGAGAUAGAUCAAGACGCUUAAUUGGACUUUCACAAAGCACAUACCUUGACAAGAUUUUGAAGAAGUUCAAAAUGGAUCAAGCAAAGAAAGGGUUCUUGCCUGUGUUACAAGGUGUGAAGUUGAGUCAGACUCAAUGCCCGACCACUGCAGAAGAUAGAGAGAAAAUGAAAGAUGUUCCCUAUGCUUCAGCCAUAGGCUCUAUCAUGUAUGCAAUGCUGUGUACCAGACCUGAUGUGUGCCUUGCUAUAAGUUUAGCAGGGAGGUACCAAAGUAAUCCAGGAGUGGAUCACUGGACAGCGGUCAAGAACAUCCUGAAAUACCUGAAAAGGACUAGGGAUAUGUUUCUCGUAUAUGGAGGUGACAAAGAGCUCACCGUAAGAGGUUACGUUGAUGCAAGCUUUGACACUGAUCCGGACGAUUCUAAAUCGCAAACCGGAUAUGUGUUUACUUUAAACGGUGGAGCUGUCAGUUGGUGCAGUUCUAAACAAAGCAUCGUAGCGGGAUCUACAUGUGAAGCGGAGUACAUAGCUGCUUCAGAAGCAGCGAACGAAGGAGUCUAGAUGAAGGAGUUCAUAUCCGAUCUAGUUGUCGUACCUAGUGCAUCGGGUCCAAUGAAAAUCUUCUGUGACAAUACUGGUGCAAUUGCCUUGGCAAAGGAAUCCAGAUUUCACAAAAGAACCGAACACAUCAAGAGACACUUCAACUCCAUCCGGGAUUUAGUCCAGGUGGGAGACAUAGAGAUUUGCAAGAUACAUACGGAUCUGAAUGUUGCAGACCCGUUGACUAAGCCUCUUCCACGAGCAAAACAUGAUCAGCACCAAGGCUCCAUGGGUGUUAGAAUCAUUACUGUGUAAUCUAGAUUAUUGACUCUAGUGCAAGUGGGAGACUGAAGGAAAUAUGCCCUAGAGGCAAUAAUAAAGUUAUUAUUUAUUUCCUUAUAUCAUGAUAAAUGUUUAUUAUUCAUGCUAGAAUUGUAUUAACCGGAAACAUAAUACAUGUGUGAAUACAUAGACAAACAGAGCGUCACUAGUAUGCCUCUACUAGACUACCUCGUUAAUCAAAGAUGGUUAUGUUUCCUAACCAUGAACAAAGAGUUGUUAUUUGAUUAACGAGGUCACAUCAUUAGUUGAAUGAUCUGAUUGACAUGACCCAUUCCAUUAGCUUAGCACCCGAUCGUUUAGUAUGUUGCUAUUGCUUUCUUCAUGACUUAUACAUGUUCCUAUAACUAUGAGAUUAUGCAACUCCCGUUUACCGGAGGAACACUUUGGGUACUACCAAACGUCACAACGUAACUGGGUGAUUAUAAAGGAGUACUACAGGUGUCUCCAAUGGUAGAUGUUGGGUUGGCGUAUUUCGAGAUUAGGGUUUGUCACUCCGAUUGUCGGAGAGGUAUCUCUGGGCCCUCUCGGUAAUACACAUCACAUAAGCCUUGCAAGCAUAAUAACUAAGAUGUUAGUUAUGAGAUGAUGUAUUACGGAACGAGUAAAGAGACUUGCCAGUAACGAGAUUGAACUAGGUAUUGGAUACCGACGAUCGAAUCUCGGGCAAGUAACAUACCGAUGACAAAGGGAACAACGUAUGUUGUUAUGCGGUCUGACCGAUAAAGAUCUUCGUAGAAUAUGUAGGAGCCAAUAUGGGCAUCCAGGUCCCGCUAUUGGUUAUUGACCGGAGACAUGUCUCGGUCAUGUCUACAUUGUUCUCGAACCGUAGGGUCCGCACGCUUAACGUUACGAUGACAGUUAUUAUGAGUUUAUGCAUUUUGAUGUACCGAAGGUUGUUCGGAGUCCCGGAUGUGAUCACGGACAUGACGAGGAGUCUCGAAAUGGUCGAGACGUAAAUAUUGAUAUAUUGGAAGCCUAUGUUUGGACACCGGAAGUGUUCCGGGUGAAAUCGGGAUUUUACCGGAAUACCGGGAGGGUUACUGGAACCCCCCGGGAGGCAAAUGGGCCUAUUGGGCCUUAGUGGAAAAGUGAAAGGGGCUGCCCACAAGGGCUGCGCGCCUUCCCCCCUUCCCUAGUCCUAUUAGGACUAGGAGAAGGGGCCGGCCCCCCUCUUUCUCUCUUCUCUUUGGAGAGUCCUAUUAGGAAUAGGAUUGGGGGGGGGAGUCCUACUCCCGGUAGGAGUAGGACUCCUCCUGCGCCUCUCUCCCUAGCCGGCCGAACCCCUCCCCCUGCUCCUUUAUAUACGGGGGCAGGGGGCACCCCAUAGACACACAAGUUGAUCAUUGUUGAUCGUUCCUUAGCCAUGUGCGGUGCCCCUGCCACCAAAUUCCACCUCGAUCAUAUUGUUGUAGAGCUUAGGCGAAGCCCUGCGUCGGUAGUACAUCAAGAUCGUCACCACGCCGUUGUGCUGACGGAACUCUUCCUCGACGCUUUGCUAGAUCGGAGCCCGAGGAUCGUCAUCGAGCUGAACGUGUGCUAAGAACUCGGAGGUGCCGGAGUAACGGUGCUUGGAUCGGUCGGAUCGGGAAGAAGACGUACGACUACUUCCUCUACGUUGUGUGAUCGCUUCCGCAGUCGGUCUGCGUUGGUACGUAGACAAUACUCUCCCCCUUGUUGCUAUGCAUCACCAUGAUCUUGCGUGUGCGUAGGAAAAUUUUGAAAUUACUACGUUCCCCAACAGGGGGGUGCAGCAGCCUUUUUCCUCUUCCCACUAAAGCCCAUUAAGGCCCAUUACUUCUCCCGUAACUACCCGGUACUCCGAAAAAUACCCGAAUCACUCGGAACCUUUCCGAUGUCCGAAUAUAGUCGUCCAAUAUAUCGAUCUUUACAUCUUGACCAUUUCGAGACUCCUCGUCAUGUCCCCGAUCUCAUCCGGGACUCCGAACUCCUUCGGUACAUCAAAAAUCAUAAACUCAUAAUAUAACUGUCAUCGAAACCUUAAGCGUGCGGACCCUACGGUUCGAGAACAAUGUAGACAUGACCGAGACACGUCUCCGGUCAAUAACCAAUAGCGGAACCUCUAUGCCCAUAUUGGCUCCUACAUAUUCUAUGAAGAUCUUUAUCGGUCAGACCGGAUAACAACAUACGUUGUUCCCUUUGUCAUCGGUAUGUUACUUGCCCGAGAUUCGAUCGUCGGUAUCCAAUACCUAGUUCAAUCUCGUUACAGGCAAGUCUCUUUACUUGUUCUGUAAUACAUCAUCCCGCAACUAACUCAUUAGUUGCAAUGCUUGCAAGGCUUGUGUAAUGUGUAUUACCGAGAGGGCCCAGAGAUACCUCUCCGACAAUCGGAGUGACAAAUCCUAAUCUCGAAAUACGCCAACCCAACAUCUACCAUUGGAGACACCUGUAGUACUCCUUUAUAAUCACCCAGUUACGUUGUGAUGUUUGGUAGCACCCAAAGUGUUCCUCCGGUAAACGGGAGUUGCAUAAUCUCAUAGUCAUAGGAACAUGUAUAAGUCAUGAAGAAUAGUAACAGCAACAUACUAAACGAUCGGGUGCUAAGCUAAUGGAAUGGGUCAUGUCAAUCAGAUCAUUCAACUAAUGAUGUGACCUCGUUAAUCAAAUAACAACUCUUUUGUCCAUGGUUAGGAAACAUAACCAUCUUUGAUUAACGAGCUAGUCAAGAAGAGGCAUACUAGUGACACUCUGUUUGUCUAUGUAUUCACACAUGUAUUAUGUUUUCGGUUAAUACAAUUCUAGCAUGAAUAAUAAACAUUUAUCAUGAUAUAAGGAAAUAAAUAAUAACUUUAUUAUUGCCUCUAGGGCAUAUUUCCUUCAGUCUCCCACUUGCACUAGAGUCAAUAAUCUAGUUCACAUCGCCAUGUGAUUUAACAGCAAUAGUUCACAUCACCAUGUGAUUAACACCCAUAGUUCACAUCUGUUGGAAAUAUGCCCUAGAGGCAAUAAUAAAAGCAUUAUUAUUAUAUUUCCUUGUUCAUGAUAAUUGUCUUUAUUCAUGCUAUAAUUGUGUUAUCCGGAAAUCGUAAUACAUGUGUGAAUAACAGACACCAACAUGUCCCUAGUAAGCCUCUAGUUGACUAGCUCGUUAAUCAACGGAUAGUCAUGGUUUCCUGGCUAUGGACAUAGGAUGUCAUUGAUAACGAGAUCACAUCAUUAGGAGAAUGAUGUGAUGGACAAGACCCAAUCCUAAACAUAGCAUAAAGAUCGUAUAGUUCGUUUGCUAGAGUUUUGCAAUGUCAAGUAUCUUUUCCUUAGACCAUGAGAUCGUGUAACUCCCGGAUACCGUAGGAGUGCCUUGGGUAUGCCAAACGUCACAACGUAACUGGGUGACUAUAAAGGUAGACUACGGGUAUCUUCGAAAGUGUCUGUUGGGUUGACACGGAUCAAGACUGGGAUUUGUCACUCCGUAUGACGGAGAGGUAUCACUGGGCCCACUCGGUAAUGCAUCAUCAUGAGCUCAAAGUGACCAAGUGUCUGGUCACGGGAUCAUGCAUUACGAUACGAGUAAAGUGACUUGCCGGUAACGAGAUUGAACGAGGUAUUGGGAUACCGACGAUCGAAUCUCGGGCAAGUAAUAUAUAUCGAUUGACAAAGGGAAUUGCAUACGGGGUUGAUUGAAUCCUCGACAUCGUGGUUCAUCCGAUGAGAUCAUCGUGGAGUAUGUGGGAGCCAACAUGGUUAUCCAGAUCCCGCUGUUGGUUAUUGACUGGAGAGUCGUCUCGGUCAUGUCUGCAUGUCUCUCGAACCCGUAGGGUCUACACACUUAAGGUUCGGUGACGCUAGGGUUGUGAAGAUAUGUAUAUGCAGUAACCCGAAUGUUGUUCGGAGUCCCGGAUGAGAUCCCGGACGUCACGAGGAGUUCCGGAAUAGUCCGGAGGUAAAGAAUUAUAUAUAGGAAGUGCUGUUUCGGCCAUCGGGACAAGUUUCGGGGUUACAGGUAUUGUACCGGGACCACCGGAAGGGUCCCGGGGGUCCACCGGGUGGGGCCACCUAUCCCGGAGGGCCCCAUGGGCUGAAGUGGGAAGGGACCCAGCCCAUAGUGGGCUGGGGCGCCACCCCCUAAGGGCCCAUGCGCCUAGGGUUUAGGGGAAACCCUAAAGGGGGCGCCCCCUUGCUUGGGGGGCAAGCCCCCCACCCCUUGGCCGCCGCCCCCCUAGGAGAUCCAUCUCCUAGGGCCGGCGCCCCCCCCCUUGGCACCCCUAUAUAUAGUGGGGGAGAGGAGGGACUUGAGGCUACGGCUUUUGGUGCGUCCCUCUCUCCCUGUUACGUCUCUCUCUCUCGUAGUAAAGGCGAAGCCCUGCUACUGUGACGCCCUGCAUCCACCACCACGCCGUCGUGCUGCUAGAUCAUCAUCAACCUCGCCUUCCCCCUUGCUGGAUCAAGAAGGAGGAGACGUCUCCCGUCCCGUACGUGUGUUGAACGCGGAGGUGCCGUCCGUUCGGCACUUGGUCAUUGGUGAUUUGGAUCACGUCGUGUUCGACUACAUCAUCCCCGUUCUUUGAACGCUUCCGCACGCGAUCUACAAAGGUAUGUAGAUGCAUCUGAUGACUCGUUGCUAGAUGAACUCCUAGAUGGAUCUUGGUGAAACGAGUAGGAAAUUUUUUGUUUUCUGCAACGUUCACCAACAGUGGUAUCAGAGCUAGGUCUAUGCGUAGUUCUUCUUGCGCGAGUAGAACACAAUUUGUUGUGGGCGUGGAUUUGUCAACUUUCUUGCCGCUACUAGUCUUUUCUUGCUUCAGCGGUAUUGUGGGAUGAAGCGGCCCGGACCAACCUUACACGUACGCUUACGUGAGACCGGUUUCACCGACUAACAUGCACUAGUUGCAUAAGGUGGCUGGUGGGUGUCUGUCUCUCCUACUUUAGUUGGAGCGGAUUCGAUGAACAGGGUCCUUAUGAAGGGUAAAUAGAAGUUGACAAAUCAUGUUGUGGCUUUCACCUAGGUAACAAAACGUUCUUGCUAGAACCCUAAUUCAGCCACGUAAAACUUGCAACAACAAUUAGAGGACGUCUAACUUGUUUUUGCAGCAAGUGGUUUGUGAUGUGAUAUGGCCAAAGUUGUGAUGAAUGAUGAAUGAUCUAUAUGUGAUGUAUGAGAUGUUCAUGCUAUUGUAAUAGGAAUCACGACUUGCAUGUCGAUGAGUAUGACAUCCGGCAGGAGCCAUAGGAGUUGUCUUUAUUCUUUUAUAUGACCUGCGUGUCAUUGAGAAACGCCAUGUAAAUUACUUUACUUUAUUGCUAAACGCGUUAGCCAUAGUAGUAGAAGUAAUAGUUGGUGAGCAACUUCAUGGAGACACGAUGAUGGAGAUCAUGGUGUCAAGCCGGUGACAAGAUGAUCAUGGAGCCCCAAGAUGGAGAUCAAAGGAGCUAUGUGAUAUUGGCCAUAUCAUGUCACGUUUAUUAUUUGAUUGCACGUGAUGUUUAUCAUGUUUUGCAUCUUGUUUACUUAGAACGACGGUAGUAAAUAAGAUGAUCCCUCAUAACAAUUUCAAGAAGUGUUCUCCCCUAACUGUGCACCGUUGCUAAAGUUCGUCGUUUCGAAGCACCACGUGAUGAUCGGGUGUGAUAGAUUCUUACAUUCACAUACAACGGGUGUAAGACAGUUUUACAUAUGCAAAACACUUAGGGUUAACUUGACGAGCCUAGCAUGUGUAUAGACAUGGCCUCGGAACACAGAAGACCGAAAGGUCGAGCAUGAGUCGUAUAGAAGAUACGAUCAACAUGAAGAUGUUCACUGACGUUGACUAGUCCGUCUCACGUGAUGAUCGGACACGGCCUAGUUAACUCGGAUCAUGUAAUAUGUAGAUGACUAGAGGGAUGUCUAAUCUAAGUGGGAGUUCAUUAUAUAAUUUGAUUAGAUGAACUUUAUUAUCAUGAACAUUAGUCUAAAACAUUUUACAAUAUGUCUUGUAGAUCAAAUGGCCCACGUAGUCCUCAACUUCAACGCGUUCCUAGAGAAAACCAAGCUGAAAGAUGAUGGCAGCAACUAUACGGACUGGGUCCGGAACCUGAGGAUCAUCCUCAUAGCUGCCAAGAAAGAUUACGUCCUACAAGCACCGCUAGGUGAAGCUCCCGUCCCACAGAACCAAGACGUUAUGAAUGCUUGGCAGACACGUGUUGACGACUACUCCCUCAUUCAGUGCGGCAUGCUUUACAGUUUAGAGCCGGGGCUCCAAAAGCGUUUUGAGAGACAUGGAGCAUAUGAGAUGUUCGAAGAGCUGAAAAUGGUUUUCCAAGCUCAUGCCCGGGUCGAGAGAUAUGAGGUCUCCGACAAGUUCUUCAGCUGUAAGAUGGAGGAAAAUAGUUCUGUCAGUGAGCACAUACUCACUAUGUCUGGGUUACAUAACCACUUGACUCAGCUGGGAGUUAAUCUCCCGGAUGAUGCGGUCAUUGACAGAAUCCUCCAGUCGCUUCCACCAAGCUACAAGAGCUUUGUGAUGAACUUCAACAUGCAGGGGAUGCAAAAGACCAUUCCUGAGUUGUUUUCAAUGCUGAAAUCAGCGGAGGUAGAAGUCAAGAAGGAACAUCAAGUGUUGAUGGUCAACAAAACCACUAAGUUCAAGAAAGGCAAGGGUAAAAAGAACUUCAAGAAGGACGGCAAGGAAGUAGGCGCGCCCGGCAAGCAAGCUGCCGGGAAGAAGCCAAAGAAUGGACCCAAGCCCGAGACUGAGUGCUUUUAUUGCAAGGGAAGCGGUCACUGGAAGCGGAACUACCCCAAAUACUUAGCAGACAAGAAGGCCGACAAAACAAAAGGUAUAUGUGAUAUACAUGUAAUUGAUGUGUACCUUACCAGUAAUCGUAGUAGCUCUUGGGUAUUUGAUACCGGUGCAGUUGCUCACAUUUGUAACUCACAGCAGGAACUACGGAAUAAGCGGAGACUGGCAAAGGAUGAGGUGACGAUGCGCGUCGGGAAUGGUUCCAAAGUCGAUGUGAUCGCCGUCGGCACGCUACCUCUUCAUUUACCUACGGGAUUAGUUUUAAACCUCAAUAAUUGUUAUUUAGUACCAGCUUUGAGCAUGAACAUUGUAUCGGGAUCUCGUUUAAUUCGAGAUGGCUACUCAUUUAAAUCCGAGAAUAAUGGUUGUUCUAUUUAUAUGAGAGAUAUGUUUUAUGGUCAUGCUCCUAUGGUGAAUGGUUUAUUCUUUAUGAAUCUCGAACGUAAUGCUACACAUGUUCAUAGUGUGAGUACCAAAAGAUGUAAGGUUGAUAAUGAUAGUCCCACAUACUUGUGGCACUGCCGCCUUGGUCACAUAGGUGUCAAACGCAUGAAGAAGCUCCAUGCAGAUGGACUUUUAGAGUCUCUUGAUUAUGAAUCAUUUGACACGUGCGAACCAUGCCUUAUGGGUAAAAUGACCAAGACUCCGUUCUCAGGAACAAUGGAGCGAGCAACCAACUUAUUGGAAAUCAUACAUACUGAUGUGUGCGGUCCAAUGAGUGUUGAGGCUCGCGGUGGCUAUCGUUAUGUUCUCACCCUCACUGAUGAUUUGAGUAGAUAUGGAUAUAUUUACUUAAUGAAACACAAGUCUGAAACCUUUGAAAAGUUCAAGGAAUUUCAGAGUGAGGUUGAGAAUCAACGUGACAGGAAAAUCAAGUUUCUACGAUCAGAUCGUGGAGGAGAAUACUUGAGUCAUGAAUUUGGCACACACUUAAGAAAAUGUGGAAUAGUUUCACAACUCACGCCGCCUGGAACACCUCAGCGUAAUGGUGUGUACGAACGUCGUAAUUGCACUCUAUUAGAUAUGGUGCGGUCUAUGAUGUCUCUUACCGAUCUACCGCUAUCUUUUUGGGGCUAUGCUUUAGAGACUGCUGCAUUCACUUUAAAUAGGGCACCGUCAAAAUCCGUUGAGACGACACCGUUUGAAUUAUGGUUUGGGAAGAAACCUAAGUUGUCGUUUCUGAAAGUUUGGGGAUGCGAUGCUUAUGUCAAGAAACUUCAACCUGAAAAGCUCGAACCCAAGUCGGAAAAAUGCGUCUUCAUAGGAUACCCAAAAGAAACUAUUGGGUAUACCUUCUACCUUAGAUCCGAAGGCAAGAUCUUUGUUGCCAAGAAUGGAUCCUUUCUAGAGAAAGAGUUUCUCUCGAAAGAAGUAAGUGGGAGGAAAGUAGAACUUGAUGAAGUGUUACCUCUUGAACCGGAAAAUGGCGCAACUCAAGAAAAUGUUCCUGAGGUGCCUGCACCGACUAGAGAGGAAGUUAAUGAUGAUGAUCAUGAAACUUCUGAUCAAGUUGCUACUGAACUUCGAAGGUCCACAAGGACACGUUCCGCACCAGAGUGGUACGGCAACCCUGUCUUGGAAAUCAUGUUGUUAGACAACGGUGAACCUUCGAGUUAUGAAGAAGCGAUGGCGGGCCCGGAUUCCGACAAAUGGCUAGAAGCCAUGAAAUCCGAGAUAGGAUCCAUGUAUGAAAACGAAGUAUGGACUUUGACUGACUUGCCCGUUGAACGGCAAGCCAUAGAAAAUAAAUGGAUCUUUAAGAAGAAGACAGACGCGGAUGGUAAUGUGACCAUCUAUAAAGCUCGGCUUGUCGCUAAGGGUUAUCGACAAGUUCAAGGGGUUGACUACGAUGAGACUUUCUCACCGGUAGCGAAGCUAAAGUCCGUCCGAAUCAUGUUAGCAAUUGCCGCGUUUUACGAUUAUGAAAUAUGGCAAAUGGACGUCAAAACGGCAUUCCUUAAUGGUUUCCUUAAGGAAGAAUUGUAUAUGAUGCAGCCGGAAGGUUUUGUCGAUCCUAAGAAUGCUGACGAAGUGUGCAAGCUCCAACGCUCGAUUUAUGGGCUGGUGCAAGCAUCUCGGAGUUGGAACAUUCGCUUUGAUGAGAUGAUCAAAGCGUUUGGGUUUACGCAGACUUAUGGAGAAGCCUGCGUUUACAAGAAAGUGAGUGGGAGCUCUGUAGCAUUUCUCAUAUUAUAUGUAGAUGACAUACUUUUGAUGGGAAAUGAUAUAGAACUCUUGGACAGCAUCAAGGCCUACUUGAAUAAGAGUUUUUCAAUGAAGGACCUUGGAGAAGCUGCUUAUAUAUUAGGCAUCAAAAUCUAUAGAGAUAGAUUGAGACGCCUCAUAGGUCUUUCACAAAGCACAUACCUUGAUAAGAUAUUGAAGAAGUUCAAUAUGGAUCAAUCUAAGAAGGGGUUCUUGCCUGUGUUACAAGGUAUGAAAUUGAGCUCGGCUCAAAGUCCGACCACGGCAAAAGAAAUAGAAGAGAUGAGUGUCAUCCCCUAUGCCUCAGCCAUAGGUUCUAUUAUGUAUGCCAUGCUGUGUACCAGACCUGAUGUAAACCUUGCCGUAAGUUUGGUAGGAAGGUACCAAAGUAAUCCCGGCAAGGAACACUGGACAGCGGUCAAGAAUAUCCUGAAGUACCUGAAAAGGACUAAGGAAAUGUUUCUCGUUUAUGGAGGUGACGAAGAGCUCGCCGUAAAGGGUUACGUCGACGCUAGCUUCGACACAGAUCUGGAUGACUCAAAGUCACAAACCGGAUACGUGUAUAUUUUGAAUGGUGGGGCAGUAAGCUGGUGCAGUUGCAAGCAGAGCGUCGUGGCGGGAUCUACAUGUGAAGCGGAAUACAUGGCAGCCUCGGAGGCAGCACAUGAAGCAAUUUGGGUGAAGCAGUUCAUCACCGACCUCUGAGUCAUACCCAAUGCGUCGGGGCCGAUCAAGCUCUUCUGUGACAACACUGGAGCUAUUGCACUUGCCAAGGAGCCCAGGUUUCACAAGAAGACAAGGCACAUCAAGCGUCGCUUCAACUCCAUUCAUGAAAAUGUUCAAGAUGGAGACAUAGAUAUUUGUAAAGUACAUACGGACCUGAAUAUAGCAGAUCCGUUGACUAAACCUCUCCCUAGGGCAAAACAUGAUCAACACCAGAAUUCCAUGGGUGUUCGAUUCAUCACAAUGUAACUAGAUUAUUGACUCUAGUGCAAGUGGGAGACUGUUGGAAAUAUGCCCUAGAGGCAAUAAUAAAAGCAUUAUUAUUAUAUUUCCUUGUUCAUGAUAAUUGUCUUUAUUCAUGCUAUAAUUGUGUUAUCCGGAAAUCGUAAUACAUGUGUGAAUAACACACACCAACAUGUCCCUAGUAAGCCUCUAGUUGACUAGCUCGUUAAUCAACAGAUAGUCAUGGUUUCCUGGCUAUGGACAUAGGAUGUCAUUGAUAACGAGAUCACAUCAUUAGGAGAAUGAUGUGAUGGACAAGACCCAAUCCUAAACAUAGCAUAAAGAUCGUAUAGUUCGUUUGCUAGAGCUUUGCAAUGUCAAGUAUCUUUUCCUUAGACCAUGAGAUCGUGUAACUCCCGGAUACCGUAGGAGUGCCUUGGGUAUGCCAAACGUCACAACGUAACUGGGUGACUAUAAAGGUAGACUACGGGUAUCUCCGAAAGUGUCUGUUGGGUUGACACGGAUCAAGACUGGGAUUUGUCACUCCGUAUGACGGAGAGGUAUCACUGGGCCCACUCGGUAAUGCAUCAUCAUGAGCUCAAAGUGACCAAGUGUCUGGUCACGGGAUCAUGCAUUACGAUACGAGUAAAGUGACUUGCCGGUAACGAGAUUGAAUGAGGUAUUGGGAUACCGAUGAUCGAAUCUCGGGCAAGUAACAUAUAUCGAUUGACAAAGGGAAUUGCAUACGGGGUUGAUUGAAUCCUCGACAUCGUGGUUCAUCCGAUGAGAUCAUCGUGGAGUAUGUGGGAGCCAACAUGGUUAUCCUGAUCCCGCUAUUGGUUAUUGACCAGAGAGUCGUCUCGGUCAUGUCUGCAUGUCUCUCGAACCCGUAGGGUCUACACACUUAAGGUUCGGUGAUGCUAGGGUUGUGAAGAUAUGUAUAUGCAGUAACCCGAAUGUUGUUCGGAGUCCCGAAUGAGAUCCUGGAUGUCACGAGGAGUUCCGGAAUAGUCCGGAGGUAAAGAAUUAUAUAUAGGAAGUGCUGUUUCGGCCAUCGGGACAAGUUUCGGGGUUACCGGUAUUGUACCGGGACCACCGGAAGGGUCCCGGGGGUCCACCGGGUGGGGCCACCUAUCCCGGAGGGCCCCAUGGGCUGAAGUGGGAAGGGACCCAGCCCAUAGUGGGCUGGGGCGCCACCCCCUAAGGGCCCAUGCGCCUAGGGUUUAGGGGAAACCCUAAAGGGGGGCGCCCCCUUGCUUGGGGGGCAAGCCCCCCACCCCUUGGCCGCCGCCCCCCUAGGAGAUCCAUCUCCUAGGGCCGGCGCCCCCCCUUGGCACCCCUAUAUAUAGUGGGGGAGAGGAGGGACUUGUGGCUACGGCUUUUGGAGCAUUCCUCUCUCCCUGUUACGUCUCUCUCUCUCGUAGUAAAGGCGAAGCCCUGCUACUGUGACGCCCUGCAUCCACCACCACGCCGUCGUGCUGCUGGAUCAUCAUCAACCUCUCCUUCCCCCUUGCUGGAUCAAGAAGGAGGAUACGUCUCCCGUCCCGUACGUGUGUUGAACGCGGAGGUGCCGUCCGUUCGGCACUUGGUCAUCGGUGAUUUGGAUCACGUCGUGUUCGACUACAUCAUCCCCGUUCUUUGAACGCUUCCGCACGCGAUCUACAAAGGUAUGUAGAUGCAUCUGAUGACUCGUUGCUAGAUGAACUCCUAGAUGGAUCUUGGUGAAACGAGUAGGAAAUUUUUUGUUUUCUGCAAUGUUCACCAACAACAUCGUCAUGUGACCAACACUCAAAGGGUUUACUAGAGUCAGUAAUCUAGUUCACAUAUCUAUGUGAUUAACACCCAAAGAGUACUAAGGUGUGAUCAUGUUUUGCUUGUGAGAUAAUUUUAGUCAACGGGUCUGUCACAUUCAGAUCCGUAAGUAUUUUGCAAGUUCUAUGUCUACAAUGCUCUACACGGAGCUACUCUAGCUAAUUGCUCCCACUUUCAAUAUGUAUCCAGAUUGAGACUUUAGAUUCAUCUGGAUCAGUGUCAAAAACUUGCAUCGACGUAACCCUUUACGACGAACCUUUUUGUCACGUCCAUAAUCGAGAAACAUGUCCUUAUUUUACUAAGGAUAAUUCUGACCGUUGUCCAGUGAUCUACUCCUAGAUCACUACUGUACUCCCUUGCCAAAUCAAUGCAGGGUAUACAAUAGAUCUGGUAUACAGCAUGACAUACUUUAUAGAACCUAUGGCCAAGGCAUAGGGAAUGACUUUCAUUCUCUUUCUAUCUUCUGCCGUGGUCGGGCUUUGAGUCUUACUCAACUUCACACCUUGUAAUACAGGCAAGAACUCUUUCUUUGACUGCUCCAUUUUGAACUACUUCAAAAUCUUGUCAAGGUAUUUACUCAUUGAAAAAACUUAUCAAGCGUCUUGAUCUAUCUCUAUAGAUCUUGAAGCUCAAUAUGUAAGCAGCUUCACCGAAGUCUUUCUUUGAAAAACUCCUUUCAAACACUCCUUUAUGCUUUACAGAAUAAUUCUACAUUAUUUCCGAUCAACAAUAUGUCAUUCACAUAUACUUAUCAGAAAUGCUGUAGUGCUCCCACUCACUUUCUUAUAAAUACAGGCUUCACCGCAAGUCUGUAUAAAACUAUAUGCUUUGAUCAACUCAUCAAAGCGUAUAUUCCAACUCCGAGAUGCUUGCACCAGUCCAUAAAUGGAUCGCUGGAGCUUGCUGAAGGAAAUAUGCCCUAGAGGCAAUAAUAAAGUUAUUAUUUAUUUCCUUAUAUCAUGAUAAAUGUUUAUUAUUCAUGCUAGAAUUGUAUUAACCGGAAACAUAAUACAUGUGUGAAUGCAUAGAUAAACAGAGUGUCACUAGUAUGCCUCUACUUGACUAGCUCGUUAAUCAAAGAUGGUUAUGUUUCCUAACCAUGAACAAAGAGUUGUUAUUUGAUUAACGAGGUCACAUCAUUAGUUGAAUGAUCUGAUUGACAUGACCCAUUCCAUUAGCUUAGCACCCGAUCGUUUAGUAUGUUGCUAUUGCUUUCUUCAUGACUUAUACAUGUUCCUAUAACUAUGAGAUUAUGCAAUUCCCGUUUACCGGAGGAACACUUUGGGUACUACCAAACGUCACAACGUAACUGGGUGAUUAUAAAGGAGUACUACAGGUGUCUCCAAUGGUAGAUGUUGGGUUGGCGUAUUUCGAGAUUAGGGUUUGUCACUCCGAUUGUCGGAGAGGUAUCUCUGGGCCCUCUCGGUAAUACACAUCACAUAAGCCUUGCAAGCAUAAUAACUAAGAUGUUAGUUAUGAGAUGAUGUAUUACGGAACGAGUAAAGAGACUUGCCAGUAACGAGAUUGAACUAGGUAUUGGAUACCGACGAUCGAAUCUCGGGCAAGUAACAUACUGAUGACAAAGGGAACAACGUAUGUUGUUAUGCGGUCUGACCGAUAAAGAUCUUCGUAGAAUAUGUAGGAGCCAAUAUGGGCAUCCAGGUCCCGCUAUUGGUUAUUGACCGGAGACAUGUCUCGGUCAUGUCUACAUUGUUCUCGAACCGUAGGGUCCGCACGCUUAACGUUACGAUGACAGUUAUUAUGAGUUUAUGCAUUUUGAUGUACCGAAGGUUGUUCGGAGUCCCGGAUGUGAUCACAGACAUGACGAGGAGUCUCGAAAUGGUCGAGACGUAAAGAUUGAUAUAUUGGAAGCCUAUGUUUGGACACCGGAAGUGUUCCGGGUGAAAUCGGAUUUUACCGGAAUACCGGGAGGGUUACCGGAACCCCCCGGGAGGCAAAUGGGCCUAUUGGGCCUUAGUGGAAAAGUGAAAGGGGCUGCCCACAAGGGCUGCGCGCCUUCCCCCCUUCCCUAGUCCUAUUAGGACUAGGAGAAGGGGCCGGCCCCCCUCUUUCUCUCUUCUCUUUGGAGAGUCCUAUUAGGAAUAGGAUUGGGGGGGGGGAGUCCUACUCCCGGUAGGAGUAGGACUCCUCCUGCGCCUCUCUCCCUAGCCGGCCGAACCCCUCCCCCUGCUCCUUUAUAUACAGGGGUAGGGGGCACCCCAUAGACACACAAGUUGAUCAUUGUUGAUCGUUCCUUAGCCGUGUGCGGUGCCCCCUGCCACCAAAUUCCACCUCGAUCAUAUUGUUGUAGAGCUUAGGCGAAGCCCUGCAUCGGUAGUACAUCAAGAUCGUCACCACGCCGUUGUGCUGACGGAACUCUUCCUCGACGCUUUGCUGGAUCGGAGCCCGAGGAUCGUCAUCGAGCUGAACGUGUGCUAAGAACUCGGAGGUGCCGGAGUAACGGUGCUUGGAUCGGUCGAAUCGGGAAGAAGACGUACGACUACUUCCUCUAUGUUGUGUGAUCGCUUCCGCAGUCGGUCUGUGUUGGUACGUAGACAAUACUCUCCCCCUCGUUGCUAUGCAUCACCAUGAUCUUGCGUGUGCGUAGGAAAAUUUUGAAAUUACUACGUUCCCCAACAGUGGCAUCCGAGCCUAGGUUUUAUGGUUUGAUGUUAUUUGCACGAGUAGAACACAAGUGAGUUGUGGGCGAUACAAGUCAUACUGCCUACCAGCAUGUCAUACUUUGGUUCGGCGGUAUUGUUGGACGAGACGAUCCGGACCAACAUUACGCGUACUCUUACGCGAGACCGGUUCCCUCGACGUGCUUUGCACAUAGAUGGCUUGCGGAAGACUGUCUCUCCAACUUUAGUUGAACCAAGUGUGACUACGCCCGGUCCUUGAGAAGGUUAAAACGGAGUCUAUUUGACGAACUAUCGUUGUGGUUUUGAUGCAUAGGUGAGAUGAGUUCUUACUUAAGCCCGUAGCAGCCACGUAAAACUUGCAACAACAAAGUAGAGAACGUCUAACUUGUUUUUGCAGGGCAUGUUGUGAUGUGAUAUGGUCAAGGCAUGAUGCUGAUUUUAUUGUAUGAGAUGAUCAUGUUUUGUAACCAAGUUAUCGGCAACUGGCAGGAGCCAUAUGGUUGUCGCUUUAUUGUAUGCAAUGCAAUCGCGAUGUAAUGCUUUACUUUAUUACUAAGCGGUAGUGAUAGUCGUGGAAGCAUAAGAUUGGCGAGACGACAACGAUGCUACGAUGGAGAUCAAGGUGUCGCGCCGGUGACGAUGGUGAUCAUGACGGUGCUUCGGAGAUGGAGAUCACAAGCACAAGAUGAUGAUGACCAUAUCAUAUCACUUAUAUUGAUUGCAUGUGAUGUUUAUCUUUUAUGCAUCUUAUCUUGCUUUGAUUGACGGUAGCAUUAUAAGAUGAUCUCUCACUAAAUUAUCAAGAAGUGUUCUCCCUGAGUAUGCACCGUUGCCAAAGUAUAUUUGAUAUACAUGUUAUUGAUGUGUACUUUACUAGUGUAUAUAGCAAACCCUCAGUAUUUGAUACUAGUUCAGUUGCUAAGAUUAGUAACUCGAAACGGGAGUUGCAGAAUAAACAGAGACUAGUUAAGGGUGAAGUGACGAUGUGUGCUGGAAGUAGUUCCAAGAUUGAUAUGAUCAUCAUCGCACACUCCCCUAUACUGUCGGGAUUAGUGUUGAACUUAAAUAAGUGUUAUUUGGUUUUUGCGUUGAGCAUGAAUAUGAUUUGAUCAUGUUUAUUGCAAUACGGUUAUUCAUUAAAGUCAGAGAAUAAUUGUUGUUCUGUUUACAUGAAUAAAACCUUUGAUGGUCAUACACCCAAUGAAACAAGUUCGUUGGAUCUCGAUCGUAGUGAUACACAUAUUCAUAUAUUGAAACCAAAAGAUGCAAAGUUAAUAAUGAUAGUGCAACUUAUUUGUGGCACUGCCGUUUAGGUCAUAUUGGUAUAAAGCGCAUGAAGAAACUCCAUGCUGAUGGGCUUUCGGAAUCACUUGAUUAUGAAUCACUUGAUGCUUGCGAACCAUGCCUUUUAGGCAAGAUGACUAAAACACCGUUCUCCGGUACUAUGGAGAGAGCAACAGAUUUAUUGGAAAUCAUACAUACCGAUGUAUGUGGUCCGAUGAAUAUUGAGGCUCGUGGCGGAUAUCGUUAUUUUCUCACCUUCACAGAUGAUUUAAGCAGAUAUGGGUAUAUCUACUUAAUGAAACAUAAGUCUGAAACAUUUGAAAAGUUCAAGGAAUUUCAGAGUGAAGUAGAAAAUCAUCGUAAAAAGAAAAUAAAGUUUCUAUGAUCUGAUCGUGGAGGAGAAUAUUUGAGUUACGAGUUUGGUAUACAUUUGAAAAACUGUGGAAUAGUUUCGCAACUCACGCCACCCGGAACACCACAGCGUAAUGGUGUGUCCGAACGUCGUAAUCGUACUUUACUAGAUAUGGUGCGAUCUAUGAUGUCUCUUACUGAUUUGCCGCUAUCAUUUUGGGGUUAUGCUUUAGAGACGGCCGCAUUCACGUUAAAUAGGGCACCAUCAAAAUCCGUUGAGACGACGCCUAAUGAACUAUGGUUUGGCAAGAAACCAAAGUUGUCGUUUCUUAAAGUUUGGGGCUGCGAUGCUUAUGUGAAAAAGCUUCAACCUGAUAAGCUCGAACCCAAAGCGGAGAAAUGUGUCUUCAUAGGAUACCCAAAGGAAACUGUUGGGUAUACCUUCUAUCACAGAUCCGAAGGCAAAACAUUCGUUGCUAAGAAUGGAUCAUUUCUAGAGAAGGAGUUUCUCUCGAAAGAAGUGAGUGGGAGGAAAGUAGAACUUGACGAGGUAACUGUACCUGCUCCGUUAUUGGAAAAUAGUACAUCACAGAAAACUGUUUCUUCGACACCUAUACCAAUUAGUGAGGAAGCUAAUGAUGAUGAUCAUGAAACUUCAGGACAAGAUACUACUGAACCACAUAGAUCAACCAGAGUGAGAUCCGCACCAGAGUGGUACGGUAAUCCAGUUCUGGAAGUCAUGCUACUAGAUCAUGAUGAACCUACGAACUAUGAAGAAGCGAUGGUGAGCCCAGAUUCCGCAAAGUGGCUUGAGGCCAUGAAAUCUGAGAUGGGAUCCAUGUAUGAGAACAAAGUAUGGACUUUGGUUGACUUGCCCGAUGAUCGGCAAGCAAUUGAGAAUAAAUGGAUCUUCAAGAAAAAGACUGACGCUGACGGUAAUAUUACUGUCUAUAAAGCUCGUCUUGUCGCAAAAGGUUUUCGACAAGUUCAAGGGGUUGACUACGAUGAGACCUUCUCACCCGUAGCGAUGCUUAAGUCCGUCAGAAUUAUGUUAGCGAUUGCUGCGUUUUAUGAUUAUGAAAUAUGGCAAAUGGAUGUCAAAACUGCAUUCCUGAAUGGAUUUCUGGAAGAAGAGUUGUAUAUGAUGCAACCAGAAGGUUUUGUCGAUCCGAAGGGAGCUAACAAAGUGUGCAAACUCCAACGAUCCAUUUAUGGACUGGUGCAAGCAUCUCGGAGUUGGAAUAAACGCUUUGAUAGUGUGAUCAAAGCAUUUGGCUUUAUACAAACUUUUGGAGAAGCCUGUAUUUACAAGAAAGUGAGUGGGAGCUCUGUAGCAUUUCUGAUAUUAUAUGUGGAUGACAUAUUGCUGAUUGGAAAUGAUAUAGAAUUUCUGGAUAGCAUAAAGGGAUACUUGAAUAAAAGUUUUUCGAUGAAAGACCUCGGGGAAGCUGCUUACAUAUUAGGCAUAAAGAUCUAUAGAGAUAGAUCAAGACGCUUAAUUGGACUUUCACAAAGCACAUACCUUGACAAGAUUUUGAAGAAGUUCAAAAUGGAUAAGGCAAAGAAAGGGUUCUUGCCUGUGUUACAAGGUGUGAAGUUGAGUAAAGACUCAAAGCCCGACCACGGCAGAAGAUAGAAAGAGAAUGAAAGUCAUUCCCUAUGCCUCAUUCAUAGGUUCUAUAAAGUAUGCCAUGCUGUGUACCAGAUCUAUUGUAUACCCUGCACUGAUUUGGCAAGGGAGUACAAUAGUGAUCUAGGAGUAGAUCACUGGACAGCGGUCAAAAUUAUCCUUAGUGAAAUAAGGAUAUGUUUCUCGAUUAUGGACGUGACAACGAGGUUCGUCAUAAAGGGUUACGUCAAUGCAAGUUUUUGACACUGAUCCAGAUGAAUCUAAAGUCUAAAUCUGGAUACAUAUUGAAAGUGGGAGCAAUUAGCUAGAGUAGCUCCGUGCAGAGCAUUAUAGACAUAGAAUUUUGCAAAAUACUCACGGAUCUGAAUGUGACAGACCCGUUGACUAAAAUUAUCUCACAAGCAAAACAUGAUCACACCUUAGUACUCUUUGGUUGUUAAUCACAUAGCGAUGUGAACUAGAUUACUGAAUCUAGUAAACCCUUUGGGUGUUGGUCACAUGGCGAUGUGAACUAUGGGUGUUAAUCACAUGAUGAUGUGAACUAUCGAUGUUAAUCACAUGGUGAUGUGAUCUAGAUUAUUGACUCUAGUGCAAGUGGGAGACUGAAGGAAAUAUGCCCUAGAGGCAAUAAUAAAGUUAUUAUUUAUUUCCUUAUAUCAUGAUAAAUGUUUAUUAUUCAAGCUAGAAUUGUAUUAACCGGAAACAUAAUACAUGUGUGAAUACAUAGACAAACAGAGUGUCACUAGUAUGCCUCUACUUGACUAGCUCGUUAAUCAAAGAUGGUUAUGUUUCCUAACCAUGAACAAAGAGUUGUUAUUUGAUUAACGAGGUCACAUCAUUAGUUGAAUGAUCUGAUUGACAUGACCCAUUCCAUUAGCUUAGCACCCGAUCGUUUAGUAUGUUGCUAUUGCUUUCUUCAUGACUUAUACAUGUUCUUAUAACUAUGAGAUUAUGCAACUCCCGUUUACCGGAGGAACACUUUGGGUACUACCAAACGUCACAACGUAACUGGGUGAUUAUAAAGGAGUACUACAGGUGUCUCCAAUGGUAGAUGUUGGGUUGGCGUAUUUCGAGAUUAGGGUUUGUCACUCCGAUUGUCGGAGAGGUAUCUCUGGGCCCUCUCGGUAAUACACAUCACAUAAGCCUUGCAAGCAUAAUAACUAAGAUGUUAGUUAUGAGAUGAUGUAUUACGGAACGAGUAAAGAGACUUGCCAGUAACGAGAUUGAACUAGGUAUUGGAUACCGACGAUCGAAUCUCGAGCAAGUAACAUACCGAUGACAAAGGGAACAACGUAUGUUGUUAUGCGGUCUGACCGAUAAAGAUCUUCGUAGAAUAUGUAGGAGCCAAUAUGGGCAUCCAGGUCCCGCUAUUGGUUAUUGACCGGAGACAUGUCUCGGUCAUGUCUACAUUGUUCUCGAACCGUAGGGUCCGCACGCUUAACGUUACGAUGACAGUUAUUAUGAGUUUAUGCAUUUUGAUGUACCGAAGGUUGUUCGGAGUCCCGGAUGUGAUCACGGACAUGACGAGGAGUCUCGAAAUGGUCGAGACAUAAAUAUUGAUAUAUUGGAAGCCUAUGUUUGGACACCGGAAGUGUUCCGGGUGAAAUCGGGAUUUUACCGGAAUACCGGGAGGGUUACCGGAACCCCCCGGGAGGCAAAUGGGCCUAUUGGGCCUUAGUGGAAAAGUGAAAGGGGCUGCCCACAAGGGCUGCGCGCCUUCCCCCCUUCCCUAGUCCUAUUAGGACUAGGAGAAGGGGCCGGCCCCCCUCUUUCUCUCUUCUCUUUGGAGAGUCCUAUUAGGAAUAGGAUUGGGGGGGGGGGGGAGUCCUACUCCCGGUAGGAGUAGGACUCCUCCUGCGCCUCUCUCCCUAGCCGGCCGAACCCCUCCCCCUGCUCCUUUAUAUACGGGGGCAGGGGGAACCCCAUAGACACACAAGUUGAUCAUUGUUGAUCGUUCCUUAGCCGUGUGCGGUGCCCCCUGCCACCAAAUUCCACCUCGAUCAUAUUGUUGUAGAGCUUAGGCGAAGCCCUGCGUCGGUAGUACAUCAAGAUCGUCACCACGCCGUUGUGCUGACGGAACUCUUCCUCGACGCUUUGCUGGAUCGGAGCCCGAGGAUCGUCAUCGAGCUGAACGUGUGCUAAGAACUCGGAGGUGCCGGAGUAACGGUGCUUGGAUCGGUCAAAUCGGGAAGAAGACGUACGACUACUUCCUCUACGUUGUUUGAUCGCUUCCGCAGUCGGUCUGCGUUGGUACGUAGACAAUACUAUCCCCCUCGUUGCAGUGCAUCACCAUGAUCUUGCGUGUGCGUAGGAAAAUUUUGAAAUUACUACGUUCCCCAACAGUGGCAUCCGAGCCUAGGUUUUAUGGUUUGAUGUUAUUUGCACGAGUAGAACACAAGUGAGUUGUGGGCGAUACAAGUCAUACUGCCUACCAGCAUGUCAUACUUUGGUUCGACGGUAUUGUUGGACGAGACGAUCCGGACCAACAUUACGCGUACUCUUACGCGAGACCGGUUCCCUCGACGUGCUUUGCACAUAGAUGGCUUGCGGAAGACUGUCUCUCCAACUUUAGUUGAACCAACUGUGACUACGCCCGGUCCUUGAGAAGGUUAAAACGGAGUCUAUUUGACGAACUAUCGUUGUGGUUUUGAAGGCCAAACUCGUAACUCAAAUACUCUUCUCUACGAUCAGAUUAUAGAAACUUUAUUUUCUUGUUACGAUGAUUUUUCACUUCACUCUGAAAUUCUUUGAACUUUUCAAAUGUUUCAGACUUAUGUUUCAUCAAGUAGAUAUACCCAUAUCUGCUCAAAUCAUCUGUGAAGGUCAGAAAAUAAUGAUACCCGCUGCAAGCCUUAAAUAUUCAUCGGACCACAUACAUCAGUAUGUAUGAUUUCCAACAAAUCUGUUGCUUGCUCCAUUGUUCCGGAGAACGGCGUUUUAGUCAUCUUGCCCAAAAGGCAUGGUUCGCAAGCAUCAAGUGAUUCAUAAUCAAGUGAUUCCGAAAGCCCAUCAGCAUGGAGUUUCUUCAUGCGCUUUAUACCAAUAUGACCUAAACGCCAGUGCCACAAAUAAGUUGCACUAUCAUUAUUAACUUUGCAUCUUUUGGUUUCAAUAUCAUGAAUAUGUGUAUCACUACGAUCGAGAUCCAACGAACUUGUUUCAUUGGGUGUAUGACCAUCGAAGGUUUUAUUCAUGUAAACAGAACAACAAUUAUUCUCUGACUUUAAUGAAUAACCGUAUUGCAAUAAACAUGAUCAAAUCAUAUUCAUGCUCAACGCAAAAACCAAAUAACACUUAUUUAAGUUCAACACUAAUCCCGAAAGUAUAGGGGAGUGUGCGAUGAUGAUCAUAUCAAUCUUGGAACUACUUCCAACACACAUCGUCACUUCACCCUUAACUAGUCUCUGUUUAUUCUGCAACUCCUGUUUCGAGUUACUACUCUUAGCAACUGAACCAAUAUCAAAUACUGAGGGGUUGCUAUAAACACUAGUAAAGCACACAUCAAUAACAUGUAUAUCAAAUAUACUUUUGUUCACUUUGCCAUCCUUCUUAUCCGCCAAAUACUUGGGGCAGUUCCACUUCCAGUGACCAGUCCCUUUGCAGUAGAAGCACUUAGUCUCAGGCUUAGGACCAGACUUGGGCUUCUUCACUUGAGCAGCAACUUGCUUGCCGUUCUUCUUGAAGUUCCCCUUCUUCCCUUUUGCCCUUUUCUUCAAACUAGUGGUCUUGUCAACCAUCAACACUUGAUGUUUUUCUUGAUUUCUACCUUUGUCGAUUUCAGCAUCACGAAGAGCUUGGGAAUCAUUUCCGUUAUCCCUUGCAUAUCAUAGUUCAUCACGAAGUUCUACUAACUUGGUGAUGGUGACUAGAGAAUUCUGUCAAUCACUAUUUUAUCUGGAAGAUUAACUCCCACUUGAUUCAAGCGAUUGUAGUACCCAGACAAUCUGAGCACAUGCUCACUAGUUGAGCGAUUCUCCUCCAUCUUUUAGCUAUAGAACUUGUUGGAGACUUCAUAUCUCUCAACUCGGGUAUUUGCUUGAAAUAUUAACUUCAACUCCUGGAACAUCUCAUAUGGUCCAUGACGUUCAAAACGUCUUAGUCCCGAUUCUAAGCCAUUAAGCAUGGUGCACUAAACUAUCAAGUAGUCAUCAUAUUGAGCUAGCCAAACAUUCAUAAUGUCUGUAUCUGCUCCUGCAAUAGGUCUGUCACCUAGCGGUGCAUCAAGGACAUAAUACUUCUGUGCAGCAAUGAGGAUAAACCUCAGAUCAUGGAUCCAAUCCGCAUCAUUGCUACUAACAUCUUUCAACACAAUUUUCUCUAGGAACAUAUCAAAAUAAACACAGGGAAGCAACAACGCGAGCUAUUGAUCUACAACAUAAUUUGCAAAAUACUACCAGGACUAAGUUCAUGAUAAAUUUAAGUUCAAUUUAAUCAUAUUACUUAAGAACUUCCACUUAGAUAGACAUCCCUCUAAUCCUCUAAGUGAUCACGUGAUCCAAAUCAACUAAACCAUGUCCGAUCAUCACGUGAGAUGGAGUAGUUUCAUUGGUGAACAUCACUAUGUUGAUCAUAUCUACUAUAUGAUUCACGCUCGACCUUUCGGUCUCCGUGUUCCGAGGCCAUAUCUGUAUAUGCUUGGCUCGUCAAGUAUAACCUGAGUAUUCCGCGUGUGCAACUGUUUUGCACCCGUUGUAUUUGAACGUAGAGCCUAUCACACCCGAUCAUCACGUGGUGUCUCAGCACGAAGAACUUUCGCAACGGUGCAUACUCAGGGAGAACACUUCUUGAUAAUUUAGUGAGAGAUCAUCUUAUAAUGCUACCGUCAAUCAAAGCAAGAUAAGAUGCAUAAAAGAUAAACAUCACAUGCAAUCAAUAUAAGUGAUAUGAUAUGGCCAUCAUCAUCUUGUGCUUGUGAUCUCCAUCUCCGAUGCACCGUCAUGAUCACCAUCGUCACCGGCGCGACACCUUGAUCUCCAUCGUAGCAUCGUUGUCGUCUCGCCAAUCUUAUGCUUCCACAACUAUCACUACCGCUUAGUAAUAAAGUAAAGCAUUACAUCGCGAUUGCAUUGCAUACAAUAAAGCGACAACCAUAUGGCUCCUGCCAGUUGCCGAUAACUUGGUUACAAAACAUGAUCAUCUCAUACAAUAAAAUUUAGCUUCAUGCCUUGACCAUAUCAUAUCACAACAUGCCCUGCAAAAACAAGUUAGACGUCCUCUACUUUGUUGUUGCAAGUUUUACGUGGCUGCUACGGGCUUUAAGUAAGAACCAAUCUCACCUACGCAUCAAAACCACAACGAUAGUUUGUCAAAUAGACUCCGUUUUAACCUUCUCAAGGACCAGGCGUAGCCACACUCGGUUCAACUAAAGUUGGAGAGACAGUCGCCCGCAAGCCAUCUAUGUGCAAAGCACGUCGAGGGAACCGGUCUCGCGUAAGCGUACGCGUAUGGUUGGUCCGGGUCGUCUCGUCCAACAAUACCGCCGAACCAAAGCAUGACAUGCUGGUAGGCAGUAUGACUUAUAUCGUCCACAACUCACUUGUGUUCUACUCGUGCACAUAACAUCAAACCAUAAAACCUAGGCUCGGAUGCCACUGUUGGGGAACGUAGUAAUUUCAAAAAAUUUCCUACGCACACGCAAGAUCAUGGUGAUGCAUAGCAACGAGAGGGGAGAGUGUUGUCUACGUACCAACGCAGACCGACUGCGGAAGCGAUCACACAACGUAGAGGAAGUAGUCGUACGUCUUCCCGAUCCGACCGAUCCAAGCACCGUUACUCCGGCACCUCCGAGUUCUUAGCACACGUUCAGCUCGAUGACGAUCCUCGGGCUCCGAUCCAGCAAAGCGUCGAGGAAGAGUUCCGUCAGCACGACGGCGUGAUGACGAUCUUGAUGUACUACCGACGCAGGGCUUCGCCUAAGCACUGCAACAAUAUGAUCGAGGUGGAAUUUGGUGGCAGGGGGCACCGCACAUGGCUAAGGAACGAUCACCAAGGAUCAACUUGUGUGUCUAUGGGGUGCCCCCUGCCUUAGUAUAUAAAGGAUGGAGGAGGGGGAGGCUGGCCAAGGCUAUUGGUGCGGCCAGGAUGGGAGUCCUACUAGGACUCCAAGUCCUAGUAGGAGUCCAUCAAGAGGGGAGGAAGGGAGAAGGAAGUGGAGGAGAAGGAGAGGUGGCCGGCCCCCUUUUCCCUAGUCCAAUUCGGACCAAAGGGGAGGGGGGGCGCAGCAGCCUUUUUCCUCUUCCCACUAAAGCCCAUUAAGGCCCAUUACUUCUCCCGUAACUACCCGGUACUCCGAAAAAUACCCGAAUCACUCGGAACCUUUCCGAUGUCCAAAUAUAGUCGUCCAAUAUAUCGAUCUUUACGUCUCGACCAUUUCGAGACUCCUCGUCAUGUCCCCGAUCUCAUCCGGGACUCCAAACUCCUUCGGUACAUCAAAACUCAUAAACUCAUAAUAUAACUGUCAUCGAAACCUUAAGCAUGCGGACCCUACGGUUCGAGAACAAUGUAGACAUGACCGAGACACAUCUCCGGUCAAUAACCAAUAGCGGGACCUGGAUGCCCAUAUUGGCUCCUACAUAUUCUACGAAGAUCUUUAUCGGUCAGACCGCAUAACAACAUAUGUUGUUCCCUUUGUCAUCGGUAUGUUACUUGCCCGAGAUUCGAUCGUCGGUAUCCAAUACCUAGUUCAAUCUCGUUACCGGCAAGUAUCUUUACUCGUUCUGUAAUACAUCAUCCCGCAACUAACUCAUUAGUUGCAAUGCUUGCAAGGCUUGUGUAAUGUGUAUUACCGAGAGGGCCCAGAGAUACCUCUCCGACAAUCGGAGUGACAAAUCCUAAUCUCGAAAUACGCCAACCCAACAUCUACCAUUGGAGACACCUGUAGUACUCCUUUAUAAUUACCUAGUUACGUUGUGACGUUUGGUAGCACCCAAAGUGUUCCUCCGGUAAACGGGAGUUGCAUAAUCUCAUAGUCAUAGGAACAUGUAUAAGUCAUGAAGAAUAGCAACAUCAACAUACUAAACGAUCGGGUGCUAAGCUAAUGGAAUGGGUUAUGUCAAUUAGAUCAUUCAACUAAUGAUGUGACCUCGUUAAUCAAAUAACAACUCUUUUGUCCAUGGUUAGGAAACAUAACCAUCUUUGAUUAACGAGCUAGUCAAGUAGAGGCAUACUAGUGACACUCUGUUUGUCUAUGUAUUCACACAUGUAUUAUGUUUCCGGUUAAUACAAUUCUAGCAUGAAUAAUAAACAUUUAUCAUGAUAUAAGGAAAUAAAUAAUAACUUUAUUAUUGCCUCUAGGGCAUAUUUCCUUCAGUCUCCCACUUGCACUAGAGUCAAUAAUCUAGUUCACAUCGCCAUGUGAUUUAACAACAAUAGUUCACAUCACCAUGUGAUUAACACCCAUAGUUCACAUCGUCAUGUGACCAACACUCAAAGGGUUUACUAGAGUCAGUAAUCUAGUUCACAUAUCUAUGUGAUUAACACCCAAAGAGUACUAAGGUGUGAUCAUGUUUUGCUUGUGAGAUAAUUUUAGUCAACGGGUCUGUCACAUUUAGAUCCGUAAGUAUUUUGCAAGUUCUAUGUCUACAAUGCUCUACACGGAGCUACUCUAGCUAAUUGCUCCCACUUUCAAUAUGUAUCCAGAUUGAGACUUUAGAUUCAUCUGGAUCAGUGUCAAAAACUUGCAUCGACGUAACCCUUUACGACGAACCUUUUUGUCACGUCCAUAAUCGAGAAACAUAUCCUUAUUUUACUAAGGAUAAUUCUGACCGCUGUCCAGUGAUCUACUCCUAGAUCACUAUUAUACUCCCUUGCCAAAUCAAUGCAGGGUAUACAAUAGAUCUGGUAUACAGCAUGACAUACUUUAUAGAACCUAUGGCCAAGGCAUAGGGAAUGACUUUCAUUCUCUUUCUAUCUUCUGCCAUGGUCGGGCUUUGAGUCUUACUCAACUUCACACCUUGUAAUACAGGCAAGAACUCUUUCUUUGACUGCUCCAUUUUGAACUACUUCAAAAUCUUGUCAAGGUAUUUACUCAUUGAAAAAACUUAUCAAGCGUCUUGAUCUAUCUCUAUAGAUCUUGAAGCUUAAUAUGUAAGCAGCUUCACCGAAGUCUUUCUUUGAGAAACUCCUUUCAAACACUCCUUUAUGCUUUACAGAAUAAUUCUACAUUAUUUCCGAUCAACAAUAUGUCAUUCACAUAUACUUAUCAGAAAUGCUAUAGUGCUCCCACUCACUUUCUUGUAAAUACAGGCUUCACCGCAAGUCUGUAUAAAACUAUAUGCUUUGAUCAACUCAUCAAAGCAUAUAUUCCAACUCUGAGAUGCUUGCACCAGUCCAUAAAUGGAUCGCUGGAGCUUGCACACUUUGUUAGCUCCCUUUGGAUCGACAAAACCUUCCGGUUGCAUCAUAUACAACUCUUCUUUAAUAAAUCUAUUAAGGAAUGCAGUUUUGUUUAUCCAUUUUCCAGAUUUCAUAAAAUGCGGCAAUUACUAACAUGAUUCGGACAGACUUAAGCAUAGAUACGAGUGAGAGAAUCUCAUCGUAGUCAACACCUUGAACUUGUCGAAAACCUUUUGCGACAAUUCUAGCUUUGUAGAUAAUAACAUUACUAUCAGCGUCCGUCUUCCUCUUGAAGAUCCAUUUAUUCUCAAUUGCUUGCCGAUCAUCGGGCAAGUCAACCAAAGUCCAAACUUUGUUCUCAUACAUGGAUCAUAUCUCAGAUUUCAUGGCCUCAAACCAUUUCGCGGAAUCUGGGCUCAUCAUCGCUUCCUCAUAGUUCGUAGGUUUGUCAUGGUCAAGUAACAUGACCUCCAGAACAGGAUUACCGUACCACUCUGGUGCGGAUCUCACUCUGGUUUACCUACGAGAUUCGGUAGUAACUUGAUUCGAAGUUUCAUGAUCAUUAUCAUUAGCUUCCUCACUAAUUGGUGUAGGAGUCACAAGAACAGAUUUCUGUGAUGAACUACUUUCCAAUAAAGGAGAAGGUACAAUUACCUUAUCAAGUUCUACUUUCCUCCCACUCACUUCUUUCGAAAGAAACUCCUUCUCUAGAAAGUAUCCAUUAUAAGCAAUGAAUGUCUUGCCUUAGGAUCUGUGAUAGAAGGUGUACCCAACAGUCUCCUUUUGGGUAUCCUAUGAAGACAUAUUUCUCCGAUUUGGUUUUGAGCUUAUCAGGAUGAAACUUUUUCACAUAAGCAUCACAACCCCAAACUUUAAGAAAUGAUUACUUUGGUUUCUUGCUAAACCACAGUUCAGAUUGUGUCGUCUCAACAGACUUAGAUGGUGCCCUUUUUUAACGUGAAUGCAGCUGUCUCUAAUGCAUGACCCCAAAAACGAUAGUGGUAAAUCGGUAAGAAACAUCAUAGAUCGCACUAUAUCUAAUAAAGUAUGGUUAUGACGUUCGGACACACCAUUACACUAUGGUGUUCCUUGUGGCGUGAGUAGUGCAACUAUUUCACAUUGUUUUUAACUGAAGGCCAAACUCGUAACUCAAAUACUCUUCUCUACGAUCAGAUCAUAGAAACUUUAUUUUCUUGUUACGAUGAUUUUUCACUUCACUCUGAAAUUCUUUGAACUUUUCAGAUGUUUCAGACUUAUGUUUCAUCAAGUAGAUAUACCCAUAUCUGCUCAAAUCAUCAGUGAAGGUCAGAAAAUAAUGAUACCCGCUGCAAGCCUUAAAUAUUCAUCGGACCACAUACAUCAGUAUGUAUGAUUUCCAACAAAUCCGUUGCUUGCUCCAUUGUUCCGGAGAACGGCAUUUUAGUCAUCUUGCCCAAACGGCAUGGUUCGCAAGCAUCAAGUGAUUCAUAAUCAAGUGAUUCCGAAAGCCCAUCAGCAUGGAGUGUCUUCAUGCGCUUUAUACCAAUAUGACCUAAACGGCAGUGCCACAAAUAAGUUGCACUAUCAUUAUUAACUUUGCAUCUUUUGGUUUCAAUAUCAUGAAUAUGUGUAUCACUACGAUCGAGAUCCAACGAACUUGUUUCAUUGGGUGUAUGACCAUCGAAGGUUUUAUUCAUGUAAACAGAACAACAAUUAUUCUCUAACUUUAAUGAAUAACGUAUUGCAAUAAACAUGAUCAAAUCAUAUUCAUGCUCAACGCAAAAACCAAGUAACACUUAUUUAAGUUCAACACUAAUCCCGAAAGUAUAGGGGAGUGUGCGAUGAUGAUCAUAUCAAUCUUGGAACUACUUCCAACACACAUCGUCACUUCACCCUUAACUAGUCUCUGUUUAUUCUGCAACUCCUGUUUCGAGUUACUACUCUUAGCAACUGAACCAAUAUCAAAUACUGAGGGGUUGCUAUAAAAACUAGUAAAGCACACAUCAAUAACAUGUAUAUCAAAUAUACUUUUGUUCACUUUGCCAUCCUUCUUAUCCGCCAAAUACUUGGGGCAGUUCCGCUUCCAGUGACCAGUCCCUUUGCAGUAGAAGCACUUAGUCUCAGGCUUAGGACCAGACUUGGGCUUCUUCACUUGAGCAGCAACUUGCUUGCCGUUCUUCUUGAAGUUCCCCUUCUUCCCUUUUGCCCUUUUCUUCAAACUAGUGGUCUUGUCAACCAUCAACACUUGAUGUUUUUCUUGAUUUCUACCUUUGUCGAUUUCAGCAUCACGAAGAGCUUGGGAAUCGUUUCCGUUAUCCCUUGCAUAUCAUAGUUCAUCACGAAGUUCUACUAACUUGGUGAUGGUGACUAGAGAAUUCUGUCAAUCACUAUUUUAUCUGGAAGAUUAACUCCCACUUGAUUCAAGCGAUUGUAGUACCCAGACAAUCUGAGCACAUGCUCACUAGUUGAGCGAUUCUCCUCCAUCUUUUAGCUAUAGAACUUGUUGGAGACUUCAUAUCUCUCAACUCGGGUAUUUGCUUGAAAUAUUAACUUCAACUCCUGGAACAUCUCAUAUGGUCCAUGACGUUCAAAACGUCUUUGAAGUCCCGAUUCUAAGCCAUUAAGCAUGGUGCACUAAACUAUCAAGUAGUCAUCAUAUUGAGCUAGCCAAACAUUCAUAACGUCUGUAUCUGCUCCUGCAAUAGGUCUGUCACCUAGCGGUGCAUCAAGGACAUAAUUCUGCUGUGCAACAACGAGGAUAAACCUCAGAUCACGGAUCCAAUCUGCAUCAUUGCUACUAACAUCUUUCAACACAAUUUUCUCUAGGAACGUAUCAAAAUAAACACAGGGAAGCAACAACGCGAGCUAUUGAUCUACAACAUAAUUUGCAAAAUACUACCAGGACUAAGUUCAUGAUAAAUUUAAGUUCAAUUUAAUCAUAUUACUUAAGAACUCCCACUUAGAUAGACAUCCCUCUAAUCCUCUAAGUGAUCACGUGAUCCAAAUCAACUAAACCAUGUCCGAUCAUCACGUGAGAUGGAGUAGUUUCAUUGGUGAACAUCACUAUGUUGAUCAUAUCUACUAUAUGAUUCACGCUCGACCUUUCGGUCUCCGUGUUCCGAGGCCAUAUCUGUAUAUGCUUGGCUCGUCAAGUAUAACCUGAGUAUUCCGCGUGUGCAACUGUUUUGCACCCGUUGUAUUUGAACGUAGAGCCUAUCACACCCGAUCAUCACGUGGUGUCUCAGCACGAAGAACUUUCGCAACGGUGCAUACUCAGGGAGAACACUUCUUGAUAAUUUAGUGAGAGAUCAUCUUAUAAUGCUACCGUCAAUCAAAGCAAGAUAAGAUGCAUAAAAGAUAAACAUCACAUGCAAUCAAUAUAAGUGAUAUGAUAUGGCCAUCAUCAUCUUGUGCUUGUGAUCUCCAUCUCCGAUGCACCGUCAUGAUCACCAUCGUCACCGGCGCGACACCUUGAUCUCCAUCGUAGCAUCGUUGUCGUCCCGCCAAUCUUAUGCUUCCAUGACUAUCACUACCGCUUAGUUAUAAAGUAAAGCAUUACAUCGCGAUUGCAUUGCAUACAAUAAAGCGACAACCAUAUGGCUCCUGCCAGUUGCCGAUAACUUGGUUACAAAACAUGAUCAUCUCAUACAAUAAAAUUUAGCAUCAUGCCUUGACCAUAUCAUAUCACAACAUGCCCUGCAAAAACAAGUUAGACGUCCUCUACUUUGUUGUUGCAAGUUUUACGUGGCUGCUACGGGCUUUAAGUAAGAACCAAUCUCACCUACGCAUCAAAACCACAAUGAUAGUUUGUCAAAUAGACUCCGUUUUAACCUUCUCAAGGACCGGGCGUAGCCACACUCGGUUCAACUAAAGUUGGAGAGACAGUCGCCCGCAAGCCAUCUAUGUGCAAAGCACGUCGAGGGAACCGGUCUCGCGUAAGCGUACGCGUAAGUUGGUCCGGGUCGUCUCGUCCAACAAUACCGCCGAACCAAAGUAUGACAUGCUGGUAGGCAGUAUGACUUAUAUCGUCCACAACUCACUUGUGUUCUACUCGUGCACAUAACAUCAAACCAUAAAACCUAGGCUUGGAUGCCACUGUUGGGGAACGUAGUAAUUUCAAAAAAAUUCCUACGCACACGCAAGAUCAUGGUGAUGCAUAGCAACGAGAGGGGAGAGUGUUGUCUACGUACCAACGCAGACCGACUGCGGAAGCAAUCACACAACAUAGAGGAAGUAGUCGUACGUCUUCCCGAUCCGACCGAUCCAAGCACCGUUACUCCGGCACCUCCGAGUUCUUAGCACACGUUCAGCUCGAUGAUGAUCCCCGGGCUCCGAUCCAGCAAAGCGUCGAGGAAGAGUUCCGUCAGCACGAUGGCGUGAUGACGAUCUUGAUGUACUACCGACGCAGGGCUUCGCCUAAGCACUGCAACAAUAUGAUCGAGGUGGAAUUUGGUGGCAGGGGGCACCGCACAUGGCUAAGGAACGAUCACCAAGGAUCAACUUGUGUGUCUAUGGGGUGCCCCCUGCCUUAGUAUAUAAAGGAUGGAGGAGGGGGAGGCCGGCCAAGGCUAUUGGUGCGGCCAGGAUGGGAGUCCUACUAGGACUCCAAGUCCUAGUAGGAGUCCAUCAAGAGGGGAGGAAGGGAGAAGGAAGUGGAGGAGAAGGAGAGGUGGCCGGCCCCCUUUUCCCUAGUCCAAUUCGGACCAAAGGGGAGGGGGGGCGCAGCAGCCUUUUUCCUCUUCCCACUAAAGCCCAUUAAGGCCCAUUACUUCUCCCGUAACUACCCGGUACUCCGAAAAAUACCCGAAUCACUCGGAACCUUUCCGAUGUCCGAAUAUAGUCGUCCAAUAUAUCGAUCUUUAUGUCUCGACCAUUUCGAGACUCCUCGUCAUGUCCCCGAUCUCAUCCGGGACUCCGAACUCCUUCGGUACAUCAAAACUCAUAAACUCAUAAUAUAACUGUCAUCGAAACCUUAAGCGUGCGGACCCUACGGUUCAAGAACAAUGUAGACAUGACCGAGACACGUCUCCGGUCAAUAACCAAUAGCGGGACCUGGAUGCCCAUAUUGGCUCCUACAUAUUCUACGAAGAUCUUUAUCGGUCAGACCGCAUAACAACAUACGUUGUUCCCUUUGUCAUCGGUAUGUUACUUGCCCGAGAUUCGAUCGUCGGUAUCCAAUACCUAGUUCAAUCUCGUUACCGGCAAGUCUCUUUAAUCAUUCUGUAAUACAUCAUCCCGCAACUAACUCAUUAGUUGCAAUGCUUGCAAGGCUUGUGUAAUGUGUAUUACCGAGAGGGCCAGAGAUACCUCUCCGACAAUCGGAGUGACAAAUCCUAAUCUCGAAAUACGCCAACCCAACAUCUACCAUUGGAGACACCUGUAGUACUCCUUUAUAAUCACCCAGUUACAUUGUGACGUUUGGUAGCACCCAAAGUGUUCCUCCGGUAAACGGGAGUUGCAUAAUCUCAUAGUGAUAGGAACAUGUAUAACUCAUGAAGAAUAGCAACAGCAACAUACUAAACGAUCGGGUGCUAAGCUAAUGGAAUGGGUCAUGUCAAUCAGAUCAUUCAACUAAUGAUGUGACCUCGUUAAUCAAAUAACAACUCUUUUGUCCAUGGUUAGGAAACAUAACCAUCUUUGAUUAACGAGCUAGUCAAGUAGAGGCAUACUACACUAGUAGGAAAAGGGUCAAACGUGAAGCACAUUAGUGCCGGUUUGUAUUUGAGUCGGCACUAAUGGUACCAUUAGUGCCGGUUCGAACGAAUUUGUAUUAAUGCCGGUUCGUGUUGAACCUUUAGUACCAGUUCGUGGCACGAACCGGUACUAAAGAGGUGGUGGCAGGCUGGCGUCAGGCCGGGGCCCCACGAUCACCUUUAGUACCGGUUCGUGCCACGAACCGGUACUAAAAGUCUAACCUUUAGUACCGGUUCGUGGCACGAACCGGUACUAAAGAGGGUCUAACCUAUAGUACCGGUUCGUGCCACGAACCGGUACUAAAGGUCCCAUUUUUAAACUCUACCCCCCCUGUGGAUCGCCUUUUUAGUUUAAAAAAAUAAACGAAAAUGAUGGAAAUGUCAAAAAAUAAAAGAAAAUAAGUUUCUCAUGUGAUAUGUGGUCUAGUUGUUGGGAAAAUUUGCAAAUGUGAAUUUUGACUUUAUUUGCAAAAUCUCUCUGAAAUUUGUAAAAAUGGGCAUAACUUUUGCAUACUAACUCGGAUGAAAAAGUUUUUUAUAUGAAAAAUCAUCUACUCGAAAAGUUACAUCCAAAUUUAACCGGGGGAACCCCGUUAAACAUUUUUAAAAUCCUCAAAAACCUAAUAGAAAAAAGUUACGGGGCUUUUAAGAUCUAGAGUGGAAAAAAUUGAAAAAUAUUCAAACAGUGGGCAAACUGUGGUCAAACAUUGGUCAAACUAAUUAUUCUACAAUAUUAGUGUUACUAAAUAAUUAUUUUAGUUAUUUCAAUUUUGGUCAAAUCUGGUCAAACUGUGGUCAAACUAUGGUCAAACUGUGGUCAAACUAUGGUCAAACUAAUUAUUCAAGAAAUAUUAGUGUUACUAAAUAAUUAUUGUUUUUUAAAACAAUAGUUUCAAAUUCAAACAGUGAAAUGUGUCACUUCAUGCUCAAGCAAAAUUCUUGAAGGUUAAUAGGAUUGACAUCUUACUAUUGUCAGGAAAACAACAAGUGCAGACUUGGAGCGAGGGAGAAUAGAAACCGGAAGUUAAGCGUGCUCGGGCUGGAGUAGUGAGAGGGAUGGGUGACCGGUCGGGAAGUUAGAUGAUUUGGAAUGAGUGAUCCACACUUGAGCAGUUAAGAGAGGUGAUUAGAGACUAAAUCAUCAAAUAAUUCAGAAAAAUUAAAAACAAAAAAACAAAUUUUUUUCCAAAAUUUUCAAAAAAAUAAUUCAAAAAAAAAAACCUUUAGUACCGGUUGGUAACACCAACCGGUACUAAAGGUCCCCCGUACCAGGGCGCGAGCUCACGCCACGUGGUGGCACUUUAGCGCUGGUUCGUGCUGAACCGGUACUAAGGGGGGGGGGGCUUUAGUGCCGAAAUAAUAGUGCCGGUUCCAUAACCGGCACUAAAGGCCCUUACGAACCGGUGCUAUUGCCCGGUUUUCUACUAGUGCUAGUGACACUCUGUUUGUCUAUGUAUUCACACAUGUAUUAUGUUUUCGGUUAAUACAAUUCUAGCAUGAAUAAUAAACAUUUAUCAUGAUAUAAGGAUAUAAAUAAUAACUUUAUUAUUGCCUCUAGGGCAUAUUUCCUUCAGUAUGUUAGACUUAAGUGUGUUUGUCACAUGUUUUAUGAUGCUCUCUUUAUGCCUCAAUUCUUGUCUUUCUUGUGAGCAUCAUUGAAAUCUCAAUGCCUAGCUAGGGGCGUUAAACGAUAGCGCUUGUUGGGAGGCAACCCAAUUUUAUUUUGUGUUUUUUUGGUUUUUGGUUCUGUUUAGGAAUAAAUAAUCCAUCUAGAUCCUGGUUAGAUGUGGUCUUAUCUUUUAAUUAGUGUUUGUGCCAAGUUAAACCUAUUAGAUCUUCUUGGGAGAUAGUUAUUUGAUCUUGCUGUAAUUUCCAGAAUCUUUGCGCUCAGUGCCCGAAUUGUUGAAAACCACCAGAACGUGAUAAAUUACUGAUUAAUUCCAAUUGCUGCUGAUCAAUAAACAAAUUGCCCAGGUCGUCUAAUUUUGGUAGAAUUUUUUGGGUUCAAGAAGUUUGCGUUAGUUACAGAUUACUACAUACUGUUCUGUUUUUGACAGAUUCUAUUUUGCGUGUGUUGUUUGCUUAUUUUGAUGAAUCUAUGGCUAGUAAAAUAGUUUAUGAUCCAGAGAGAAGUUGAAAUACAGUAGGUUUAACACCAACAUAAAUAAAGAAUGAGCUCAUUACAGUACCUUGAAGUAGUCUUUUGUUUUCUUUCUCUAACGGAGCUCACGAGAUUUCUAUUGAGUUUUGUGUUGUGAUGUUUUCAAGUUUUGGGUGAAUUCUUUUGAUGGAUUAUGGAACAAAGAGUGGCAAGAGCCUAAGCUUGGGGAUGCCCAUGGCACCCCCAAGAUAAUCCAAGGACAACAAAAAUUCAAAGCUUGGGGAUGCCCUAGAAGGCAUCCCCUCUUUCGUCCACUUCCAUCGGUAAUUUACUUGGAGCUAUAUUUUUAUUCACCAACAUGAUAUGUGUUUUGCUUGGAGCGUCUUGUAUUAUUUGUGUCUUUGCUUGUUAGUCUACCACAAUCAUCCUUGCUGUACACACCUUUUGAUAGAGCCAUACAUGAUUUGGAAUUUGUUAGAAUACUCUAUGUGCUUCACUUAUAUCUUUUGAGCUUGAUAGUUUUGCUCAUAGUGCUUCACUUAUAUAUUUUUGAGCAUGAUAAUUUUUGCUCUAGUGCUUAACUUAGAUCUUUUAGAGCAUGGUGGUGGAUUUGUCUUAAAGAAACUUGAUCUCUCAUGCUUCACUUAGAUUAUUUUGAGAGUCAUUAAUAGCAUGGUAAUUUGCUUAAUAUUAAUAUACUUAGUGUUCGAGAUAUGUGAAACUUUCUUUUGAGUGAAUUGAAUACUAAGAUAAAUCUAAUGCUUAAUAAUUGUUUUAAGAUAUGGAGGUAAUAAUAUCAAAGUCGUGCUAGUUGAGUAGUUGUGAAUUUGAGAAAUACUUGAGUUGAAGUUUGCAAGUCCCGUAGCAUGCACGUAUGGGUAAAGUUGUGUAACAAAUUUGAAGCAUGAAGUGUACCUCGCUUGUGCAUCCUUAUGAGUGGCGGUCGGGGACGAGCGAUGGUCUUUUCCUACCAAUCUAUCCACCUAGGGGCAUGCGUAGUAGUACUUUGCUUCGAGGGCUAAUAAACUUUUGCAAUAAGUAUAUGAGUUCUUUUGACUAAUGUUGAGUCCAUGGAUAAUACGCACUUUUACCUUUCCGCAUUUGCUAGCCUCUUCGGUACCGUGCAUUGCCCUUUCUCACCUUGAGAGUUGGUGCAAACUUCGCCGGUGCAUCCAAACCCCGUGAUAUGAUACGCUCUUUCACACAUAAACCUCCUUAUAUCUUCCUCAAAACAGCCAACAUACCUACCUAUUAUGGCAUUUCCAUAGCCAUUCCGAGAUAUAUUGCCAUGCAACUUUCCACCGUUCCGUUCAUCAUGACAUACUUUACUUUUGUCAUAUUGCCAUUGCAUGAUCAUGUAGUUGACAUCGUAUUUGUGGCAAAGCCACCAUGCAUUAUUUUUCAUACAUGUCACUCUUGAUUCAUUGCACCAUCCCGGUACACCGCCGGAGGCAUUCAUAUAGAGUCAUAUCUUGUUCUAGUUUCGAGUUGUAAUAUCAAGUUGUUGUAAUGAAAGUGUGAUGAUCAUCAUUAUUAGAACAUUGCCCCAGUGAGGAAAAGGAUGAUGGAGACUAUGAUUCCCCCACAAGUCGGGAUGAGACUCCGGACGAAAAAAAGAAAAAGAAAAAAGAGGCCAUAAAAAAGAGAAAAGGCCCAAAAAAAGAAUGAGAGAAAAAGAGAGAAGGGGCAAUGUUACUAUCCUUUACCACACUUGUGCUUCAAAGUAGCACCUUGUUCUUCAUGUAGUGAGCCUCAUAUAUUUGUGCUUCAAAAUAGCACCAUGUUUUUCAUAUAGUGAGUCUCAUAAAUUAUUCAUACUAGUGGGAAGUUUUCAUUAUAGAACUUGGCUUGUAUAUUCCAAUGAUGGGCUUCCUAAAAAUGCCCUAGGUCUUCAUGAGCAAGCGAGUUGGAUGCACACCCACUAGUUUUCUUUUGUUGAGCAUUCAUAGCUCUAGUGCAUUCGUUGCAUGGCAAUCCCUACUCCUCAUGUUUUCAUCAAUUGAUGGGCAUCUCCAUAGCCCGUUGAUUAUCCUUGCCCGUUGAUUAUCCAUGGCUCGCGCUCAUGUAUUGCGUGAGGGUUGAAAAAGCUGAAGCGCGUUAAAAAGUAUGAAACAAUUGCUUGGCUUGUCAUCGGGGGUAUAGAAGUUGGUAACAUCUUUGUGUGACGGAAAUGAAGCAUAGCCUAACCAUAUGAUUUUGUAGGGAUGAACUUUCUUUGGCCAUGCUAUUUUGAGAUGAAAUAAUUGCUUGAUUAGUAUGCUUGAAGUAUUAUUAUUUUUAUGUCAAUAUGAACUUUUAUCUUGAAUCUUUCGGAUCUGAAUAUUCAUACCAUGAUUAAGAAGAUUUAGAUUGAAAUUAUGCCAAAGUAUCACUCCGCAUCAAAAAUUCUUCUUUUUAUUAUUUACCUACUCGAGGACGAGCAGGAAUUAAGCUUGGGGAUGCCUGAUACGUCUCCAACGUAUCUAUAAUUUUUGAUUGCUCCAUGCUACUUUAUCUACUGUUUUGGACUAUAUUGUGUUGGAAAUAUGCCCUAGAGGCAAUAAUAAAUUGGUUAUUAUUAUAUUUCCUUGUUCAUGAUAAUCGUUUAUUAUCCAUGCUAUAAUUGUAUUGAUAGGAAACUCAGAUACAUGUGUGGAUACAUAGACAACACCAUGUCCCUAGUAAGCCUCUAGUUGACUAGCUCGUUGAUCAAUAGAUGGUUACGGUUUCCUGACCAUGGACAUUGGAUGUCGUUGACAACGGGAUCACAUCAUUAGGAGAAUGAUGUGAUGGACAAGACCCAAUCAUAAGCCUAGCACAAAGAUCGUGUAGUUCGUAUGCUAAAGCUUUUCUAAUGUCAAGUAUCAUUUCCUUAGACCAUGAGAUUGUGCAACUCUCGGAUAUCGUAGGAAUGCUUUGGGUAUACCAAACGUCACAAUGUAACUGGGUGGCUAUAAAGGUACACUACGGGUAUCUCCGAAAGUGUCUGUUGGGUUGGCACGAAUCGAGACUGGGAUUUGUCACUCCGUGUGACGGAGAGGUAUCUCUGGGCCCACUCGGUAGGACAUCAUCAUAUGCGCAAUGUGACCAAGGAGUUGAUCACGGGAUGAUGUGUUAUGGAACAAGUAAAGAGACUUGCCGAUAACGAGAUUGAACAAGGUAUCGAGAUACCGACGAUCGAAUCUCGGGCAAGUGCAAUACCGCUAGACAAAGGGAAUUGAAUACGGGAUUGAUUGAAUCCUCGACAUCGUGGUUCAUCUGAUGAGAUCAUCGUGGAACAUGUGGGAGCCAACAUGGGUAUCUAGAUCCCGCUAUUGGUUAUUGGCCAGAGAGGUGUCUCGGUCAUGUCUACAUGGUUCCCGAACCCGUAGGGUCUACACACUUAAGGUUCGGUGACGCUAGGGUUAUAGGGAAUAGAUGUACGUGGUUACCGAAUGUUGUUCAGAGUCCCGGAUGAGAUCCCGGACGUCACGAGGAGUUCUAGAAUGGUCCGGAGGUAAAGAUUUAUAUAUGGGAAGUCAUCAUACGGUCACCGGAAUAGUUCGGGGGGUUACCGGUAUUGUACCGGGAUCACCGAAGGGGUUCCGGGGGUCCACCGGGAGGGUCCACCUGCCCCGGAGGGCCCUAUGGGCUGUUUGUGGAGAGGGACCAGCCCCUUAGUGGGCUAGGCGCCUCCCCCCUAGGGCCCAUGCGCCUAGGGUUUGGGGGAACCCUAAAAGGGGGGCGCCCCCUUGCCUUGGGGGGCAAGGCAACCACCCUGGCCGCCGGCCCCUCCUCAGAUUGGAUCUGAGGGAGGCAGCCCCCUCUCCCUUGCCCCUAUAUAUAUGUGGGGGGUGGGAGGGCAGCCGCACCCAUGUUCUGGCACAGCCCUCCCCCUCUCCCAAGUCCUCCCCCUCUCCCGCGGUGCUUGGCGAAGCCCUGCAGGAUUGCCACGCACCUCCACCACCACCACACCAUCGUGCUGCUGUUGGACGGAGUCUUCCCCAACCUCUCCCUCUCUCCUUGCUGGAUCAAGGCGUGGGAGACGUCACCGGGCUGCACAUGUGUUGAACGCGGAGGUGCCGUCCGUUCGGCACUAGGAUCAUCGGUGAUUUGGAUCACGACGAGUACGACUCCAUCAACCCCGUUCACUUGAACGCUUCCGCUUAGCGAUCUACAAGGGUAUGUAGAUGCACUCCCCUUCCCUCGUUGCUAGAUUACUCCAUAGAUUGAUCUUGGUGAUGCGUAGAAUUUUUUAAAUUUCUGCUACGUUCCCCAACAGUGGCAUCAUGAGCUAGGUCUAUGCGUAGUUUCUAUGCACGAGUAGAACACAAAGUAGUUGUAGGCGUCGAUUUUGUCAAUUUACUUGCCGUUACUAGUCUUAUCUUGAUUUGGCGGCAUCGUGGGAUGAAGCGGCCCGGACCGACCUUACACGUACUAUUACGUGAGACCAGGGACGGAGCCAGAAAUUUGGUAUGGGGGGGCGAGUUUCAGACUUGAGCUCUUAUAGGCUGAUGAGCACCGACCGAACCAUAAGAACUUUAAAGUGUGCAAAAAAUGAUAAGCAUGGCGUCGUUUUCGUUAGUGUAAACAACUAAACACUACAAAGAAUAGUAUCUAAAUUAGUUAUAUUGCAUAAAUAAUAAUGUGGCAGACGGUACUAUGUCAGAAUGGAUUCCAACUCUUAGAUCCUUUAGUUAUCAAUCAUAUUGACCAACAAAAAAAAUCAUGAUGUUGGUUCUUCUCCUAAAUCCUAAUCCAAACCCAUUAAUGGUUAAGAGGAAUGAUCGAUUAGGAUCUCUAGGCUUGGACAGUUGGAUUCCAUUGUUCUCUUCCUCUUCAUGUCUAUACACAAGUAUAAUUGAAUAAGGACAGCCAAUAUUCUGUAAUUGAUUUCUGAUGUUUUUAGAUUUUUAAUGGCACAACCACACAAGUUUCAAGAGAUUAAAGAUCAAGAGAUGAAGAGACUUUUUUGCCGCCUGAUGAAGAGACUAACCGUGCAGAAAAUUGUGGAUCUUGAUCAGUCCCCUUCUGAUUUUCGCUGGAAGAAGGCUGGGCCGCUGGGGUGCAAUUGGUGUGCUCCUCUCCUUCACGGACAGCCUCACCGGCCGCGGCGGCAGGCGAUGCUACGGCAGGCAAUGGGUGGAGACUCGAUCGCAGGACAGAUAUGAAGAUCGCACGAGGCAAUGGCGGCGCUAAAAUCUUGAUGAUCGUAGCAGCAGAGAACGGAAGCGGUUGUGGCGUGCUGCUGCAGCCAAGUCCCUGAACCAAUGGCCCCUGGCCCCUCUUCUCGAUGGUGGGCCUUCUUUUUGGUUGGUUUUGGUCUGCUAUGUCAUGUACAUGGGCUAGGCCCUAGGGGGGUUUCACGUGGGUUACACGGGACAGCCGGACAGGGGGGGCAAAUUGAGUCAAAACACUGCGUAAUUACGUCAAAACGCUGCCUAAUUACGAACUUUCCUAAUCGCUAUUAAGGCAGACAAGAUCGUUAGGGGGGGUCUCGCCCCCCCUCGUCCCCCCUUAGAUUCGUCCCUGCGUGAGACAGGUUCCACCGACUGACAUGCACUAGUUGCAUAAGGUGGCUAGCGGGUGUCUGUCUCUCCCACUUUAGUCGGAUUGGAUUCGAUGAAAAGGGUCCUUAUGAAGGGUAAAUAGAAAUUGGCAUAUCACGUUGUGGUUUUUUGCGUAGGUAAGAAACGUUCUUGCUAGAAACCCAUAGCAGCCACGUAAAACAUGCAACAACAAUUAGAGGACGUCUAACUUGUUUUUGCAGGGUAUGCAAUGUGAUGUGAUAUGGCCAAAAGGAUGUGAUUUAUGAUAUAUGUGAUGUAUGAGAUUGAUCAUGUUCUUGUAAUAGGAAUCACGACUUGCAUGUCGAUGAGUAUGACAACCGGCAGGAGCCAUAGGAGUUGUCUUAAUUUAUUUAUGACCUACAUGUCAACAUAAACAUCAUGUAAUUACUUUACUUUAUUGCUCACCGUUAGCUGUAGUAGUAGAAGUAAUAGUUGGCGAGACAACUUCAUGAAGACACGAUGAUGGAGAUCAUGGUGUCAUGCUGGUGACGAUGAUGAUCAUGGAGCCCCGAAGAUGGAGAUCAAAAGGAGGGAAGUGAUGAUGGCCAUAUCAUGUCACUAUUUGAUUGCAUGUGAUGUUUAUCAUGUUUUUACAUCUUAUUUGCUUAGAAUGACAGUAGCUUAAAUAAGAUGAUCCCUCCCUAAAAUUUCAAGAAAGUGUUCUCCCUAACUGCGCACCAUUGCAAAGGUUCGUUGUUUCGAAGCACCACGUGAUGAUCGGGUGUGAUAGAUUCUAACGUUCGAAUACAACGGGUGUUGACGAGCCUAGCAUGUACAGACAUGGCCUCGGAACACAUGCGGAACACUUAGGUUGACUUGACAAGCCUAGCAUGUACAGACAUGGCCUCAAAACACGGAGGACCAAAAGGUCGAACAUGAGUCGUAUAGAAGAUGCGAUCAACAUGAGAUGUUCAUCGAUGAUGACUAGUCCGUCUCACGUGAUGAUCAGACACGGCCUAGUCGAUUCGGAUCAUGUAUCACUUAGAUGACUAGAGGGAUGUCUAUCUGAGUGGGAGUUCAUGAAAUAAUCAGAUGAACUCAAUUAUCAUGAACAUAGUCAAAAGAUCUUUGCAAAUUAUGUUGAAGCUUACGCUUUAGUUCUACUGUUUUAGAUACGUUCCUAGAGAAAAUUUAGUUGAAAGUCGAUAGUAGCAAUUAUGCGGACUGGGUCCGUAAACUGAGGAUUGUCCUCAUUGCUGUGCAAAAGGAUUAUGUCCUUAAUGCACCGCUCAGUGAGUUGAACCUCGAGCGUCGAUUGUGGAUGUUGCGAACAUCUGACAUACACGUUUUGAUGACUACAUGAUAGUUCAGUGCGUAAUGCUAAAUGGUUUAGAAUUGAGGCACCAAAGACGUUUUGAAACGUCGCAGAACAUAUGAGAUGUUCCAAGGACUGAAAUUGGGAUUUCAGGCUAGUGCCCAUGUCAAGAGGUAUGAGACCUUUGACAAGUUUCCUAAGCCUGCAAACUAAGGAGAAAGGCUCAAUUGUUGAGCAUGUUGUAUGAGUACUACAAUCGCUUGAAUCGAGUGGGAGUUAAUCUUCCAGAUGAGAUAGUGAUGGUUCUCCAAAGUCACUGUCACCAAGCUACUAGAGCUUCAUGAUGAACUAUAACAUAUCAGUGAUAGACAUGAUGAUCCUUGAGCAAUUCGCGAUGUUUGACACCGCGAAAGUAGAAAUCGAAUAGGAGCAUCAAUUGUUGAUGGUUAGUAGAACCACUAGUUUCAAGAAGGGCAAGGGCAAGAAGGGAUACUUCAUGAAACGUCAAAUCAGUUGCCGCUCUAGUGAAGAAGCCCGAGGUUGAACCCAAAACCCGAAACUAAGUGCUUUUGUAUUGAGGGGAACAGUCACUGAAGCAGAACUACCCUAGAUACUUGGUAGAUGAGAAGGCUGGCAAGGUUGAUAGAAGUAUAUAUAGGAUAUACAUUAUAUUAAAUGUGUACUUUACUAGUACUCCUAGUAGCAGCAGGGUAUUAGAUACCGGUUCGGUUGCUAAGUGUUAGUAACUCGAAAUAAAAGGCUACAGAAUAAACGGAGACUAGCCAAAGGUGAGACGACAAUAUGUGUUGGAAGAGUUUCCAAGGUUGAUGUGAUCAAACAUCGCACGCUCCGUCUACCAUCGGGAUUGGUGUUAAACCUAAAUAAUUGUUGUUUGGUGUUUGCGUUGAGCGUAGACAUGAUUUGAUUAUGUUUAUCGCAAUACGGUUAUUCAUUUAAGGAGAAUAAUGGUUACUCUGUUUACUUGAAUAAUACCUUCAAUGGUCUUACACCUAAAAUGAAUGGUUUAUUGAAUCCCGAUCGUAGUGAUACACAUGUUCACGCCAAAAGAUAUAAGAUAGUAAUGAUAGCACCACAUACUUGUGGCACUGCAAUUUGAGUCAUAUUGGUAUAAAAUGCAUGAAGAAGCUCCAUGUUGAUGGAUCUUUGGACUCACUUGAUUUUGAAUCACUUGAGACAUGCAUGGGCAAGAUGACUGAAAGGCCUCGUUUUUCAGUAAGAUGGAACAAGAAAGCAACUUGUUGGAAGUAAUACAUCUUGAUGUGUACAGUCCAAUGAGUGUUGAGGCAUGUAGUGGAUAUCGUUAUGUUCUUACUUCACAGAUGAUUUGAGUAGAUGCUGAGUAUAUUUACUUGAUGAAUCACAAGUCUGAAUUAUUGAAAGGUUCAAGUAAUUUCAGGGUGAAGUUGAAAAAUCAUCGUGACAAGAGGAUAAAAAAUCUGUGAUAUGAUCAUAGAGAUGAAUAUCUGAAUUACGAGUUUGGCACGGAAUUAACACAUUGUGGAAAUGGUUUCACAACUGAUACAACCUGGAACACCAUAGUGUGAUGGUGUGUCCGAACAUCAUAACUGCACCCUAUUGGAUAUGAUGCAUACCAUGAUGUCUCUUAUCGAAUUACCACUAUAGUUUAUGGGUUAGGCAUUAGAGACAACCACAUUCACUUUAAAUAGGGCAUCAAACAAUUCCAUUUGAGAUUGACACCGUGUGAACUAUGGUUUAGAGAAACCUAAGCUGUCGUUUCUUAAAGAUUUGGGGUUGCGACGCUUAUGUGAAAAAGUUUCAGGCUGAUAAGCUCGAACCCAAAGCGGAUAAAUGUAUCUUCAUAGGACACCCAAAACAGUUGGGUAUACCUCCUGUCUCAGAUCCGAAAGCAAUAGGGAUUGUUUCUUGGAUCGGGUCCUUUCUCGAGGAAAAGUUUCUCUCGAAAGAAUUGAGUGGGAGGAUGGUGGAGACUUGAUGAGGUUAUUGAACCGUCACUUCAACUAGUGUAUAGCAGGGCACAAGGAGUUGUUCCUGUGGCACCUACACCAAUUGAAGUGGAAGCUUAUGAUAGUGAUCAUGAAACUUCGGAUCAAGUCACUACCAAAACCUCGUAGGACGACAAGGAUGUGUACUACUUCAGAGUAGUACGUAAUCCUGUCUUGGAAGUCAUGUUGCUAGACAACAAUGAGCCUACGAGCUAUGGAGAAGCGAUGGUGGGCCCGGAUUCCAAGAAUGGCUCAAGGCCAUAAAAUCCGAGAGAGGAUCCAUAUAUGAAACAAAGUGUAGACUUUGGAAGAACUACUUGAUGGUUGUAAGGCUGUUAGGUACAUAUGGAUUUUAAAAGGAAGACGGACAAUGAUGGUAAGUAUCACCAUUAGGAAAGCUCGACUUGUCGUUAAGAUGUUUUCCGACAAGUUCAAGCACUGGUAGAAAAAGGGCCUAUAGUCCCGGUUCGUAAGGGCCUUUAGUCCCGGUUCCUGAACCGGGACUAAAGUGUCAGUACUAAUACCUCCCCCCUUUAGUCCCAGUUCAAUCCAGAACCGGGACUCCCGGUUCAAUCCAGAACCGGGACUAAAGGGCGCGGCCACGUGGAGCUCCACCUUUAGUCCUGGUUGGUAACACCAACCGGGACUAAAGGAAAUUUUAUGAAUUUUUUUGAAAUUUUUUUUUGAAUUUUUUUUGGAUUUUUUUAUUUUCAAAUUUCUGAAUUAUUUUAACCUCUAGUCUGUAAUCACCACCCCUCAUCACUUCUCAAUUUAUCCUUUAAUCACCCCUCAUCAUUCCAAAUCAUCUAACUUCCCGACCGUUCACCCAUCCCUCUCACUACUCCAGCCCAAGCACGCUUAACUUCCGGGUUCUAUUCUCCCUCGCUCCAAGUCUGCACUUGUUGUUUUCCUGACAAUAGUAAGAUGUCAAUCCUAUUAACCUUCAGGAAUUUUGCUUGAGCAUGAAGUGACACAUUUCACUGUUUGAGUUUGAAACUAUUGUUGUAAAAAACAAUAAUUAUUUAGUAACACUAAUAUUUCUUGAAUAAUUAGUUUGACCAUUGUUUGACCACAGUUUGACCAUAGUUUGACCAGAUUUGACCAAAAUUGAAAUAACUAAAAUAAUUAUUUAGUAACACUAAUAUUCUAGAAUAAUUAGUUUGACCAUUGUUUGACCACAGUUUGCCCACUAUUUAAAUAUUUUUCAAUUUUUUCCACUCUAGAUCUUAAAAGCCCCGUAACUUUUUCUAUUAGGUUUUUGAGGAUUUUAAAAAUGUUUAACGAGGUUCCCCCGGUUAAAUUUGGAUGUAACUUUUCGAGUAGAUGAUUUUUCAUAUAAAAAACUUUUUCAUCCGAGUUAGUAUGCAAAAGUUAUGCCCAUUUUNNNNNNNNNNNNNNNNNNNNNNNNNNNNNNNNNNNNNNNNNNNNNNNNNNNNNNNNNNNNNNNNNNNNNNNNNNNNNNNNNNNNNNNNNNNNNNNNNNNNNNNNNNNNNNNNNNNNNNNNNNNNNNNNNNNNNNNNNNNNNNNNNNNNNNNNNNNNNNNNNNNNNNNNNNNNNNNNNNNNNNNNNNNNNNNNNNNNNNNNNNNNNNNNNNNNNNNNNNNNNNNNNNNNNNNNNNNNNNNNNNNNNNNNNNNNNNNNNNNNNNNNNNNNNNNNNNNNNNNNNNNNNNNNNNNNNNNNNNNNNNNNNNNNNNNNNNNNNNNNNNNNNNNNNNNNNNNNNNNNNNNNNNNNNNNNNNNNNNNNNNNNNNNNNNNNNNNNNNNNNNNNNNNNNNNNNNNNNNNNNNNNNNNNNNNNNNNNNNNNNNNNNNNNCCGGGACUAAAGGUCUAAUAUUUAGUCCCGGUUUGAGGCACGAACCGGGACUAAAGGUCAUCGCACCCUUUAGUCCCGGUUCAUGGCUUAAACCGGGACUAAAGGGCCCGAGUGAACCGGGACUAAUGCCUUAGCCGCACGAACCGGGACCAAUGCUCACAUUAGUCCCGGUUCUAGACUGAACCGGGACUAAUGGGCUGAGCCGGCCUGGACCAUAGCCCUGUUUUCUACUAGUGAAGGAGUUGACUAUGAUGAGACUUUCUCACUCGUAGCGAUGCUAAGAGUCUGUUGGAAUUAUAUUAGCAGGUACUGCAUUAUUUAUGAAAUCUUGCAAAUAGGAUGUCAAAAAUAUUGUUUCCUUGAUGAUUUUCUUGAGGAAAGGUUGUAUGUGAUACAACCAGAAGAUUUUGUCAAUCCUGAAAGAUGCUAACAAGUAUGCAAAGCUCCAACAAUCCUUCUAAGGACUGGAGUAAGCAUCUCGGAGUUGGAAUGAAUGCUUUGAUGAGAUGAUCAAAGAUUUUGGGUUUAUACAAGGUUUAUGAGAAACUUGUAUUUCCAAAGAAGUGAGUGGGAGCACUAUAUAAUUUUGGAUGAGUAUAUGUUGUGAACAUAUUGUUGAUCAGAAAUGAUGUAGAAUUUCUGGAAAGCAUAUAGGGUUAUUUGAAAGGUGUUUUUCAAUGGAAAACAUGGAUUAAGCUACUUGAACAUUAAGCAUCAAGAUCUGUAAGGAUAGAUCAAAAACGCUUAAUGGUACUUUCAAAUGAGCACAUACCUUGACAUGAUCUUGAAGGUGUUCAAGAUGGAUCAGCCAAAGAAGGAGUUCUUGCCUGAGUUGUAAGGUAUGAAGUUAAGACUUCAAGCUCGACCACGGCAGAAGAAAGAGGAAGGACGAAGGUCGUCCCCUAUGCUUUUGUCAUAGGCUCUAUACGGUAUGCCAUGCUGAGUACCGCACCUGAUGUGUGCCUUGCCACAUGUCUGGCAAGAGGGUACAAAGGUGAUCUAGGAGUAGAUCACCAGAUAGCGGUCAAAAUUAUCCUUAGAGAAAUAAGGAUAUGAUUCUCGGUUAUGGAGGUGAUAAAGAGUUCGACGUAAAGAGUUACGUCGAUGCAAGCUUAACACCUAUCUGGAUAGAUCUGAGUAGAGAUACCGGAUACGUAUAAUGGAGCAACAAUUUAGAAUAGCUCCAAGUAGAACAGUUAUUUGAAAUGGCUCCAAAUAUAGCGUAGAGAUUUGCAAAGUACAUAUGGAUCUGAAUGUUGCAGACCCGUAGACUACAACCUCUCUCACAAGCAUAACAUGAUCAAACCCAGAACUCAUUGAGUGUUAAUCACAUAGUGAUGUGAACUAGAUUAUUAACUCUAGUAAACUCUUUGGAUGUUGGUCACAUGGCGAUGUGACCUGUGAGUGUUAAUCACAUGGCGAUGUGAACUAGAUUAUUGACUCUAGUGCAAGUGGGAGACUGUUGGAAAUAUGACCUAGAGGCAAUAAUAAAUUGGUUAUUAUUAUAUUUCCUUGUUCAUGAUAAUCGUUUAUUAUCCAUGCUAUAAUUGUGUUGAUAGGAAACUCAGAUACAUGUGUGGAUACAUAGACAACACCAUGUCCCUAGUAAGCCUCUAGUUGACUAGCUCGUUGAUCAAUAGAUGGUUACGGUUUCCUGAUCAUGGACAUUGGAUGUCGUUGAUAACGGGAUCACAUCAUUAGGAGAAUGAUGUGAUGGACAAGACCCAAUCAUAAGCCUAGCACAAAGAUCGUGUAGUUCGUAUGCUAAAGCUUUUCUAAUGUCAAGUAUCAUUUCCUUAGACCAUGAGAUUGUGCAACUCCCGGAUACCGUAGGAAUGCUUUGGGUAUACCAAACGUCACAACGUAACUGGGUGGCUAUAAAGGUACACUAUGGGUAUCUCCGAAAGUGUCUGUUGGGUUGGCACGAAUCGAGACUGGGAUUUGUCACUCCGUGUGACGGAGAGGUAUCUCUGGGCCCACUCGGUAGGACAUCAUCAUAUGCGCAAUGUGACCAAGGAAUUGAUCACAGGAUGAUGUGUUACGGAACGAGUAAAGAGACUUGCCGGUAACAAGAUUGAACAAGGUAUCGAGAUACCGACGAACGAAUCUCGGGUAAGUGCAAUACCGCUAGACAAAGGGAAUUGAAUACGGGAUUGAUUGAAUCCUCGACAUCGUGGUUCAUCUGAUGAGAUCAUCGUGGAACAUGUGGGAGCCAACAUGGGUAUCCAGAUCCCGCUGUUGGUUAUUGGCCAGAAAGGUGUCUCGGCCAUGUCUACAUGGUUCCCGAACCCGUAGGGUCUACACACUUAAGGUUCGGUGACCCUAGGGUUAUAGGGAAUAGAUGUACGUGGUUACCGAAUGUUGUUCGGAGUCCCGAAUGAGAUCUCGGACGUCACGAGGAGUUCCGGAAUGGUCCGGAGGUAAAGAUUUAUAUAUGGGAAGUCAUCAUACGGUCACCGGAAUAGUUCGGGGGGUUACCGGUAUUGUACCGGGAUCACCGAAGGGGUUCCGGGGGUCCACCUGCCCUGGAGGGCAUAUGGGCUGUUUGUGGAGAGGGACCAGCCCCUUAGUGGGCUGGGCUCCUCCCCCCUAGGGCCCAUGCGCCUAGGGUUUGGGGGAACCCUAAAAGGGGGGCGCCCCCUUGCCUUGGGGGGCAAGGCAACCCCCCUGGCCGCCGCCCCCUCCUCAGAUUGGAUCUGAGGGGGACGACCCCCCUCUCCCUUGCCCCUAUAUAUAUGUGGGGGGGGGGGAGGGCAGCCGCACCCAUGUUCUGGCGCAGCCCUCCCCCUCUCCCAAGUCCUCCUCCUCUCCCGCGGUGCUUGGCGAAGCCCUGCAGGAUUGCCACGCUCCUCCACCACCACCACGCCGUCGUGCUGCUGUUGGACGGAGUCUUCCCCAACCUCUCCAUCUCUCCUUGCUGGAUCAAGGUGUGGGAGACGUCACCGGGCUGCACGUGUGUUGAACGCGGAGGUGCCGUCCAUUUGGCACUAGGAUCAUCGGUGAUUUGGAUCACGACGAGUACGACUCCAUCAACCCCGUUCACUUGAACGCUUCCUCUUAGCGAUCUACAAGGGUAUGUAGAUGCACUCCCCUUCCCUCGUUGCUAGAUUACUCCAUAGAUUGAUCUUGGUGAUGCGUAGAAAAUUUUGAAUUUCUGCUACGUUCCCCAACAUAUUGGGCUUUAUUUUCCACUUUUAUAUUAUUUUUGGGACUAACCUAUUAACCGAAGGCCCAGCCCAGAAUUGCUGUUUUUGCCUAUUUCAGUGUUUCGAAGAAACGGAAUAUCAAAUGGAGUCCAAAUGGAAUGAAACCUUCAGGAACGUGAUCUUCUCACCGAACGUGAUCCAGGAGACUUGGACCCUAUUCCAAGAAGCUUCCGAGGAGGUCACGAGGGUGGGGGGCGCGCCCCUCCCCCCUGGGCGCGCCCCCCUACCUCAUGGGCCCCUCGGAGCUCCACCGACGUACUCCUUCCUCCUAUAUAUACCUACGUACCCCCAAUAGACCAGAGACGGAGCCAAAAACCUUAUUCCACCGCCGCAACUUCCUGUAUCCACGAGAUGCCAUCUUGGGGCCUGGUCCGGAGCUCCGCCGGAGAGGGCAUCCACCACGGAGGGCUUCUACAUCAACACCAUAGCCCCUCCGAUGAAGUGUGAGUAGUUUACUUCAGACCUUUGGGUCCAUAGCUAGUAGCUAGAUGGCUUCUUCUCUCUUUUUGGAUCUCAAUACAAUGUUCUCCCCCUCUCUCGUGGAGAUCUAUUCGAUGUAAUCUUCUUUUUGCGGUGUGUUUGUUGAGACCGAUGAAUUGUGGGUUUAUGAUCCAACUUAUCUAUGAAUAAUAUUUGAAUCUUCUCUGAAUUCUUUUAUGUAUGAUUGAGUUAUCUUUGCAAGUCUCUUCGGAUUAUCCGUUUGGUUUGGCCAACUAGAUUGGUAGUUCUUGCAAUGGGAGAAGUGCAUGGCUUUGGGUUCAAUCUUGCGGUGUCCUUACUCAGUGACAGAAAGAGUUGCAAGGCACGUAUUGUAUUGUUGCCAUCGAGGAUAACAAGAUGGGGUAUUUAUCAUAUUGCAUGAAUUUAUUCCUCUACAUCAUGUCAUCUUGCUUAAGCCGUUACUCUGUUUUUAACUUAAUACUCUAGAUGCAUGCUGGAUAGCGGUCGAUGAGUGGAGUAAUAGUAGUAUAUGCAGAAUCGUUUCGAUCUACUUGUCACGGACGUGAUGCCUAUAUACAUGAUCAUACCUAGAUAACCUCAUAACUAUGCUCAAUUCUAUCAAUUGCUCAACAGUAAUUUGUUCACCCACCGUAGAAUACUUAUGCUCUUGAGAGAAGCCACUAGUGAAACCUAUGGCCCCCGGGUCUAUUCUCAUCAUAUCAAUCUCCAUCACUUUUAUUUACUUGGGUUUUGCUUUUACUUUUUACUUUGCAUCUUUAUACCAAAAAUACCAAAAAUAUUAUCUCUAUCAGAUCUCACUCUCGUAAGUGACCGUGAAGGGAUUGACAACCCCUAAGCGUUGGUUGCGAGUUGCUAUCAUUUUGUGCAAUAGCAAGACCCAUCUGAGUCUCCCCAUCACCUGUAAGGUGGUCAAGCUAGAGCUCCUCAAAUCCCUCCGUUAUUUCAUCCACCAUCACCACAACAUAGCCUUGUGGAAUCGCACGACAGUGAAAAGUUGCUCCGAGUGAAGGAGGGAACACAGAGCCGACAGCCGCCUUGACUUUGAGCUGAUCCCAUUGCGUCAUAAUGUGGCACUAGUGUGAAUCCGUGAUAAAAUCCACGGGGUAUCUAGGACCCGUCAAGUCAGGCUGCUGAACGAGCUCGGUGGAAGCACUACAAAAAAAGACACAUCCGUUACAUUUUGGACCGAACGAAACUUUUUUCUGUCAUACUUAUGACACUUCUAUGAUGAUAAUUGUGACAAAACCCGGUAUAAUCAUAGAUGUGGUGGGCUCCUACUUCUAUGACAAAAAAUCAUGAUAGAAAAUGGGCUUUUCGUCCUGGGUGGGCUGGAGAUGCAGCUGCAUGACAUUCUUUGGGCCGUCCAUGACGGAAAAAACCGUGGUAGAAGCGAGGGCGAGGAAAAUUUCAGGGAGUUCCCGGUUACGUUGGGUGGUCGGGGGCCGAGCGAUGCGCGUUUCUCUCGUAUACGUACGCGCGUGUGUGCGAGGUGUUGGCUCUAACUGAACCCGAGCAAGGCGUUGGGCUCUAACUGAACCCGAGCGAUUGCACUGCAGGCUACGUGUUACUGAACCCGAGCGAUCGAUCGAUGGCUGUUAAUUGAAACCGAUCGAGCGAUUCCUUCGCUACUGCUGCUAACUGAAGCCGAUCGAUGCUACCUCUGGAUGAACAGNNNNNNNNNNNNNNNNNNNNNNNNNNNNNNNNNNNNNNNNNNNNNNNNNNNNNNNNNNNNNNNNNNNNNNNNNNNNNNNNNNNNNNNNNNNNNNNNNNNNNNNNNNNNNNNNNNNNNNNNNNNNNNNNNNNNNNNNNNNNNNNNNNNNNNNNNNNNNNNNNNNNNNNNNNNNNNNNNNNNNNNNNNNNNNNNNNNNNNNNNNNNNNNNNNNNNNNNNNNNNNNNNNNNNNNNNNNNNNNNNNNNNNNNNNNNNNNNNNNNNNNNNNNNNNNNNNNNNNNNNNNNNNNNNNNNNNNNNNNNNNNNNNNNNNNNNNNNNNNNAGGACCCUGUGGCGUUGCCUCUGGAUGAACAGGACCCCGAUCGAUCGAGCCGGUUGGGGCUGGAUGAACAGGACCCCGUGGAGGUCUGGAUGAACAGGACGACCCCGUGGAGGGCUGGAUGAAUAGUAGACGAUGGAGGGGUGCCCGUGGAGGGGUGGUUGAACAGUAGCCGGUGGAGUAGCGCGCAGUGGAGGCUGGAUGAACAGGAGCCCGUGGAGGCUGGAGGAGGUCGACGGUGGAGAUGAACAGUAUCCCGUGGAGUCCCGUUUUGCGGUACGCCACACCCCUCCCGAUGAAAAGGACCCCCGUUCGACCGUAGCGCUCCAACACAAGUCCGUUUCGUCCGCUUUGCGGUACGCCACACCCCUCCCGAUCAACAGGACCCCUGUUUCGACCGUAGGAGGUCCGUUUCCUCCGUUUUGUGGUACGCCAGGCCAUUACCACGGGCAGAAAGUCGUCUUAGCACCAGGAUGAGCGAGCGAGGGGGCAUUAGACAAUGGUGGACUCACAGCCGGGCCAUAAAUAUGAUAGUCGGAGGGGAAUUGUCCUUCCAACAGGUCGGUGAGGCAUUAGCAUGUUGUAUGGAUUGGAAGGUGCCCAUAUCAUUCCAUCCGUGCAUGUAUCCAUUACAAAACCUUGCUAAAAAUGGACAAGCAUUUAUUUUUAUUCCAUACUACAAUGGGCAAAUAAAUAAACGUCGAUUAUAAUUCUAUUAUAUACGUCUCCCUUUCCAGACCGGAACAAGCAGGAUUUAACUUUCCUUAUAAGCAAAUCCGACUAAGGGAAAAUUAAUGUCCAAACUGGGAAACCCAUUGAACGUAUGGUAGGCCACACGGUUAGAUUGGAUACUACAUCGUAUUGGAAGGAAAUGACUUUAAGGAAUCAUUGUCAUGUACUCGGAAUGUGGCCCAUAUCCCUCCAUAAUUACAAGUUGCCAUAACAAAAACUAUAGACAUGAUGAUAUAAUUUCAUAGGCGCCUGUGCGUUGCAACGGGGUACAUAUAUAUUUUUAGUGGUUCAACACCUAUAUCACAUAAUAUAACCUAUACCAUGUGGAAAAAUCUAUAUCUUUACCCUUCAUUGAAUUAUGCAACUACAACCCACUUCUUUUACAUGUAUUGUUCCAUGUUCUUGACGCACGGGUAUAUCUCCAUGGAGAGAGAAAUUUGAGUUAUAAAAUACGUUUUUGCUGAAGCACGUCUAGAUGUGCUUUAAGUAGUAUUGUUAAAUCACAUGUAAUUGGUGUGGGUAGCUUUUUUCUUUAGUUUUAUGUUUGAGUGCCUCAUAUCAAUGUGGAAUAACUAAGACACAUCAAGUUAAGCCCUAGAGAUACACAUAGGACGCCUUCUAGAAAGAAAUAUUCCCGCAAAUCAUGUCUAUAGUUUACUUGAUCAAUAAAAUACAGCAAUAGACCAUCCAAUGCAUUUUAUAGUUAUCCGUAUUGCCAAAAUGAUAAUUCUCAAUUCGAUCCAUAACAAAACUAUAGAAGCCAUUUAUUUGUGACAUUUGAAUAUGCAUCAGUACAUAGUCAGUCGUCCAAAACCCUCAAGGAUGCUCUAAUUUCAGCUGUGAUACUUCUGACGUCCAUUGUUCCUACCUUGAACAACACGAUUGACGUACGCACGUGUUUCAUCAAGUGUCGUCAGGCUGGUUUCAUGAAUAUCUACGAUAACAAUCAGUGUUAUAUAGUAGUGACAUAGUAUUACAGAAAAAAUAUAUUGAGAACAAAUUUAAAAUAGAACGCAGCCCCUACCUUGUAGAUAAUGAUGAUCAUCAUUAAUGUUGGGAGAGAAGAAGAAUGUGCUCUCCCUCAUAGUUUGCAAGCAACGCUGCCUCUGAUUUACCUGUAUGUAAGUUACAACAAACUUCUCAAACAGAUUGUCAGUGCAUUGCAAAUGCCAGAAGUGAGGCCCAACGUGCUCUUCACGUACACGUAAGAAAAUUAUCUGCCGUCUACAAACAAAUACAAAUGUGAGUAUCAUUGCAACAAUAGAAUUACAAAAAGAAGCAUAUGAUAAUCUCAUAUUAUAAUUGGCGCUUACUGAAAAGUUCAUGAGGCCAAUCUCGAGGGAAGGGACGCGGCGCCUAUAUAUUGAAUCCCACUUAAAUUCUAUCUGACCAACAUAGGCAAGGAUAGCAACCACAUCUGCAAACUUGAAAUCACAAUGAGACUCUGAGUUGUACGGAGUAAUAUGCAAAAACAACUAACUAAAUGAUGCACCCAUGAUGGUUUUGUCCUGUAGCUCAAAAAUUUCUCCAAACUGUGGGAAGCACGGUGGGCAAAUUGUCGACGUUAUCUGCAGCGCCGACAUCGUAACCUCGGUCGUAGAACUUAGUGUGGUGACAAAGUCCAUGGCUAGGUACCAGAAAUGUCCAUCUGGCAUUUCUGUGGGGUUGAACCCGACGCGAUUGAAAUCAUAGGUCCUACCGGUUUCUAGCACGCUGUUGAAACUGAUUGCCUGGCUGUUGUAUGCAAUCGCUUCCAUCUUUGUUCCCUAAUAUAUUUUCAUGAAACAUAACAACAAUGAGCAAAAAAACAUGUUUAUCAAAAUUGUAUUUAAAAAAUGUGGGCUAUAAAUUAUUCUUACAUGCCGAUCGAGUAGUACGCACUGAAGGUACAAGUUUCACAUGCCAUUCUCUUUGAUGUGAGCCUUCCACAUGACCCUAGCUUUAAUAAUCCAGCAAUUAUGAUAUAUGUGUUCCAUUUGGACGCGAUGAAAAUUCAUGUUCCUGUGCGUAUAAAAAAACAAAAGGAUCAGGUAAAAUUAUUUUCCAAGGGGAGCAUAAAAUUUAGCCCUCCCGAUGAGCAUAACAUUCUAGUGGCCCAACACUAAUCAUGCCAAAUUUAUACAUAUUAUUCAUGUUCUGCUUAUUUGUUUUCUUCUUGCAAUCAGAACUAUUGCAUAUGGGAUAAAAAUGGUUUCGAAAACAUGCAAUACCCAAUGGUUAUAAGAAACAACCCCAAUGAGAUUAUAGCCAGACCAUCAAUCUAUUAGCUUAAAAAACUAUAUAAAUGAAUGCUAAUCAAAUAGUAAUAUACUCAGGUGAUUGUGUUAGUGCUUGCUACAUCUGGUUUGUACACGAUGAAAAAAAAAUAUUAUGUAAUUCAGACUCACUGUCCAUCUGGUUUUAACUAAUAUACAAGAUGAAAACAAGCCGACAAUAGAUGAUUUGAUCGCCAAGCCUAUUACUAUGUUCUAGUGUAUCCCAUGUGCUCCAUCUUUUUAGAUAAAAGAACAAGUGGACCAACAAUGGUGAUUAUUUCAAGAAAAAAACCCGUUAUGUAGUGAUGGCAAAUAGACGUACUAAAAGAUUAUUCUAUCUUGCCUGUUCAUCGGAGGGGAGAUGAGUUGACUGAUGACAGGAGCUGGCGGCGGCGCCACCACCCUCUUAGAUGUGAUCGAUCCGUAUGAGAUCACCAUGGUCGUCGUGGAGGAGAUGACUUUGUGGGCAGCGGGGAUUAUUUAUAUAAGCAUAGUGGGCGGCGGGAAAAUGAAAUAGUGUUGAAAAUUUGGUUUUGGCUGGCUAGGCCCGUGGGUGACAUAUCUAUAUUCAGAUAUGUAAUAUUCGGCAACCUAUUAAAUAUUAAUUAUUAAUCAAGGAAACGUACAUAUCAAAAUGGGUCCAUGAUCUUCAGUUAGAUUCACAUUAUGAUCACUUGCCUACGAAAACGCAUCUGAUUUAUCACUUGCCUUUGAAAAACAGACUUUCUUUUUUAGGAUAUUUAUUAACCUUUCUGAUAUUCACAUUAAUAUAUUAAUUAAUUAUAUUAUAUUUUAAUUUUCCAUUACCUUGAUGAUAUAUAAAAUUAUGAUAUAGGUAAAUGCCCGUGCAUAGCUAUGGGACAAUAGACAAUUUUAGUGUUUUCACAUAUAUCAUGCCUAACACAUAAUUUUACGAUCAUCAUCUAUAUCAAAUAAUAUAAUUGCACUAUGGGAGAAUAUUGUUUAUUCUUUUUCAUCACGACUGUCUUAAUGACACACAUACGUACAAAUGAGAAACAAUAGUAGAGCACGUCUCGUAAUAGUAGUAGAAGUACACGCUCCGAUAGCUAGCAAACAACAUAAUGUUGUCUAUUUAUGCGUAUGCAUUAGCAGCAACGUUAUUAGCUAGGCAAAUGCUCUCUGUCAACAAUCUGUCCAAUGUUAAAAAAGAUAAUUUUGCAGGAUGCAGUAUCAUGUUACAGACACACCUUUGGGCACUAUGGCCACUACCACAUGGCAACCCUGUCACAAACGGCCAGGUCACUAAGGAUUAGCAACCUAAAAAAUCUCCGUGGCUGAAUCUAUCAAAAGUCCUCCACGCUUAUCUUUUAGGAGUUAUAUAUCUAUAGUAAUUUCCUUCGUAGAUUCAUGUUGCUACGGUUUGAUUAUUUAACAUGGACUUGGAGCUCUAUAUAUAAUGAGAUGUAUAAUAUGAUAGGAAAAUAUCCAUAAGUAAUAGAUAAUCUUGCUCUAGAAAAUUAGCUAAGAGCCUUACUUGCCAUGCUAGUUCGUACGGAUGUAACCAAAAGAAUAAUCUGGUGCAUGCUCUCAUCAGAAGGUAAAAAGAUAAUCCUAGUAUUACAUGGCAUCUAGAAAAGGAUACACAUUUUGAUGAACAUUUAAUUAUUUGAUGCCAGCACAGCAAAUCGUCUUGGCUGGGUGCAACUAUAAGUCGACCACCCUCAGACCAACUAGCCAUCUUAGUGGAAUCCUUGCUGUCCCGCUAAGGCACCAGAACACACGAUGCUCGAUAUCAGCCUAACACAAGUUCUCAUGGACCAGACAUCCAUGAAACGAUGCUUGCUCUCUGAACCAAUCCUCGCCAGGUCCUAGAUUAAUGCAGCCUUGUACAAAAUUAUAGUUUAGAACUCUUUUAGAUCCGCAGUAAACUCAUAAAGGUAAAUGAACCAAUGGAAAAAAGUAAUAUGUAACUUGAAUUGAACUGUUAAAUAAUUGGGUUAAUUAUCCUUUUGCCCUUAGUGGUGUCUCUGUGCUCAGUUUUGCCCUCAGAUGCAAAUUGUGCUCAGUUUUGCCCCUAGUCCAUGCACAGCUACUAUGACGAGGCCAAACGGCCAUAUUUGAGUCCAUUCCGUCCGCCAGCGUUAAGUUGUGGGUCCGGAGCUUACACGUGGGACCGCGUGGACGUGGGUCCGGAGCUGACAUGUAGGCCCGUGCAACUAAAUCCCCAAAUCAUUCGUAGCUCACUCUGCCCAUCCGCUUCCCCGCCGGCCGGCUGACCUGCGCCGCCGCCGGCACUUGCGCUGCGGCCAGGACCUACCCCACCACCAGCUGCACGCCUACUCCACCGCUACCUUUCUGCGCCUACGCUCCACGGCUGCCUGCGACGCCCGCCACCUUCCUACGACGCCACGGGUGGGGCGCCCGCCACCUGCUCGACCCGCGGCGCGGCCUCCUUCCGUGCGUCCAGCCGGAGCACUCAAAGGUGGGGGGCUGCUAGAGCUAUUUGAACUAGGAGGAAGAACCCUGGCCCGAAAUGGAGAGCAGCGACGACCCCGGAGUAUCUGGCGAGGCAGGCAUCGGGCUGGAGAUCCGCCGCGUCCACGACUGGGUUCCCGAGGGGUAAGUCUCGCCUCCUGUUUAGAUUGAGCUUAGUUGUGCAUUUGAACACUCGAUUCGAGUAGGUUUGCCCAAUUAGUGUGCUGAUUGCGUCUCUGUUUUUCGCCGGUUAGGAUGGAGUUGCGGUUUGCUUUCUUGAUGCACAUUAGAAGGGACCGGUACACGUUCGAUGCAAAGGAUCAGAAGAAAUACCAAGGAGGUUUUGAUUAUCGGUUGCCAAUGGCUAGUAAUUGGAGUUUCAGACAAUUUGGGGAGGUAAUUUGUAGCCAAUAUCCUUGGGGUUUGCUUGAUGAAGUGGUAUACAAAUACUAUGAUGGGGAAAAGAAAUGGGUGACAGUUAGUAAUGAUGAAGAGCUAGCUACCAUGUUUGUUAGGCAUAAAGAGAAAGAUAAUUUUCAUGUGAGGCUGCAAGUUGAUGUGCUUGAGCAGGCAUUUGGACCUAGGAUGACGGGUGCAACAUCUCGGGGAGAACCAAGUCGUCGUAAUGGCAUCUCUAGCCAGAACAGUUCAGUUGGUGCACGGCGACGUGGUGGCUCGACAAGUGUGGGCAACAGUAGUAGGGUCCCCCUUGAAGUGGAGCAUGAUGACUACAAUUCUGGGAUUGAUGAAGAGAAGCUAUAUUCUGAUGUUAUUCGGAAUUUACGACGGGCACCUCGGGCCGAUAACCAAGAUGAGGCUCACAAUGCAGUCCGUGUGGAUGAUGACGCGGUGGGUGAGGACGAAGACCUUGCAUCUGUUGAAUGGGACCCUUUGAACCCUAAUUUGGAAGAAGGUAUAGUUUUUGCAUCCAUGAAUGAGUGUAUAAAUGCACUUGUGACAUACUGCAUCAAGGUAGAACGUACUUUCAAAGUUGACAAGAGCGAUCAAGUACGUUACAGAGUGCACUGUCCGACUGAGGGUUGUCCAUGGAGGCUGCUCGCAUCUAAAAUGCGAAAUAGCACUAAUGUUCAGGUCAAAGUGAACCCUUUUAUGCAGACAUGCCAGGAAUCAACCCUUAGGAAGGAUACAAUCAGUAGAGCCGAGUCAAGAUGGGUGGCAGAAGAAGUAAAAAAGUGGGUGAAAGAAAACCAGCAAGUGGGUCCAAAGGAAUUGCAGAAGAACAUUAAAGAUAAAUUCAAGAUAGAUUUACCAUACAUGAGGUUGUUCAAUGGUAAACAACAGGCUAUGGAUUCUAUGUAUGGUAACUGGCAGGAAAGUUUUCAAUUGUUGUAUUCAUUCAAAGGUGAAGUGGAGAGGACAAGCCCGGGUAGUAUUGUAGAUAUUGAUCACCACACCGUGGAGUACACAUUCAGGGGAGUGACAAAGACCAAGGAAUGCUUUACGAGGGUUUUUGUGUGCUUUGAGGCUUGUCGCCGGGGUUUUUUGGCAGGUUGCAGGCCUUAUUUGGCUAUUGAUGCCACUUUUCUCACAGGGAGGUUUAAAGGAUAGUUAGUAGCUGCUUGUGCAGUUGAUGCACACAGUUUUGUAUUUCCAGUUGCCUACGGUGUGCUGGAGACAGAGUCUGAGGAGAGUUGGACUUGGUUUUUGCAUAAUCUGCGGCGGGCUAUUGCACAUCCCAAUGGGUUGGUCAUUCGUACAGAUGCUUGCAAAGGUUUAGAAGUGGCCGUGGACAAUGUGUUCCCUGGAGUAGAGCAUAGGGAAUGCAUGCGUCACCUUGCUGCAAAUUUCAUGAAGAAAUUCAAAGGAAAGGUGUAUACCGACAAUUUAUGGCCAGCAUCUUUGACUUACAGUGUGAAGAAGCACAAGUACCACUUGAGGCAGUUAUACAUGAAUCCCAAAGUGAAAGAAUACUUGGAAACACACCACUCCAAGUUAUGGGCCAGAAGCCAAUUCAGUGAACUGAGCAAAGUUGACUAUGUGCACAAUAAUCUAGCAGAGUCUUUCAACUCAACGAUCCGGAAACUAAAGGGUCAUUAUGUGGUGGAUUUGCUGGACAGGAUAAGGAUAGAAUACAUGCAGAAAUUUCAUUAUCGUGUCGGAAUAGCCGAGGCAAAAUUCAUGGGCCACAUUAUCAUCCCUGCCGUGAUGAAUGAGCUGAUGCAGAAAACAACAGGCUUGGAAAUGAACAUGACUCUUUGCUCGGGUACCACAGUAGAGAUAUCAUAUUUGGAUAAAGAGAAGAGGGAAUGGAGAUAUCCAGUGGAUUUAGAAGCUAGAACUUGCAGUUGUAGGCAAUGGCAGAUAACUGGGUUGCCAUGCAUUCAUGCCUUGUUUUUCAUCACUUCUCUCCCUGGUCCAGCAGGGAACAUUCAGCAGUAUGUGCAUGAUUACUACUCUGUUGCAAGGUUCAAAGCCACAUAUGCUUAUGCCUUGCCUGCUAUGGAGGGAAAACAACAAUGGGACAUGGUGGACCCUGGAUUCAAGCUUUGCGCUCCAGUUCUGAAAAGAGCAGCAGGUAGACCAAGGAAGAGUCGAAUCAGACCUCGCAGCGAAGGAGCUGGACUUGGAGCGAGGAAGCGUAGGUGCACAAGAUGUGGUGGGUCUGGUCAUUUUGGUAAUAUUGUGAUAACACAGUAGAUCCAGCGUUCGGAGAGAGUUUCGAUGAAGGCUUCGAUGAAAGUGAUCAUGGUGAUCCAAGUGAGGCUCCAAAUAGUGAUCAUGGUGAUCCAAGUGAGGCUCCAAAUGAUGAUCAUGGUGAUCCAAGUGAGGCUCCAAAUGAUGAUCAUGGUGAUCCAAGUGAGGCUCCAAAUGAUGAUGUUGGUGAUCCAAGUGAGGCUCCAAAUGAUGAUCUUGGUGAUCCAAGUGAGGCACCAAAUGAUGAUCCAAGUGAGGCUCUAAAUGGUGACCAACCUUCUGUUGUUGUGAGUUCUGCUAGGUAUGUAAAUCUUGCAAGGGUCAAAUACUACUGUACAUUUAUGGGUCACUUGACAUGAUCUCAUUACCCUUUAUGUUUUGCACAGCUCUAUGAUAGGUUUGAAGAAGACGCACAAGGUACCGACAACCAAGAGGAGAAGAGAAGAAGCAAUGAGCACAAGGUGCACGAGGAGCAAAGUGAUGGCAAGAAGCUCAAGGAACAGACACAAGCCCGAACGCUAUAUGUGAAUAAUUAUGAAACAUUAUGAAUAAUGUUGUAUUUCUGUCGGAUGAUGUUAGAACUAUGUUUGACAUGAUGGUUAAAUCUCUUGGAUGAUGUUUGAAUGAGCACAUGGUUUUUCCUUUUUUUGAUUUUUUGAAUUUUGUUUUGCUCAUUUGAAUUCUGGUCAAACCUAACUUUGACCAAGAUUUAAACAAUUCUAAAACAUCAAAAUGAAGAACUAAGCCUGGAUCCUUCUUAGUCAAUCCAAAAUGAAUCUGUGGUGAGGUUUUUGAAAUUUUCAUGAAAAAUGUGCUAAAAUGAGGGUCCAAAGGUAGGGUAAACGGCCUCAUCUCUAAGCAAGGUUUUUUUCGACCUUGUCUAAAUCAGCCAAAUAACUUUCCUAAACAUAUAUUCUAUAUAUUCUAUAUAUACGGACUAUGUGCGCUGGUUUUUCCAUUUUUUUGAUUUUUUUAAAUUUGUUUUGCUCAUUUGAAUUCUGGUCAAACUUAACUUUGACCAAGACUUAAAUAAGUGUAAAACAUCAAAAUGAAAAACUAAGCCUGGAUCCUUCUUAGUCACUCUAAAAUGAAGCUGUGAUGAGUUUUUUGAAAUUUUCAUGUUUAUUUCCCCAAAACACUUCUCUUCACUUCAUACAGAAGAGUUUGAGAUACUCGAGAUAUCAUACAAUACACAUGAACUUAUCGUUUAAAUGUAUGUAAACCUUGUUUAUCAACUUAAAUCGUUAGUAUAUGACAUAAGAAGACUAUGUGCACUAGUUUUUAUUUUUCUGAUUUUUAUUUAAUUUAUUAUGCUCAUUUGAAUUCUGGUCAAACUUAACUUUGACCAAGAUUUAAAUAAGUGUAAAACAUCAAAAUUAAAAACUAAGCCUAGAUCCUUCUUAGUCACUCUAAAAUGAAGCUGUGGUGAGUUUUUUGAAAUUUUCAUGUUUAUUUCCCCAAAACACUUCUCUUCACUUCAUACAAAAGAGUUUGAGAUACUCGAGAUAUCAUACAAUACACAUGAACUUAUCGUUUAAAUGUAUGUAAACCUUGUUUAUCAACUUAAAUCGUUAGUAUAUGACAUAAGAAGACUAUGUGCGCAGGUUUUUUGUUUUUCUGAUUUUUAUUUAAUUUAUUAUGCUCAUUUGAAAUCUGGUCAAACAUAGUUUUGACUACUCCAAACCCCUCCCAAACCCCGCUAACCCUAGCACUAAACCAGGACCGUUCAUCUAACCCUAGCGCUGAACAAGGGCCGUCGAUCUAACCCUUCUAGAAGGAAUCUGUGGGGAGGAGGGGGCGAUCCGCGAGAUGCGAUCUGAUUGGCUGGGAGAUUCUUAUUUUUUAAAACAAAUAUCGGGCGCACUGGAUGGACCGUUGGGCCGUCUCGUUGUCUGUGCCUGAGACCGCAGUAAACAGCCCGUCUCAGCCUUUCCAGGCCUUGCAUGCAUGCAUGGGAGGCGGCGACGUGCAUAGGCUGCGACGUGGGUUUGCAUGCGCGGGAGGCUGCGACGUGCAUGCAUGCGAGCGAGGCGAGCGAGGCGUGCUAGGCGCGCUAGGCUAGCGAGGCCAGCUAGGUGGUUCAACGAGUCAGAUGCACCGUCCGAUCAAAGAGCUAUGCGGUGAUUCAAAUGCACGCACGCGCCCCAUGCAUGCAUCGUUUUUGUGCAAAAAUUUAAGAGUGCAAAGCGUAACGGAUACACACAUGCGUUCGGAUUCACACACGCACCGUUCUCACCCUUUUUCUCUUCCUCUCCCACCCACAGGCCUAUAAAUGGGGUGCCUAUCUUCCUCUCCCACCCAUAAGCCAGAUUCGAUCCAUUCUCUCCAACUUCAAACACCCAAUCGACCGAGCCCUUCCCAAGCGAGACCAUGCAGUUCAACGGGCCGACCUUCAGCCGUCCGCCUGUCGUGCCGGAGCAGCGCUACCCACCGGGCGUGCUCGUGGAGAGGGAGCUCUGCGUGUGGGCUUUUUCAAGGUGGAGGGGUUCCGUCGAACUCACCCGCGCCUUCCUCAGAGCCGGCUAUGCCCACCUCCCACGGGGCUCGCCGAGGAUGUUCACCCUCAACGAGGUUCAUGACCACGGCGGCAUCCUCCUACUGCUCAUGGUCACCUUCACCAACCCGUUUGACGCGUGCAACCUCCUCGGCCAAGUCGUUUGGUGCGGCUGUGAGGCCAUCUUCUUCACCGUCUACAACAUCUACACCAACUACGAGCACAUCUUCCCCACUCCAGCCGGGAUGCACUCCCUUCCCUACAACGACGAGGAGGAGGUGUGAAGAUGAAGACGGCGUUGAAGGGGCGCGCGCGGCCAAAGUGGAAGGAGGAGAUCAAGAUGAAGACUGUUUCGUUUUUUAUUUGUUGCUUUUCUAUAUCGUGUCAUGUCGUCUCAUGUUUCGUCAUGUGUCCGUGAACUGUCCGUGAACUUAUUAUUGUAAUGGUACUUGUGUUGCAUCUUAUCUAAGUUAUUUAUUAGGGUUUAUUAUGUGUGUUAAAAAAUGUCCGUGCCCAAGCAUAUAAUUUCUUCCCUAAACCAAGUCAUGAAGCUUGAGAACUUGUGGUUGUCAUUCAAAAGAGGGGGUGAGAAGCCCUCCGUUUUAUUCAAAAAAAAAUAAGUCAUGAACUAACAUGCAAAUUUAUUCCGUUUAAAUCCUAAACCAAGUGCCACUCUAACACUAAACCAAGUGGCACUCUAACCAAAACCACGUGGCAGUGCAAACAUAUGUUUUCAACCUUCCAACCCUCCAAAAUUUCAGUGCAAAACAAAGGAAAACCACUCUCACGCGUAUGCAAACAUUCACGGUCUCACAUUUUUUUGACACCACAAACCCAUGCGGUCUUGGGUUCGAGUCCCCAGUCGCACCAAUUUUUUGUGCAUUUUUCCACCAUUCAUUUUUUUGACAAAUUUCACAGUCUCAGUAUGUAUACAUUGCUUCCCUACCCAUGUCAAACUCUUGCCAUCUAUCCUAGCGGUUACUAGCGCAGCCCUAAACACCACAAACCCACGCGGUCUUGGGUUCGAGUCCCCAGCCGCACCAAUUUUUUGUGCAUUUUCCACCCUUCAUUUUUUAGACAAAUUAGUUUCUACUCAAUGUAAUGCCCUUAAAAAAAUUUCAUUUAUUUUGGCACUAGGUGUAAACAUCUACCAGAGCUGAGGCACAUUUUCCAUGACAUUUUGGUCUUUGAUUUAAAUCACGAUGUAUUUGAAUUGGAUUACUUAAAUUGCUAUUAAAUAUUUAACAGCUCCAAAAAAAUUCUAACCUUAAUUGUUUGGCUCUGGAAUAAUCCAUUAGCUGCAUUUCAUUGAUCAAAAGUUUCUGAAUUCUUCAUUUCUUCUCCUUUUUUUCAACAUAUUUAAAUGUUGGUCACUUCUUCUCUUUUUUUCAACAUUUAAACAACUUUGACCAACAUUUAAACUAGGUGAAUUUCUCAUGCAAUUUCAAGAUUACAAAUUCCUCCAUAAUUCAUGCCUUUCCAUACAUUUUUCAACAUUACAACCAGUGCGAUUACCAUACCUACAAAUGCCCAAAAGUAUUUGCAAAUGGGUAUUGAUAGUGCUUGAUCUUCAAGCUUCCUAACCUUCUUCUUCAACAUCCUAUGCUCAACAGCUAGCUCUCUGUCAGUGCGUGCUUCGCCCUCCAUCUCUUCUUCCGGAGCUCGUGUUGCGGCCACUGCGGUUUGGGGCAGCAUGCGCAACCAUUCGCCAUGCUCUUCUUGCAGUUCAAUUAUCAGAGUCUUGGCCAGAGCAUCGACUCAAAGAAAGAAGCAUGUCACCUGCAUGAACAUGGAACAGAUCAACCGAUUGCUCAAAGAUCCCGACCAUGAAAAUGGUGCAAUUGCCUCGAUUCUUACCCCAUUCUCGCUGCACACGUAGAACGGACGAUUGUGGUUCCUCGGUGUGUGAGAAACCCUCCGAUCAACGCUCGCCCGGCACCGCGGAUAGACGAAGACAGGCAUCUCCACACGCGCCCGGCUCUGCAUCCGCGAGGUGGUGCGGGAGCUUGCGGAAGACAUGGAGCUUGGAGCCGAACGGGAUCUCAACGCCGCCGCGCCCUCCACAGCUAGCUUCCCACCGCCGCGCCCUCCACAGCUAGCUUCCCACCGCCGUCGUGCUCUCGCUCUCUCGCCGUGGUCAGCGUCGUGCUCCCUGUCGCCGUGGUCACCGCCGCUGUCGCCCGCUAAUAUAGCACACCCGCAACGGCUCUAUGCUCAACGGCUCUCUGCUGGGUCUCGCAAGCCACACGUGCAACGGUCUGAUAAAAUUGGCCGCCUCUGCCGCCUGGUCCCACCUGUAAGGCCGAGUCAAAACGUUGACCUGACAGAGACGCCAAAGUUCAUAGAACGAGUCGGUGCGCACAGACUAGGGGCAAAACUGAGCACAAUUUGCAUCUGAGGGAAAAACUGAGCAGAUGGACACCACUAAGGGCAAAAGGAUAAUUAACCCUAAAUAAUUAGUAUAGCUGCGUGAAAGUACAAGUAAUAUAACUUUUUCCAAAUAUUGCACACUUAAGCGAACAGACAUGUGCAUUGUCACAAUCUACAGAGUCGAACGGGCAUUUAAACUUAUUAGCAAAUACGCAUUACACGCAUUUUAUUAUUUAUUAAAAGUACAUAUGCAAAAUAUAAUUUCAAAAGUUGCACAAACUUCCCUUAUGCGUGUGUUGGUCUUAUAAUUCAAACCAAUCUGAAUCUUUUAGUUGUGACAUAUCAGAAUAAUUGAUAGAUAAUAAGGAUGCCAAUACAUUUACAGUCAAGCAUAGUAUCAAAUUACCAAAAUAAAUAAGAACGGGUAUGAUAACUUGCCUUAAUUCAAAAAGUUCAUUGCAUGUCCAAGGUAUUUAGCAGGCCAAUCAUUAGAUCUGAAUCACAGAUUACACACUAAAUACUAUGUUGUGUGACAUGUACAUUGCCAUAAAAACAACGAUACUAGAAAAACCAUAACAGCGAUGAUGGUGCCAAUACGACGGCUGAUUAUUGAACUACAGUGCGUAGCUCAGGUUGAACGAGUAUACCUCCAGCUAUCAAAAUAACAAAUAAAAAGAUACAUGUAGAAAAACGAAUUACAGCAUGUCUUGACAAUCGCAAGAGUAAUUGCUCUGUCAUUACAAAACCUGCCUUGCUAUUAACCGGUCUUUAGCCUGUAAGGACUUCCUUGUAGACGAUGUUCUUCAUCGAGGUCAGUAAGGACACGGUCGUUCUUUUUCACUUCUUUGGAUUGUCCUUAUGCUUGUUGGCCUUCUCCUUCAAUUUCUCCUUCUGAAUGAGUAUCUUUAUGUUUCUCUUCGCAGUGGCUCGAGACAAAGCAACAUAGAGCUGACCAUGUGAGAACACGGGAUUUGGUAGGUGACACCAACAAUCGGGAUGGUCUGCCCUUGAGUCUUGUUAAUGGUCAUAGCAAAGCUAAGCCUUAUAGGAAAUUGCUUCCUCUUAAACUUGAAUGGAAACAUGUCAUUUUCAGAUGGGCAGAGAGGCAUUCGAGGAAGGAAGACCCUCCUGCCAGCGUGUUGUCCAAUCACGAUUUCUGCAUCAAUGGUGUUCCUCUCAAAACCUCUAACAACAAGCCUAGUGCCAUUACACAGUCCAUUAGCUAGAUCAAUGUUCCUUAGAAGUAUGAUAGGGCAGUUCAGCUUUAGCUUAAGAGCAUGCGGAGGAAGACCAUUAGGAGUCAAUCCAUUCAGAAACUCCUGAGCAUAGUAGCCAUAUGGGUCAUCCUCCACACUGUCAAAGCUAUGGUAGAUUACUUCAUCUCCAUGAAAACACUCUAUCAUGCGGAUGUUUAUCUUGUCUACAUUGUCGUUUGUUGUGGAAAGGAUUGCUCGAGAUGUCAUGUAAUUCGAAUCAGCCAUGUUGUCGUCUAGACUCGGAAAUACGUGGUCAAUAAGCUUCUCCAGGUCGUCAACCUCGUCUGUAGACGGCUGACAAAUAUCUUCAGGGAGUACUAUGUUGCCUUGAUCGUCGACAUCCUCAGUGCCAUUGCCGACCCUUAGCAAGUAAUCGACAAACCACGUGUCAUUAUGAGCCCUCAUGUUGGUGAUGAGCCGAAGCUGCCGCAUACCCUUCCAUAGAUGAGAACUUCAGAGGGUUGCAUCAAUUAUCUGGCCCCGCGACCCCCUUCUGACGACCGGAAGAACCUGCCUAAAGUCCCCGCCAAAAACAACAGUCUUUCCUCCAAAGAAUCGGUCACGUAUUCCCAUGAUGUCGCGCAUGCUAUUGUCCAAUGCCUCAACCGCUUGCCGCUUCGUCAUGCUGGCCUCGUCCCAUAUUAUCAAUGAGGCCAUUCGUAGCAGCUUGGUGGUCCCACUCUGCUUGGUGAAGCUGCACGAGGCUCCAUCAUCGCAACUCAAUGGGAUCUUGAACCUCGAGUGGGCAGUCCUGCCGCCAGGCAUGAUAGAAGCGGCGACGCCGGACGUUGCGGUAGCGAUACCAAUCUUGCCCUGGCUCCUCACCUUGGCAACCAUCGCCCUAUAUAGGAAGGUCUUCCCUGUACCUCCAGGGCCAUCAACAAAGAAUACACCCCCAUCACAGCAUUCAACAGCCCCUAGUAUAUCAUCGUAUGCGGCCCUCUGCUCCAUGUUCAGUGAAGAUGCCAAUUUUGUGUCAUCCAUGUCAAACUCAACGGUUGAUUGCUCGAUAACCUCUCUUGCCUCGCCCUCUGUUGGGUCAAACGCAUCAUCUAUGCUUGGAAGAGCGAAAUCAACAAUGUCUUUACCCACGGACUGCAACAUACCCCUAAUGUCAAGCAACACCAUCUGCUCCACCUCAUCAGGGGACAUGCGUGAUCGACGAUAGUCAUCUGACAUAGGCUCGAAGUGCCGAUCCCAUAGACCACGCACGUCGCCUGGCUCGUAGUGCACCAAGAUGGUUGCGAAUAGCCUCCUAAGUGAACAUGGCAUCGCCCACUGCUCAGCCUCAUUAAGAUAGUCGUCGAGCGUGUUGUCUGCCUCGAUGAGUCCCAACCUUUCAGCAGCCUCUCUAAAGCUCCCACAUAGCACUCCGUCCACGGUGAGCAAGUCGUCGAAGGAUGUUUUGCCCGUAACAUGGUUAAGCAACAGCCGCAGGUAGUAUCGCUGCCCCUCGGCCGGAUUGGCAGACACUAUACACCCAAUUUGAAAACGCUCGACCCUCGGCUUCCAAUACUUCUUUUUCUUCUGCCACGUAAAGCUUCCGGGAAAAUCCUUGUACAAUAUAUGCCUAGCCCGAGGGUGUUCCUGGUUAGCCUUGAAAUACUCCGUUAACAGUUCCAAAUCUUGAAAGCCGCAAAUAUUAGUCAGCAACCUGCAGUUAAACAACUUACCAGAUUUCGACAAGCAGGGUUGUUGAACCUCUUGCAAUAACACAUUGUCUUGGGCUUUUUUCUUAUGAUAAGCUGCACGCCUUUGUGUGUUGAACUGUUCCUUUGUUAUAUGACUUAGAUCUAUGGAUCUGAUGUUGUCUGCAUCAUGUCAAAAGUAUAAAACACAAAGCCCAUAAUGCUUUGUCGCACCAUCUGUACAUCAGGUCAAUAUGGAUGUUAGAUAAGCAUGCGUGGGAAUACCUGUUAGCUUUGUCGCACCAUCGAUAUCAUCGUUUGGAGGUUCACCGCCUAUAGAUUACCAAUAUGAAAAAAUUGCGGUAUAUGGUAAAUGAAAGUGACUUCCCAUAAGUGCACUAAUGGCAUUUGAAAUAUGAAUGAGUCAGUACCAAUACCAUUUUGGCCAUCUACAUUUGUGCCACAGUCGAGAGUUAGAUUAUUGGAACCCAACAACGAACCAUCAUGAUGGUCUUUAAUCCAUAGCGAACUUGUUCCAUCUAUAGAGUUGUAACCAGUAGGAAAAGAAAAUCAAUGAUAUAUAGGCGACAAUAUAUGUUUAUAACAAUCUUGGCAGAUGUAAUGCGGCUGAGUGAGUACCAUCUUCAUUUGUGCUAAAAUCCAAAUUUAGUAUACUCGGAGCUAUGAACGAAGCCUCAUUAUGCUCUCCAUCUGAAAACGAAAUUGAUCCAUCUGUAGAGUUAUAACCAGUAUGAAUAUAAGGCCAAUGAUAUAAACGUCGUAUCUACAUGGCAACAUUCCCAACAAUAUUCACACAAGCAUUAUACCUGGAACAAUAGCUGAAUUUUCCCCAAUAUUUUGAGCUACGGGUAUGAUGCUUGCAUUGUUAUCUUCAACUAUUAUAGAGCUUGUAAGGCCUGAAAAGCAUUAUGCAUUAAGCAUGUGAAUAUCAGAAAUGUACAUAACUCAUGUGUAGCACAUUAUGAUAGGUAUAAGCAUGCCCGUAGUAUUAUGAUAGGUAUAACCUAUGUGUAGUACUUUCUCAUAGGAAUGCAGCAUACCCGUAGUAACGUCCUCUUCUGGUUGCUGAUCAACCGCCUUGCUUCUUGAAUUAACCAUACGCACCUAUGUAAGUACACAUAACUGACAAUUAAUGACCUUUGCCUGAAGUGAAGUAAGGAUGAGGCUUCAACUCUGCUAGAUGUUCUCUUUGAUCAUUUAUCUGUGGACCGUAUACAUUCAUCAUUUGGUCAUACUGCUGUAUUUUCACGAAGUAAACCCUUUUCAUGGUAUUAUACAAUAAAAAUGCAUGCUUGCAAUCAAUCUUCUAGCUCCAGUGUUUAUGCAUGAUAAGAUUUAAGCGCAGGACUGGAUUACACGCACAGCCGCACAACAAUGAGGGUGCUCCAAGCUCGAAACUGCUUAACUGGCAUACUCAUGCAAUUUUAUUAUGUUGUUAUUUAAUCACUAAGGGCUUGGAUAUAUGUAGCAUCCCAAUGAUCAUCAGAACUUGCUAGCGCGGCGAAAUAGCCGGUUCCUGUGAUAUUUGGUGAAACUUGUAGAUAUGCCACUUGCACCUACUAAAGUACUACUACUGUUCCGUUAAUGCAUUAGGUUUUGCGAAGCUUCAGCUCAACCUUAUGGUUUAUUAUUAGUUAUGGAUCAGUUCAUAGUAUAAGUAGUUUAUUGGUCAGUUUUAUUGUUUCUCUUUAGACUGAUGGUUUAUUUGUGUCACUUUUUGCAUGUGUUCCUGUUGUGAGCUGCAAACUCGAGAUCUUCUGCAGUUGUGAGAUGCAAACUCGAGAUCAGGGUGCUCCCCAAGCUCAAAAUCAUCUCAACAAGGUUAUCAGAUAGACUUAACUGGCAUACUCAUGCACUUUUAAUUAAUCACAUAGGGCUUGGAUAUAUAUAGCAUCCUAAUGAUCAAUAGAACUUCCUGGCGCGGCGAAAGAGUCGGUUCCUGUGAUCUUUGGUGAAACCAGUAGAUAUGCAACUUGCACCUACUAUAGUACUACUCCUGUUCCGUUCAUGCAUUAGGUUUUGCGAAGCUUCAGCUCAACCUUAUGGUUUAUUAUUUGUUAUGGAUCUGUUCAUAUUAUAAGUAGUUUAUUUUUCAUUUUUUUGUUUCACUUCACACAGAUGGUUUAUUAUAGUAAUGAAGCUUCAGGUCAUCCAUAUUUAAGCUUCAGCUCUACAACAAUCUGAUGGACACCUAUGUCAUUUUUCCAGUUGGCAUACAAACCUUGACUAUUGCAUGGAACCUAUUAGAUUCAAGUGUCAUAACUACCUUUUGUUUGUGUCACUUUUUGCAGGCGAUCCUUUUGUGAGGUGCAAACUCGAGAUCUUCUACAGUUGUGAGCUGCAAACUCGAGAUCCUUACCAGAUGCUGCUACUGAUGACACCGUCUCCGAGGGCCGUCACUAGCCCCAAACUCCUAGAGUAGAAGUCACCUGCAAGAGAACUGGGUUUCAGUUAUGUGCAAGUAAACUGAGAUCCUUGCAAUAAUCUCGGCAAAAGAGAUGACUGUUGCCACUUGAUGCUUCUACUGACACCGGAAAAGAGAUGACUCACCACCUGCAAGCAUUCACACAAAAAGGGUAAUGAUUUUGGGGCUGACAAAAUGACCAAAGCAGGUAUGGCCUCAGCAUAUUCGCCAGUUAGCUGUAAAUUUCCUUUUUCAGAGUCAUUGAAUGGUGACGGAACCUGUAUUUUUCAAUUCCUGGUUCUCAAUCUACCUGGCGAGGAGUGGACAUGAGUCCACAGUAUGACCACGCUACCGAGUAGAGAUCCAGAUUUGUAAGGGUUAGCAAUAAGAUUUGUAAGGGUUAAAAUUUGGAAGGGUUAAAAUACACAAACGCCCAACCUGGGAGGGUCACGCCGGUCCAUAUCAUGGGCACUCAGAGGGAUCAUACGGGAUCUUCAUGACUUUGCAACCGCCGGUCCAGAUAGUGUCCACUACACUGGAUCGCCCGCAGAUCCGAUGAUCAGCGACAGAUCAUAUGAGAUCUUCCUGUCUUUGCACUCAGAUGGCGGCGUCGAAGGGAUUGACCGGCGGUGAAGGCGGUCAAGGGUUUGAGCGGCGGUGACGGCGGCCAAGGGAUGAGAGGCGGGGACGGAAGCUGCGUGUAGAAAGGGACGAUAGGGAUUUUCGGGUGCAUCGAGGGCAAGACGGUUUUCGCGUGCUAGGGGUUCUGUUUCAGAUUGUACGAUCAGGUGUAAUUUCGUAGGUUAACUGUAGUAGAUUUUUUAGGUCGUUUUUCUAUCGCUGAACUGUCGCGGUUCAGAAUGGGCGUCGUUGUAACUUGACGUUUUUUUAUCGGUCGGGAGGGAAGCAGCGGGGGAUUGGUGGGUAGCGGCAGGUGGGACGAAGUACCAAAAAAACCAGGGGAGAUGGGACAAAAAUUGACCGGCGGAGACUACCAACUGCUCCAUUAAGAGUAGAGAAAAAGAAAACAGACAAGUUUCCUCUAGGGUUUCCCUAGUAGAGUUCCGAAAUCACAAGUAUUCUUUGUCACUAUCAUCUCCCGAGGAUGCGAUUAGGGAAAGCCUUCCUCCCAUCGAUCUUUGCCGGCGAGCCCAUGGAUUCAACUCCCCUCCAGCUGUCGCUCCAGCGACCCGGGGGGUGGGGGAGUGUUGGGGAACGUAGUAAUUUCAAAAAACUUCCUACGCACACGCAAGAUCAUGGUGAUGCACAGCAACGAGAGGGGAGAGUGUGAUCUACGUACCCUUGUAGAUCGACAACGGAAGCGUUAUGACAACGCGGUUGAUGUAGUCGUACGUCUUCACGGCCCGACCGAUCAAGCACCGAAACUACGGCACCUCCGAGUUUUAGCACACGGUCAGCUCGAUGACGAUCCCCGGACUCCGAUCCAGCAAAGUGUCGGGGAAGAGUUCCGUCAGCACGACGGUGUGGUGAUGAUCUUGAUGUACUACGGUCGCAGGGCUUCCCCUAAGCACCACUACAAUAUUAUCGAGGACUAUGGUGGCAGGGGGCGCCGCACACGGCUAAGGAACAAUCACGUGGAUCAACUUGUGUGUCUAUGGGGUGCCCCCUGCCCCUGUAUAUAAAGGAUGGAGGAGGAGGAGGCCGGCCAAGGCUAGGUGCGGCCAGGAUGUGGAGUCCUACUAGGACUCCAAGUCCUAGUAGGAGUCCACCAAGAGGGGAGGAAGGGAGAAGGAAGUGGAGGAGAAGGAAAGGUGGCCGGCCCCCUUUUCCCUAGUCCAAUUCGGACUAGAGAGGAGGGGGGCGCAGCAGGCCCUUUCUCCUCUUCCCACUAAAGCCCAUCAAGGCCCAAUACUUCUCCCGGCGAAUUCCCGUAACUCUCCGGUACUCCGAAAAAUACCCGAAUCACUCGGAACCUUUCCGAUGUCCGAAUAUAGUCGUCCAAUAUAUCGAUCUUUACGUCUCGACCAUUUCGAGACUCCUCGUCAUGUCCCCGAUCUCAUCCGGGACUCCGAACUCCUUCGGUACAUCAAAACUCAUAAACUCCUAAUAUAACUGUCAUCGAAACCUUAAGCGUGCGGACCCUACGGGUUCGAGAACAAUGUAGACAUGACCGAGACACAUCUCUGGUCAAUAACCAAUAGCGGGACCUGGAUGCCCAUAUUGGUUCCUACAUAUUCUACGAAGAUCUUGUUGGGGAACGUAGUAAUUUCAAAAAAAUUCCUACGCACACGCAAGAUCAUGGUGAUGCAUAGCAACGAGGGGGAGAGUCUGAUCUACGUACCCUUGUAGAUCGCAACGGAAGCGUUGACACAACAUAGAGGAAGUAGUCGUACGUCUUUUUCCCGAUCCGACCGAUCCAAGCACCGUUACUCCGGCACCUCCGAGUUCUUAGCACACGUACAGCUCGAUGACGAUCCCUGGGCUCCGAUCCAGCAAAGCUUCGGGGAGGAGUUCCGUCAGCACGACGGCGUGGUGACGAUCGUGAUGUACUACCGAUGCAGGGCUUCGCCUAAGCACUACAACGGUAUUAUCGAGGUGGGAUAUGGUGGCAGGGGGCGCCGCACACGGCUAAGGAACAAUCACGUGGAUCAACUUGUGUGUCUAUGGGGUGCCCCCUGCCCCUGUAUAUAAAGGAUGGAGGAGGAGGAGGCCGGCCAAGGCUAGGUGCGGCCAGGAUGUGGAGUCCUACUAGGACUCCAAGUCCUAGUAGGAGUCCACCAAGAGGAGAGGAAGGGAGAAGGAAGUGGAGGAGAAGGAAAGGUGGCCGGCCCCCUUUCCCUAGUCCAAUUCGGACUAGAGGGGAGGGGGGCGCAGCAGGCCCUUUCUCCUCUUCCCACUAAAGCCCAUCAAGGCCCAAUACUUCUCCCGGCGAAUUCCCGUAACUCUCCGGUACUCCGAAAAAUACCCGAAUCACUCGGAACCUUUUCGAUGUCCGAAUAUAGUCGUCCAAUAUAUCGAUCUUUACGUCUCGACCAUUUCGAGACUCCUCGUCAUGUCCCCGAUCUCAUCCGGGACUCCGAACUCCUUCGGUACAUCAAAACUCAUAAACUCCUAAUAUAACUGUCAUCGAAACCUUAAACGUGCGGACCCUACGGGUUCGAGAACAAUGUAGACAUGACCGAGACACGUCUCCGGUCAAUAACCAAUAGUGGGACCUGGAUGCCCAUAUUGGUUUCUACAUAUUCGACGAAGAUCUUGUUGGGGAACGUAGUAAUUUCAAAAAAAUUCCUACGCACACGCAAGAUCACGGUGAUGCAUAGCAACGAGAGGGAGAGUCUGAUCUACGUACCCUUGUAGAUUGCAACGGAAGCGUUGACACAACGUAGAGGAAGUAGUCGUACGUCUUCUUCCCGAUCCGACCGAUCCAAGCACCGUUACUCCGGCACCUCCGAGUUCUUAGCACACGUACAGCUCGAUGACGAUCCCCGGGCUCCGAUCCAGCAAAGCUUCGGGGAGGAGUUCCGUCAGCACGACGGCGUGGUGACGAUCUUGAUGUUCUACCGAUGCAGGGCUUCGCCUAAGCACUACAACGGUAUUAUCGAGGUGGAAUAUGGUGGCAGGGGGCACCGCACACGGCUAAGGAACAAUCUCAAUGAUCAACUUGUGUGUCUAGAGGUGCCCUCUGCCCUCGUAUAUAAAGGAUCCAAGGGGGAGGGGCUGGCCGGCCAAGGGAGGCGCGCCAGGAGAGUCCUACUCCCUCUGGGAGUAGGAUUCCCCCCCCCCCCCCAAUCCUAGUUGGAAUAGGAUUCAUCAAGGGGGGAAAAGAGAGAGAGAGGGGGGCCGACCACCUCUCCUAGUCCUAAUAGGACUAGGGGAGGGGGGGAGGCGCGCGGCCACCUUGGGCUGCCCCUUUCUCCUUUCCACCAAGGCCCACUAUGGCCCAUAUGACUCCCGGGGGGUUCCGGUAACCUCCCAGUACUCCGGUAAAAUCCUGAUUUCACCCGGAACACUUCCGAUAUCCAAAUAUGGGCUUCCAAUAUAUCAAUAUUUAUGUAUCGACCAUUUCGAGACUCCUCGUCAUGUCCGUGAUCACAUCCGGGACUCCGAACAACCUUCGGUACAUCAAAAUGCAUAAACUCAUAAUAACUGUCAUCGUAACGUUAAGCGUGCGGACCCUACGGUUCGAGAAAAAUGUAGACAUGACUGAGACACAUCUCCGGUCAAUAACCAAUAGCGGGACCUGGAUGCCCAUAUUGGCUCCUACAUAUUCUACGAAGAUCUUUAUCGGUCAGACCGCAUAACAACAUACGUUGUUCCCAUUGUCAUCGGUAUGUUACUUGCCCGAGAUUCGAUCGUCGGUAUCCAAUACCUAGUUCAAUCUCAUUACCGGCAAGUCUCUUUACUCGUUCUGUAAUACAUCAUCUCGCAACUAACUCAUUGGUUGCAUUGCUUGCAAGGCUUAAGUGAUGUGCAUUACCGAGAGGGCCCAGAGAUACCUCUCCGACAAUCGGAGUGACAAAUCCUAAUCUCGAAAUACGCCAACCCAACAUGUACCUUUGGAGACACCUGUAGAGCACCUUUAUAAUCACCCAGUUACGUUGUGACAUUUGGUAGCACACAAAGUGUUCCUCCGGCAAACGGGAGUUGCAUAAUCUCAUAGUCAUAGGAACAUGUAUAAGUCAUGAAGAAAGCAAUAGCAACAUAACUAACGAUCGGGUGCUAAGCUAAUGGAAUGGGUCAUGUCAAUCAGAUCAUUCAACUAAUGAUGUGAUCCCGUUAAUCAAAUGACAACUCUUUGUCCAUGGUUAGGAAACAUAACCAUCUUUGAUUAACGAGCUAGUCAAGUAGAGGCAUACUAGUGACACUCUGUUUGUCUAUGUAUUCACACAUGCAUUAUGUUUCCGGUUAAUACAAUUCUAGCAUGAAUAAUAAACUUUUAUCAUGAUAUAAGGAAAUAAAUAAUAACUUUAUUAUUGCCUCUAGGGCAUAUUUCCUUCAGGGAGGGGUAUUCCUGGUGCCUCGGCUUAGAUAUGUAGGGUUUUAGUUCUCACAAGGGCAGCGCUUAGAUGAAUGGCGGUGCAUCUUCUUCGAGUCAGUCUUCCGGGCUCCGAUCCUAAGUUUCUUCGUCGAGACAGAUUAGACAUAGCUCCGACGCAGAUUCCUGCCAGCCCCACGGAGCGGCGAGGUUAGGAUUUCUCGUCAUGCGUACACAAUGGUAAGAUUUGAUGCCAGGUACUUCAGAUUGAUUCAAGGGUUUAAUGGCGACAACUGCGGCUCCUGGACGCCGGUCCUUAAGGACACGUGCACAAAGACUUUUCGGUUGUCAUCGACAAGAUCAAGCCGGCUCCGGUAUGGGAGCGGCAACAUCGGCGCGUCGGCGACUCGUUCUUGCUUCAGCAAUGGUCGUUUCGGUUGUUCGUGGACCUCGAUGUAUUUUUUUUAUUAUGUCUGGGGUGCUUUGUACUUCCGAUGAUUCUUUAUAAUAUAUCUGAUGUUUUCAAAAAAAAAGUUGCGACAAGUGGUGCACAUGCAGUCCACCACUUGUCGCAACCUGAGAAUUUUGUAUUUUUUUUGUAGAUCCCUUUAUUCAAAACGUUUUAUCUCUAAACCAUGUGUCUAAAUCCCGAACCAGUUUCACUGUUGGAUUACUCGGGUCAAGAUCUUCAAAGCUAGAUCCCAUGUUGAUCCAUUUAUUUAAAAUGUUUUAUCUCUUGAACCACGCAUCAAAAUCUCAAACCGGUUUCAUCCUUGGAUUCCUCGCGUCGAGAUUUUUAAAACUAGAUACCAUGUUGAUUGAUUUUGAUGAACUAUUUUUCACAAAAAAAACGCACAAAUCCGGGUGUAAAAACCAAAACCGAGGGCAAGUUUGUUUCCGUUUCCUAAGAGGCACGGCCAUGCCUCUGACAAAAGCAAAUCUGUGCCUCUCGUGAAAGAGAAAAAAAACUCACAUUUUUUUCCUAUUUUCGAGAGGCACAGACGUGUCUCUCGCGAAAGCAAACCCAUACCUCAUGCAGAAGGGGAAAAACAUGUUUUCUUCAUUUCAGAGAGGCACGACUGUGCCUCUCGCGAAGCAAAACCAUACCUCCAGUGAAAGAAAAAAACGAUUUUUUUUCAAAAUACAGCUUUUUUCAAAAGCUAAGAAAAAACGAUGAAAAGCCAAAAGAAACCAUGUAAAAAGUCAAAAACGCGUGCGAAAAAAAUCAGAGGGAGCGUCCAAUGCGUGAGGGUGACCCUUGGAAGGCGUCCAGAGCGCGACCCUUGGGGAGGCUCGGAAUGAGGGCUCCUUAAUUAGUUGCUCUCAGCCUGAGAUCAAAAUAAACCUGAGAUCUGCAUGCCGGAUUAUCACUUAUGAGAAGAUCUGUAUUUCAAGCGCUAGUCACAAUGGUGAUCUUGUAUGGUAAUUAUUAUACACUUAUUAUUUAGCAAGUGCCAUUAUUAGGAGUAGGGCGUUUUGGAGCUCGGCCUUCAUGGAGGCCGGAUUUUUUGAAAAAUUCAAAAUUCGCAUUUUUCAAUUUCAAAAAAUCUGAAAAAAAACAUACAAGUAAACAAGGAUGUUAUGUGUAUGUAUGUGAAGUUUGAGGAUGAAAUACCCUAAAAUGCGAUCUGUGCAAAAAAGACAAAUUCAUAGACUUUGAGGAUGAAUAGUGCAUCUACUAAAAAGUCUCAGAUUUGUUCUUUUUGUGUAGCACUCAUUUUAAGGUGUUUUGUCCUGAAAAUUUACAGACAUAUGCUUUAUGUCUCUAAGUAUGUGUGUAUUUUUUUUUCAAAUUUUUUUGAAACGUGAAAGUUUGAAUUUUGACCAAGUCAAACCCGGGCUCCAUGGAGCUCGAGCUCUAAAGAGCAUUUUCGCAUUAUUAGUAGUUUCUCCAGCCAAGUGUCAUCUCUGAAGAGGAUCCAUGGACUUGCUUCAGUGAUAUGCUAAUCUGAGGUUGGCACCUGACUUCUCGGUAACAGAAUCUUCAUACAGCUUUCCAAUUCUUGGUAACCGAAUCUUGGAAUGCAAUAUUCCAAUAAUCAUUACUGAAUAUGGAAAGGGAAAGGAAUUGCAUUUCCUUUCUUUUGUUCUAGCUUAUCUAGACAACAUUUCUUCAGUCUGCACGAUACCAGAAUUCAGUGGAACCUGGUAAAUCAAACUUAUAUGUGCAUUAAAUCUGCUCUGAUCAUUAGGGGAGCAGCACUUAUUAUUUCCAGCCUGACAAUGUUUUUCUUUGCAGUGAGCAGCCACCUUAUGAUGUUUACUGUUUAUUGCAGCAACAAGAUGCACAUAAAUACUGACAAAUAUGUAAGCAAGGAUCGUCACACAGGCAAGAUUGCUUCGAAAGCAUAUAGCAAAUGAACCACACAGCAAGUACUACUUAAUCAAAGCAGGUCAAUGUAUCUUCAUCAUGCCUGUUGGCUAAUUGUGGCCAGAAAUUAGGUAACAGAGGGAAGGGCAAGUUGACCAAGUCAAAGAUUAACUCAUACAGGUCCACUUGUGCAAGCUACAAAGAUGGCCGAUCUCCAUGAGAAAUUGUCAAAAUGAAAGAACCUUCAGCAAAGAAGUCCAUUCCUGCUUCUCAGCAACCGGAACACAAUUCUAG